AACCAUCCACCUGUUCUGCAUUUAUCUAGUCCCUUUUGUCCUGCGCUUGAGUCAGUUCUAGAUAGGAGGAUGGUCAAGCGCGACAACAAGGCAGUAGAUCAAGUCCUAGUCAAAUAGACUGAUCUUGAUGCAGCUCUAGCAACUUGGGAGUUCGUUUCAGAGUUACACACUAGGUUUCCUGAUUUCCAUCCUUGAGGACAAGGAUGUUCUUCACGGAGGGGUAUUGAUACAAGUGCAGCAGGAUAAGAAGAGUCAAAAUAGUUGGGAUUCAAAAGUUAGUUAGUUCUGUUAAGUACUGUAGCAAAGUCUGUUUUUACUGUUGUAACAGAAUUACUGUAGUAGAGUCCAAGAGUUAGUUAGGCAGUUAUCAAUCAAUGAUUAUCUAUAAAUACUCAUGUGUAAUGAUUCACAGCUAUGCAGAAAAAUCAUAAUACAAUUCUUCUUCUUCUAUCUUAUUUUUUCAACUUAGCUAUUCUUCUCGGGUAUACCCUACACUUAGCUCUCUUCUUCCUCGAGGUUAACCUCCUGGAGAGAUUUAGUUCUUCGAGGUGCAUCAUAAAUUCAGUAAGGAUGUUCUAAAUUUGAUUGAUAUGUCGAAUUUAAAUAAAUCUUGAACUCAGUUGAGAGUGGAAGCUGAUUAAUUUAAUUUAUAUUACUCCAUAAUAGUAGUACUAGUCAAACUUCCAUUGACGAUAAACAAAUGAAAGGCUUUCAUGAAAAUUCUCGUAGAAUCAAGAACGUUGUUUUUAUUCUGUACUUGCCAGAUCAUGUUUUCAUUCUGUACUUGCUAGAUCAUGAAUUAGUAAAUGCUUCUAAUCUCCACAAAAAUGCCAUUUGCGCCGAACUCUCCUUUUUUGGAAUAUUUACGGGAUCUCCAUGAGUAUGAUCAGACCUUAUUCCAUGAUAUACACAUGAGCUUCCUCUUUAAGAAAGUCCCCGAGAGGGAUUAGUUGAUUCAUGGUUUAUAUUUCAUCUUUUGUCCUUUUCGUUUGUUACAAGAAACCUAUAGAUCAAUUCUAAUUCUUUUUUUUUCUUGUGAUUCUUUUCCGACCGAGAUGUAUAGAUCCUAUUCAUGGAUUAACGAAAAUAUUCAAAGGCUCUAUAACAAGUGUUGGGUUCAAGGUGUAUAUGUGAAUGGAAAAUGAAGGAAAAAUAUCGGAGGAAAAGAGAGACAAUAAAAUGGAAAGUGUACUCUUUUAAGGUAAAGUUCACUAAUUCUCCAACAGUGGUGGGAGAAGGGAACUUUGAAGUAUUUUUAAUAAAGAGCACUUACUCCACAUAGAUAGUGAGGCAAGAACAAGGUGGUGCCUCGCGCCGCCAUUAUCGUCGCUCGCUUAGUUCGGCUUUGGAUUUGGAUUUGGCAAAUGAUCGAUCGAUGAGAUCUAUCUUUUUAGACGAAUUUUAUUUGAAACUUGUUUUACAAGUGAUAGAAUUGUUUUUCUCCAAGUGUAGGCGCAUUUCGGACGCUAUGCAAAUGCAUAUGCAACGUAUCUCGAAGGGAUGCGACCCUUCGAGGUAAAAGGCAUACUGUUUCGCGCUGUAGAGUGACCUGCGCGCGCAGAUGCAACAUAGGUACGUGACCUAUGGGCGCAGAUGCAGCACAACCACUGGAAUUGGACAGUGUCACCUGUGGCCGCAGAUCAGGCGUGCGCAGAUUAGGCGCAGGUCUAGCAUAGACUGGGCGCAGGUGACGUGACUGUACUGAAUAAGUGCCUUUUUGCUGAACCAAUGCAUCUUUUCUAAAAGGACACUUAAAGUCUAUAAAUACCUGACGUAUUCCUCAGGUAUUAACAUAAUUUUUUAUAGCAAAAACACUAUAUAUCUUUAAGAACUCGUUGUGAUCAUUAGCUGUUUAGUGAGUUCGACGAAUCCAAUUAUUUGAGGUACCUCUAUAGUCGGAUUGAAGGUCAUUUUAUCCUGGGAGGAAGAUUCCAUAACCUCGGGUACAGUGAGAGAAAUUAUUCCUUAAGGACACUCCGUAAAGUCGGGGAACUUGGCCUUAAAAAUUCUGUUUCAUCUUAUUUCUGAAAAAUAACAUAUUUCUUGGAUAAAUUAUUUUUAAUCUUGUGUUGAAGGUGUUAUAGAACUUCAUAGGUGUUCUUGUUUUGAGACUUGAACUUGUGUUGAAGUUGUUGUUCCCAUAUACAGAUUCUUGUACCCAAAAACAUUGAAAAUAACAAUCUUAAGGAAUAAUAUUCGGAAUCUGUAUAGCUUGGUUUCUGGAUAUUAAAGCUUUAAGCUUUCUACUCCGUUUGAACUUAACUAGUGAUUUGAAGACAUAAAAUCUUCAUCACAAGUUAAAGAUCUCUCGAUUUACGAUUGAAAGUCAUAAAAACUUCAUCGUUUAACUAGAAACAAGAGGUGUUUAAAGUUGCUGCAACUUUAUUAGUAGUAUUUUGACAUACUAAAGGUUCUGUCUUGGUGUGACAGGAAAAUGACUACCGAUAGUCAAGUGCAUGAUGAUGGAAUGACUAUGGUGGCAACUAGUAUUGCCACAAUGAGUCGUACUAAUUCUUCGUAAGCUAUGGCACCAGCGGAGAAACCUGGAAAAUUCGCGGAUAUUGACUUCAAGAGGUGGCAACAGAAAAUGUUUUUCUACCUCACAACUCUUUAUCUUCAAAGGUUCAUAUUUGAGGAAGCUCCGGAGGUAUUCAAGGGAACCUUUGAACAAGAGCGAUUUGUGAUUGUGGAGGCCUGGAAAUACUCAGAUUUCCUUUGCAGAAACUACAUCUUGAGUGGUAUCCAAGAUGAUCUCUAUAAUGUGUAUAGUGGAACAAAGACAACAAAAGAGUUAUGGGGAGCGCUAGAAUGGAAGUAAAAGACAGAGGAUGCAGGAACUAAAAAUUUCUUUAUUACAAGAUUCCUGGAAUAUAAUAUGAUAGACAGCAAGUCGGUUGUCUUUUUAGUGUAGGAAUUGCAAGUGAUCAUCCAUGAUCUCUUAGCGGAAGGUAUGAUUUUGACAAAUACCUUUGCCGAACAAUUUAAAAGUGUUCUUAAUAUUCACAUAACCUUUAUUGUAGGUUUGAUUGUGAAUGAAGCAUUUUAAGUAGCAACAAUAAUAGAGAAGCUACCACCUAUGUGAAAAGACUUUAAAAACUAUUUGAAACACAAACGUAAGGAGAUGUCUGUCGACCGUCAGAUUGCGCAUUGAAGAAGAUAAUAAGGCUGUGGAAAAAAGUUCAAGAGGAAAUUCUUCAAUGAAUGAAGCAAACAUUGUAGAAGAUAACCAUAGCUCCAAAAAGUGGAAGAAAGCAGGACAUAAAAGCAAUCAACCCAAGAAAAAAUUCAAGGGAAAGUGCUUUAACUGUGGCAAGAUUAGCCACAAGUCCACAGAUUGUUGUGCCCCAAAGAAAGGGAAGAAGGACCAAAUAAAUGUUGCUGAGUCCAAGAAAGACGUUGAUGACCUGUGUGCUAUGCUGUCCAAAUGCAAUAUGGUGGGAAAUCCUCGCGAAUGGUGGAUGGAUUCUGGUGCCACCUGCCAUGUUUGUGCUAAUAAGGAGUUAUUUGUUGCUUUUGAUUUGGCUCAAGGGGAAGAAAAGAUCUACAUGGCAAACUCCGCUACUGCAAAAGUAGAAGGAACAGGAAAAAUAUACUUGAAAAUGAAUUCAGGCAAAGUAUUGACACUUAACAAUGUCCUAUAUGUUUCGGAGUUAAGAAAGAACAUGAUUUCUAUACCUCUUCUAGACAAAAAUGGAUUUAGAUGUAUAUUUGUUUCCGAAAAAAUUGUACUUAGUAAAGGUGAAGUGUAUGUAGGAAAAGGCUACCUCAAUGAGGGCCUAUUCAAAUGAAUGUAAUGAAUGUUGAAAUCAAUAAAAGUUCAGUUUCUUCUUACUUGCUUGAGUCUUAUGAUUUAUGGCAUGAACGAUUAGGCCAUGUUAAUGACAAAAUAUUGCGUAAACGAAUUAACUUAGAAGUUUUGCCAAACUUUGAGUGCAAUAAAUCAAAGUGUCAAACAUGUGUAGAAUCAAAGUAUGCUAAGCAUCCGUAUAAAUCCGUUGAAAGGAAUUCCAAUCCCUUAAACUUAAUCCACACUGACAUUUGUGAUAUGAAGUCAACACCACCUUGAGGUGGGAAAAAGUAUUUUAUAACUUUUAUUGACGAUUGCACUAGAUACUGUUAUGUCUAUUUGCUAAAUAGUAAGGAUGAAGCAAUAGAUGCGUUUAGGCAAUAAAAAACUGAAGUUGAAAAUCAGCUAGAGAAAAAGAUCAAAACAAUAAGAAGUGAUAGGGGCGGAGAAUAUGAAUCUCCUUUUGCGCAAAUAUGUGUAGAGAAUGAAAUUGUCCAUCAAAUUACAGUCCCAUAUUCACCUCAAUCUAAUGGAAUUACGGAAAGGAAAAACUGAACUUUGAAGGAAAUGAUGAAUGCCUUACUUAUAAGUUCAGGUUUACCACAAAACUUGUGGGGGGAAGCUAUCCUUACGGCUAAUCGAAUACUCAAUAGAGUAUCCUUUAGUAAGAUACAAUCAAUUCCAUAUGAAAAAUAGAAAGGAAGGAAACCCAAUUUGAAAUAUUUUAAAGUGUGGGGGUGUCUAGCGAAGGUCUAAGUUCCUAUGCCUAAAAAAGUAAGGAUAAGACCUAAGACGGUGGACUGUGUGUUCAUAGGAUAUGCUAAAAGUAGUAAAGAAUAUCAAUUUUUGGUUCAUAAGUCCGAGCAUCAGGAUAUCAAUGAAAAUACAAUAAUUGAAUCAGAUAAUGCUAAAUUCUUUGAACAGAUUUAUCCGUAUAAAACUAGACAUGAAUAGUCUAGUGGAGGAUCUAAAUGAUCUCGAGAUGAGCCAAGUGAGGAUGUACAUAAUGAUGAGAAUCCAAGACGUAGUAACAUCAAAGAACGUUAACUUUGUUUGGAUCGGACUUUGUAAUAUUUCUCUUAGAAAAUGAGCCUCAAAUAUUUAAAGAAGCGAUGACGUUUUCGGACUCAUUCUUUUGGUGAGAGGCAGUCGAUAGUGAGAUUGAUUCAAUCUUAAGCAACCAUACGUGGGAGUUAGUUGAUCUUCCUCCAGGAAAUAAACCUUUAGGUUUUAAAUAAAUUUUCAAAAGGAAAAUAAAAGAUGAUGGUAUUAUUGAUAAGUACCAGACAAGACUUAUUGUAAAAGGCUUCAAACAAAAGGAAGGCCUUGAUUACAUUGAUACAUACUCGCAAUUAAUAAGGAUAACGUUAAUUCAGAUGUUAAUUGCCUUGGAGACAGUAUAUGGUCUUGAAAUCCAUCAAAUAGAUGUGAAACCAGCAUUCCUAAAUGGAGAAUUGGAGGAAGAAAUCUACAUGGAAUAGCCUGAGGGUUCUGGGGUUCCAGGAAAGAAAAAUAAGGUGUGUAAACUUGUCAAAUCACUUUAUGGACUAAAACAAGCACCUAAACAGUGGCAUGUGAAGUUUGACCAAAUCAUGUUGGCAAACGGGUUCAAGAUAAAAGAAUGUGAUAAAUGUUUUUACGUUAAAGACACUCCAAAUCACCAUGUCAUUAUUUGUUUAUAUGUGGAUGAUAUGUUGAUCAUCAGUGGAGACAUUUCUGACAUAAAUGCAACGAAAUAAAUGCUCAAGAGCAAGUUCGAUAUGAAAGACCUUGGAGUUGCGGAUGUUAUCUUAGGAAUAAGAAUCCAUAGAACUCCACAAGGGUUGGCAUUGUCAUAGUCUCAUUACAUCGAAAAGGUCCUUGACAAAUUCAAGUAUAUGGAAUUUGGUAUUGCCAAGACUCCAUUGGAUGUGAGCUUUGCACUUCGAAAGAUUGAAGGUGAAAGUAACUCACAAUUGGAGUACGCAAGAGUAUUGAGAUGUUUAAUGUAUAUAAUGAACUGCACAUGACCAGACAUAGUAUGCGCUAUUAGUAAGUUGAGUCGGUACACGAGUAAUCCUAAUAAAACUCAUUGGAUGACACUAAAAGGAAUUUUGGGGUAUCUUAAAUACACUCAAGACUAUGCUUUGCAUUAUAGUAUAUAUCCCGCAGUACUUGAAGGAUAUAGUGAUGCAAAUUGGAUCAUCGGAUCAAACGAAGUAAAAUUCAUGAGUGGAUAUGUAUUUACUAUCGGUGGAGGAGCGGUCUCUUGGAAAUCUUCCAAACAGGCAUGUAUUGCUUGCUCUACAAUGGAAUCUGAAUUUAUCGCAUUAAAUAAAGCUGGUGAAGAAGCAGAAUGGCUCCAGAAUUUCUUGGAAGAUAUUCCUUAUUGUCCUAAACCAGUGGCACCAGUGUGUAUUCACUGUGAUAGCCAAGCGGUAAUAGAUAGGCAGGGAGCAUGAUGUACAAUGGUAAAUCUCAUCACAUAAGAUGGAGACAUAAUACCGUUAGAGAACUUCUCUCUAGUGGAAUUAUCACUGUUGACUAUGUAAAGUCAAAGAAUAGUGUAUAGAAUCCACUUACAAAAGGCCUAUCUAGAGAAGGAGUUGAACGGACAUCCAAGGGAAUGGGUUUAAGGCCUAGGACAACUCAACAUGUCGGCAACUUUACCUAGCAGACUGGAGAUUCCAAGAGCUAGGUUCAAAGAGAUCAAACAAAGUUGUGUCUGACAGGUUCAACAUUAUUAUUAUACCCAACCUAUUCUCAUGAUGUGGAUAAUGUUUAGUAAACGAGGAUAAGACUUAUGGUAUGAAGUCUUUUAAUGAUUAUCUAAAUUUGGCAGAUUUGACCAAAUAGUUUAAUCUAUAGGAUUGAACGUUUAUAAAUUACCUAUGUAAGGGUGAAGUAGAAGCCGCUUCAAGGAGAAUGUUAGUAAAGGCCUAUUCUCUAAGCUCUCAUGAAACCAGGACUUGUUUAUGGAUGAAAAGAACAAAACCGUGAGAAUCAUAAAUAGUAAAAGGUUGGUUGUGUGACAUGUGUUGUCUAGGUGUACAUUAAAGCUCGACGGUUCAAAGAUAUCAAAUCUACCGAUUGACCGAGUGCAUCCGAUGUAUGUUCACUACGGAAAGUUCAAAGGAAAACCUACUUAUCCAGAUACAAUCAGUCUUUGCUAAAUGAUCACAUGCUUGUCCGUAAAUUCUUCAAAAGAUGGCCAUUCCCCAUUCAUGUAGGGGAUUGUUGGGUUCAAGGUGUAUAUGUGAAUGAAAAAUGGAGGAAAAAUAGUGGAGAGAAAGAGAGACACUAAAAUUGAAAGUGUACUCUUUUAAGGAAAAGUUCACUAAUUCUCCCAUAUUGAUGGGAGAAGGGAACUUUGAAGUGUUUUUAAUAAGGAGCACUUACUCCACAUGGAUAGUAAGGUAAGAACAAGGUAGUGCCUCGUGCCGUCAUCGUCUUCGCUCGCUCAGCUCGGCUUCGACUUCGAAUUUGAAUUUGGAUUUGGAAAAUGAUCAAUCGAUGAGAUCUAUAUUUUUAGAUGAAUUUUAUUUGAAACUUGUUUUAUAAGUGAAAUUUUAAUCCUAAAAUCUGAUAGAAUUGUUUUUCUCCAAGUGCGGGCGCAUUUCGGAUGCCAUGCAAAUGCAGCAUCCUUUCGAGGUAAAAGGCACACUAUUUCGCGUUAUAGGGUGACCUGUGGGCGCAAAUGUAGCAUAUGUAGCCACUGGAAUUGGACAUUGUCACCUAUGGCCGCAGAUCAGGCGCAGGUCCAGCGCAGACUGGGCGCAGGUGACGUGACUGUACUGAAUAGGUUCCUUUUUGCUGAACCAAGGACACUUAAAGGCUAUAAAUAACUGACGUAUUCCUCAGGUAUUAACAUAAUUUUUGACAGUAAAAAUACUCUAUAUAUCUUCAAAAACUCAUUGUGAUCAUUAGCUGUUGAGUGAGUUUGAUGAAUUCAAUUAUUUGAGGUACCACUAUAGUUGGAUUUAAGAUCAUUUUAUCCUGGGAGGAAGAUUCUAUAACCUCGGGUAUAGUGAGUGAAAUUAUUCCUUAAGGAUACUCCGUGAAGUCGGGUGACUUGGCCUUAAAAAUUCUUUUUCAUCUUAUUUCUGAAAAAUAACACACUUCUUGGAUAAAUUAUUUUUAAUCUUGUGUUGAAGGUGUUAUAGAACUUCAUAGGUGUUCUUGUUUUGAGACUUGAACUUGUGUUGAAGUUGUUGUGCCCAUAUACAGAUUCUUGUACUCGAAAACAUUGAAAAUAACAAGUAAUUAGUUGAAGUCCGUUCAUGGGAAAACAAUCAAGAACCUCAUUCACGAGUGGAUAGAUUUCUCGACAAAUAACAUUUCGAGUAAUAUAGAAUUUCGACUUUACUGUUUUUACUGAGACAAAUUUUCUGAUUUUAUUCGAAGGGAAUGACUAUUCUUUGGCUAACCACCAUGGUUCCACAAUUGAGGCCUUCACAUUGUGAUCAUUUCGAGAUAUGCAAUAGGCCAACACCAGCACAACUCCUUGUGUUAUUGUUUUCUUUUGGGAUGAUUGCUGUGGGAGCUGGUUUCGUUAGACCUUGUUCUAUAGCAUUUGGUGCUGAUCAAUUGGACAACAAAGAAAAUCCAAAUAAUAAAAGGAUUAUGGAAAGCUAUUUCAGUUGGUACUAUGCUACUAUUGGAAUGUCAACAAUCGUCGCAACAACCUUAAUUGUGUAUAUUCAAGAUGCUUUUGGAUGGCAAAUUGGUUUUGGGAUUCCUGCUAUCCUUAUGUUUUUCUCUGUUGCAGCCUUCCUUUCGGGUUCUUCCCUGUAUAUCAAAGUUAGUGCUAGUGAGAGCUUAUUCACUGGAUUCUUUCAAGUACUUGUUGCUUCUGUUAGAAAAAGAAAUAUCGAUCUUCACUCUGGUAACGGUGAAGCCUAUUAUCAUCAAUCGCCCAGUUCUGAAAUCCAAGCCUUGACAAGCAGCUUCAGGUAUGAUCCGUUAGGAGGGAAAUCUAUGGCAAUCUUGUUUACUUUAUUAGCUAUGUUAGUUAACACUUACCUAUUAGACUGAUCUUCGAGUAGGUGUUUAAAUAAAGCUUGCAUAAUUGAAGAUCCUCAAAUAGAUGCAAAUUCUGAUGGAUUGCGCGCUUCAAACCCAUGGAGACUCUGUAGUGUAGAACAAGUAGAAUCUUUGAAGUCCCUUCUUAGAGUUGUUCCCAUGUGGUCCAGCAACAUAAUGGUUCAGUUGAGUUUAAAUCAAUUUUCGUUUUCUACACUUCAAACAAUGACAAUGGAUAGACAUAUCUUCUCGUAUUUUGAAGUACCAGCAGGAUCUUUUUCGUUCUUUAUGGUGAUAACUCUAGUGGUGUGGAUUACCAUAUAUGAUCGUGCUCUCGUGCCAAUAAAAUCCAGAUAUACAGGACAGCCAGGAGGCUUAAGCCCCGUUCUUCGCAUGGGAAUUGGUUUAGUUCUAUCUACUGCAGCGAUGGCACUUUCAGCAAUAACAGAAAGCAUAAGGCGGGGCUUAGCAAUUGAUCAGAAUGAUCCACAAGAAAUUCCAAAUAUUUCAUCAGUUAACAUGUCAGCUAUGUGGUUGGUGCCACAGUACGUUCUUCUUGGACUAGCUGAUGCUUUUAAUGCUAUCGGAUUGGUAGAGUUCCUUUAUGCUGAGCUUCCCAAAAGCAUGUCUAGUUUUGUUGUGGCUAUUUUCACACUCGGGAUGGCUGUAUCUGGCAUUUUUGGGAGUUUUAUAGUGAAUAUUGUGGAUAGUGUUACCUCAUAUGGAGGUGGAGUUAGCUGGUUGUCAAGUAAUAUUAACAAGGGUCACAUAGAUUAUUACUAUUGGUUGAUUGCUUUCUGCAAUGUUGUAAACUUCCUGUAUUUUCUUCUCAUUUGUCGAUAUAAUCGUCCUCACCAGGAAGUUGAAUAAAAACAAUGUGAAUAUAGUACUCAGAGAACUUAAUAUGUAUUAGAACAAAUGAAUAUAUAAUAAAGUUUGCUCUUUCAGUUUUGCUAUAUAAAAAUGAUUUUGUCAAUUUGAGUUGUAUUGCCACUGAGAAAAUUUAUACAGGAAGUAUUUGUUAUGGAUAUUUGUCAGAUACGUGAAAAUGUUGCACAUGGAGGUUCUAUUUGUGUCACAACCCAAAUUAGGACCAUGACUGGUGGUAAGGAGGUUAGAACUUCAAAGCAAGCCUCAUUAGUAUUCCACAUAAAAUCAGGCAGAGUUUUCCCUGUUUCUGGGCCUAUCCAAAAAAUUUUCCUAUCUCAAAUUCACUACGUAACAAACCAAUAUCACCAACGAAAUAACACUACUAAAUCCAUCUUCAAAAUAUGAGAAGAAGUCAAAUACUUCACAAGUCCAUAAUAACAAUAGAAUACUCAAACUUUAAAGGAAUAACUAUGGAGCGAUUCUAAAAAUUUUCAAGGAAAAAAACAUAACAAAUAAAUAAAUUGCUGCCAACACGAACAAGUGCGGGGCUCACUAGGAAUAUGCCAACUCGUAUAUGCAAGUUAAAAAAUCCUCACCAAUGUCACCUGUGCUUUCUAUAGAAACAAUAACGAAGAGUGCGACACUAGCUCAGUGAGUAAUAACACUUAACCAAAAUUAUUUUAACAGGGACAAAGUCAGAAACAUCAUCAAAUAAAUGCCCUUUAGAAAAUAGUAAUGAUAAACAAUAUUGUUUGUUUCAUUUAAGCAAGAUGAACUAAGUAAUAAACUCAAUACGCAUUGUAUCAUAUCAAAUAUUGCAUAGUUGGAAGAUUUUCAAGAAUGAAUCAUGUAAUCAGUGUGAUUUUCUACUUCAAGAAAAGUCAAUAAUUGUGGACCCCUCAUAAAAGAGUCUAAUAAUCAUAUCACUAGAUCCCAACUCGAGAAAAAGCAGUAAUGGUAUGCUAGUUCUACCUUCCCACUAGCGAUGGCUAUAAAUGUAAUUUGUAAAUGCAAGGUGCACCACGUUUAACGAACUCGUCAUUAGCUAAGUGAUCCAAAUCAAGGUCUACUCCCAUUUAUACUUUUCUUUGUAAACGGUAGGUACUCAUAUAACAACCUUUUCAAAAUAUUACAGGACAUUUACGUUCAUAUCAAAUCAUGUUUUAUGUAAAACUUGAACAAAACAUAUGUCAACAUACUUAUUUCUCAAGUAAAUAAAGAACGUUUCACAAUAACAGUAAUCAUAUAUCAAAUAGCGAUAAAUAUGUCUUACAACAGUGAGACAUCUCAAAUAACCAUUUUAGUAUCAUAUCAAGUAAAAGACUCGUCCCAUGUGAACUUUCAAAGCAUUUCGUAAUAUUUUUCUUCAAAAUCAUGUACAAAUUAUGAAAGUUAAGAAAACAUAAAUCAUGGUAAGGAUACUUGUCGAAAUACCUAACUUGUCACCUCGAACAAUUUGUAUGAUUUUCUUCGAUCGAAUAUAUAAUCACAAACACGAGUCUAGUAUCACGUUCAUGGACUACAAAAUAAUUGCCGAUACUAUUUAUUUAGAUUUUCUCUUGGUUCCAUUUCGAAAUAAUCUUUGCUAGGUUAUCUAUAAUCAUAUCAACAUAAUUCUCUAUUGUUCUUGCCACUCCAAAUGAUGGGAUAUUAUCGAUUAGUUGGUUUUUCUACAAGAUUCGUAACUAAUGAUACCAACAAUGAUUAAAACUCUAUACUUUGUCCAAAUUUUCUAAUUUGUGCGUAGAACCAAUUAAUUAACAUUCCUGUUUAGCAUAAUGUUCCUUGCCAGUGUUAAUAGAACUUUAUUGAAGGGAAGAAAGGCUAAGGUUUACAAUAUAAUCUGAAAAGCAUGAAAAUAACUAAAACAAGAGUAGGCUAUAUAUACAUAGCCAAUAACCUAAAGGUCCAUAAACUAAAGGCCCAAUAACUUAUGGGCUAACAUCCCCCCUCAAACUCACAAUGCAACAGCAAUAAGCAUUGAGAGUUUGUCACACAAAAAACGAAAUCGAGACGCCGACUGAGCCUUCGUAAAAAGGUCAGCAAUCUGCAAAGACGAUGGAACAAAAGGAAGCGAUAUGGUCCCGAGCUGUAAAUGAUGACGGGUGAAGUGACAAUCAAUCUCAAUGUGCUUCGUACGCUCAUGGAAGACAGAAUUCUUUGCAAUUUGUACCGCACUUUUGUUAUCACAAUGCAGGGGAGUAGGCAUAGAAAUGUGAACCCCCAUAUCUGCAAGAAGCCAACGUAACCAAAUAAUCUCACAUGUAGUCACAGCCAUAGCACGAUACUCAGCCUCCGUGGAAGAUCUAGAGACAACAUCUUGUUUCUUGCUCUUCCACGAGAUUAAAGAGUCUCCAAGAAACACACAAAAACCAGUGGUGGAUUUACGAUCAUUGCGAUCUCCAUCCCAAUCAGCAUCACUAUAGGCUCGCAACUCGAGAGAUGACGUCGAGGGAAACAAGAGAUUCUGAAACUGAGUGCCACGAAGAUACCUUAGAAUACGAAGUACAGCUCCCCAGUGCACAGAAGUAGGAGCAGUAACAAACUGGCUAACAACAUGAACUGCAUGUGCUAUAUCUGGACGAGUAACCGUAAGAUAAACCAAACUACCCACAAUAGUCCGAUAAAGACUCGGAUCUGAUAAUGGAACACCAUCACUAGGAGAGUAACGUGCAUUGGUUUCAAGGGGAGUAUCUACAGUCCUGUUGUCAGAAAGACGCGCCCGUGUAAACAAGUCAGAUAUAUACUUAGUCUGAGAAAGAAGAUACCCUUUCUUAGACUGAGCCACCUCAAUACCCAGAAAAUAACGCAGCAAGCCCAAGUCCUUCAUUGCAAAUCGAUGAGCCAAAUCAUGCUUCAAUAACUCAAUACCACUAUGAUCAUCACCAGUAAUAAUCAUAUCAUCUACAUAUAAGGACAAUAGAAUUCGCCCUGCACUUGUACAUCUAACAAACAAUGCUGAAUCAUGGUUACUCGGGACAAAUCCAAGGGAAGUAAUAACAGUGGAGAAUUUCUCAAACCAAGCACGAGGGGCUUGUUUGAGACCAUAUAAAGCUUUUCGAAGCCGACAAACUUCACCUGGCUGGUGGUCAAUACCUGGGGGAGGAGUCAUAUAAACUUCCGCGUGGAGAUCACCAUUCAGAAAAGCAUUCUUGACAUCCAUCUGAAAUAUCUUCCACUGUCGAACGGAUGCAACAGCAAUCAUAGUGCGAACAGUCGUCAUCUUUGCUACGGGGGAAAAAGUCUCCUCAUAAUCCAUACCAUAUUGUUGUGAAUACCCUUUUGCCACAAGUCUUGCCUUGUAUCGCUCAACAGACCCAUCAGAUUUUGUUUUUAUCUUAUACACCCAUCGACAACCAAUCGCAUGCUUACCAGGUGGGAGAGUAACCAAAUCCCAUGUAUGUGUAUGAUGAAGAGCAGCAAGUUCCUCAGCCAUAGCAUUCUGCCAAAGAGGAUCAGACACAGCCUCUCUAUACGACUCAGGUUCAGACAAAUGAUGUAUGUUUGCAAUAAAGGAAGCAAAUGAGGCUGAAUAUGUAGAAUAGUAAAAAUCUGGCAGUUUGGUGGACUUACAAGGUCGAGUAGACCUCCUCAGAGGUGGUGGGUCUCCAGUCUCAACAGUCGAAGGAGCAGACUCAGGCACAGGCGAGGCUGAAGCACUAUCAGGUGGCACACCAGAUGGCAUGGAUGAAUCCGGAACUGGAACCUCUAUGUCAAUCCCAAAGGGAUCAAUAAGCCGAAUAUCUGACUUUGUCACAUCAUGGGUUUUAGCUGGAAUGGAAUAAAAAGGAAUAUGUUCCAAAAAAGUGACAUGUCGUGAAACAUAUAAUUUCUGACUUACAGGAUCAUAGCAACGAUAUCCUUUUUGUCCAAUACCAUACCCCAAAAACACACAUAUAGCUGAUUUUGACCCUAACUUAUUUCGUUCAACAUGAGGACGAAGAACAAAGCAAGUACAUCCAAAAACUCGUAAUGCAGAAUAAUUCGGCGGGUGACCAUAUAGUUUCUCAAACGGAGACAUCCCUGAAGUCAAUGCAGUAGGAAUACGAUUAAUCACAUAUACAGCAGUUAGAACUGCUUCUCCCCAAAAAAUACUAGGAACCUCUGCAGACAAAAGUAAAGAGCGUGCUGUCUCAACAAUAUGACGAUGUUUUCUUUCUGCCAGACCGUUCUGCUCAGGAGUGUCGGUACAAGAUGACUGGUGUAUGGUACCAUCAGAGGCAAGUAACUGAGUGAAGUCAUUAGAGGUAUAUUCACCCCCUAAGUCACACCUGAAACACUUUAUCACAGCCGAAUGUUGUGUUUUAACAAGGGCUCUAAAGUUGUUGUAAAUGCCAAAGAAAUCAGAUCUGCGUUUCAUAAGAUACACCCAGGUAUAACGAGUAUAGUCAUCUAUAAACGAAACAUAAUAGGUCGAUCCACCCUUAGUGGAUACUGGCGCUGGUCCCCAUACAUCAGAAUGAAUAAUAUCAAAAGGAGCAACAGAAUAAGACACACUUUUAUUAAACGGUAAGGCAGAAAAUUUUGCCAGUUUACAACCACUACAAUCUGAAAUAUCACUAGUGUUCACAUGACCCAAAGCACCACUAGAGACCAAAAAACGUAAACGUGAAACUGACACAUGUCCUAAUCUGGAAUGCCAAAGAUAAAACUGAGAAGACAAAGGACUCAAACGAAAAGAAGAUAAAUCUAUGCUAGAGGCAGCAACUACAGACACUUUGAGAUUCUCCAAGACAUAGAGUUCCCCCAACCUACGGCCGGUCCCAAUCACCCUCUGAGUGUGUUGGUCCUGUAUAACACAAACAGAAUCAGAAAAAAACACCCAAUUACCAGCCUUACACAACUGACUGACCGAAACAAGAUUUAAAGCAAGUUUGGGAAUGUAAUAAACAUCAGAGAGGACAAUGUGAGGGGUAGUAACAGAACCAACACCCUCGACUGACAUAGGUACAGCACUCGCGGACAUAACAGAGAUUGGUGAAAUGGGUGACAAAGAACCAAACGAUGACAAAUGAGGGGACAUGUGAUGAGACGCACCAGAAUCCAAUAUCCACAAGGAGGAAGGAAUACCUGAGGUACUAGAAGAAACUGAACCCGAAUGAGACAUAGAUGCUGACAUGGCCGUAGGAUUAGAAACGAAGAACUGUCUGAACUGUUCGAAAACCUGGGGAUCCAACGCAGAAGGUGGCAUAGUGCUAACAGACUCAACAUCUACAGAUGGUGCAGCAGCAGCGAACUGUGGAGGACGAGAUGACCACGGAGGAGCACCAGAUGGGCGUGACGGAUACUUUUGCUGCCCAUAUUUCUGUUGCUGCCCAGAUUGAGGCUGUUUGACCUUGUUAAGUAACAACGGACACUGAGCCUUCCAAUGAUUUUUCUGUUUGCAGAAUGCACACUCAUCAAAUGCAACUUUAGGAGAUUGUCGAGUCUGAGUACGUGGUGGCCUAGACUGAUCAGUUGAAGCAGCAAACACGACAGGAGUAGUAGUUACUUUAGACCCUUUAUCCACUUGAGACUUGAUACGAGUCUCCUCUGCAAUCAGUUCAUGAACCACAGAAUCAACAGUAGGGAGGGGAGAUCGAUGAAGGAUUGUUCCACGUAGGCCCUCAAAGUCAGAACGUAGUGCCAUCAAAAACUGAACCAAGCGUUGCUCUUCCCGUCUAGCAAUGUACGGCCCAAAACCUUUUAACUCUGCAGAUUCAGUAAGUGCCAAUUGAUCCCACAAAUCCGACAUGGCAGCAUAAAAAUCUUGAAUACUGAGAUCAUGCUGUUGAAGAGCACGGAUAUCAUACUCCAACUGGUACUGCUUAGCAAAAUUAGACUGAGUGUACAGUCUUUCCAAAUGAUCCCAGACCUCCUUUGCUGUGUCAUACUUAGCCAAUUGCAUACCAAUUGACUGAGUUACAGAAUUGUUGAUCCAAGUGAUAAUCUUGGAGUUAUUAGUUUCCCAUAAGUCCACCAACAAAUCAAAAUUUUCAGUUUUAUCAUCGAUAGGUCUUGGUUUUACUCCAGUGAUAUAACCCCACAUAUUCUUCCCACGAAGAAAAUUCUUCAUGACAUAACUCCAAUAUGCAUAGUUCUUACCAUCUAAUUGAGUACUAAUGGACUGGAGAGAAUCAUCCUUUCCAGUCAUUGUAAACACAGCAACACACAAACAAUUCAAAAAACAAAAAGAUGCAAAACCCUAGGUUGAACAAUUCCGAACGAACAACAAUGGCAGCAAGCAAAAGAACGAAAGACGAACAAUACCAGACAGCAAACGAAGACAGCAACGAAUCAAUCCAACCAAAAAACCCAACGAAAAGAGCAAACGAAUACAGCAGCACCUCAAAAAAAUUCGGGGCUCCGCCCCGAACCCCGGACGGGGGCGCGCUGCCCCCCGUACCCCCCAGCGAACUCACCGCGGAGUUCGAUCCGCGCAGUAGGUGCCUGCUACAAAAUCUUCAACCAACAAAUCAAAGGACAUGGAUCGAACUAGCUUUGAUACCAUGUUAAUAGAACUUUAUUGAAGGGAAGAAAGGCUAAGGUUUACAAUAUAAUCUGAAAAGCAUGAAAAUAACUAAAACAAGAGUAGGCUAUAUAUACAUAGCCAAUAACCUAAAGGUCCAUAAACUAAAGGCCCAAUAACUUAUGGGCUAACAGCCAGAAUAUGAUACUUUACCAUUCAAUCCUUUAGUAUACUUACUCAGUUCAUAAGAUGUUAACGGAUUUAUCUAUUUCUUUAAUCCCUUAUUCUUAAACUCUCAAUACCAAAUCCGAAGCCAUAAAAUAUAUGAAUGAAAUCUAUAAACUAAGUUAAGAAACGUAUCUUUCUCCUUUCCUUCUCCCUUUAUAUUAGCUAUUAAUGUCUUGGAGUUUUUUUUGUCUCUUUCGUACUUCUUUUUGAGUACAAGACAACUUUAAUUUUUUUUCCUUUGCUGCGUAAGUGGUUGGCAGAAGCCACUUAUUAACUUGGGACAAUUAGAAGCCCUUAUGUCACGACCCAAAAAUUGAUAGGUCAUAAUGACACUUGUCGCGGUGAAUCUUGACAAGCAAGUUUCUCACCCAAACUGAUAGACAUGGGGAAAAGGUAAAAAUGCUCCCAAGGUAGGGCUUUUAGAACUAAGCCGAACCAUACAAGUAAUCAUAACAAUGCGAAAAGAAUUUAUUCAAAAUACCAAUCAUGUCCAAAAUCAGGUGUCAAUAGGGUAAGAGCUACUAAUACAAUUCAGAAGUCAAAUACAUUAGAAAAAUAACCACAAGGGAAUAAUAUCUGUUUUCGAAUACUAAUAAAGAAAUAACUAAUACAAAAAGAUAGAUGUGAACUCCGAAUGUAUGGAUGUCCAACCGCUACCUUGAGUAAUCUGAAGAUGCCUGAAAAACAAUUAAUCUGAGGCGUAUCCAAACCUGAAGCUGCAUCGAAAGGGUGAAGUAAGAGUGAGUACGGUCCACUUGUACUCAGCAGGUAUCAUAGGCUGACCGAGCAAAGUAGAAAAUAAAGAAUACAAAAUACACACUAAGGGCAAAUCACCUGCAACCAGAAAAUGUUCCACAACAUUAGCCCACACCGCUUGCAUUAAGAGUUCUAAUAUAUCACGUAUAUUACAUCAGCACACCAUGGCAUAGAACAAAAAUAUACAAUAUGUCACAUAUAAGUAGAACAAGGAAGGACAUGUAGAUAAAAUAUCAUCAAAUACAAGUAAAGGAAGGUAAGACAAAUACACAGAUGACACGUCAAUAUGGCAAUACAACACAACAUAAACACAAUAAAGUAAGAGAAAUGUAUAUGAUGAUGAUGCACGAGGUCGUCGCACAACCUCCGAGAUCAUCGCACAAUCCCUGUAUACACUUUCAGAGCUAAAGCUUCCCGACGUAGGACCCGUGAGGGGUUCAUCAACCUACAUACAAUCCACAUAUCUCAUAUCUCCAUUCCGACACAUUCCUCAGAAAGAAUUUUGUAAGGUAUUACAAUAUCUCCUCCUCAGCACAUCCCUCGGGAAGGAUUUUAAAAAGGUGUUGCUAGUGUUACUCAGGUGUUUCCACGGUGGUACCAAUAUUUCAUGAAUGACUAUGAUAUGAGGAUGUAAUGCUGACAACCAAUCACAAAUAGUAUUUCCACAACCAACCACAUGAUAUAGUUUCACAACCAUCCAUAAUGAUAAAUUUCCACAACCAACCACAUGAUAUAUUUUCACAACCAACCACAAUGAUAUAUUUCCACAACCACGUAAGCCAAUAUCCACUUAUCAUUUCAGUUUCAUCUUCGAAUUUCCACAUGUUUCAUAUGCCAAUAAAGUAUGACUAUAAUCACAAUGCAUCAAUGGUACCGUAUUAAUCAUCUUAACAAUACAAUACAAUUAUUCACAUGUAUUUAAGGCUGUUAAUAUCACAUAGGACCCCACACAGUCACACAUAUCACAUAAUAACUCAAUUUCAAUAAUUACAUCACAUAUAGGCCACCACACAGGCACAACACAUAAAUAGCUAUUUUCAUGAUUAGUUCCCACCCUUAAUAUGCUUUUUCUAUCAUCAUUUACUACCCAGCACAGUCUGAAAGAGUUAAACCAUAACCUACCUCAAAAGCUGAAACCGAUCCGUUACACUUCGAACCCACGACCUGCUUUUCACGAACAAUCCUGAACUCCACUAAAAAUAUCUAAUAUGGAAUUUACUCAUCAAAACAAAAUCAACAACAUCCAUAUUGACUACUUUUUGUUCGAGAUCAAAACGGACCUCCAAAAUGGAUUUUCGAAAAAGAAGGGCGAAAUCGUAACUUUAAUUCAAAAAUAUGUUUUUCAUAUUUUUAGAAAUAUACAUCUUAGAAUCCAAGACAAAUCGAGUUAAAAAUGAGGUUCAAAUUGAAGAAAAAUUAUUUUAAAGCUUUACAGAGCAAAAUCUUUGAAAUCCGAGUUAAAAUAAAAACCGGAGUUGUUUUGAAGGUUAAAUUGAUGAACAACUAAUAAUUAUAAGAUAAAAAUAUUAUUCAAGUGAAAAGAAGUGAAAUUGAGGUUUAAAAUCAAGCCCUAAGAUUUUUGGGGUUUUGAGAAAUUAAUAUACAAAUUACUAAGAAAAAAGUGAAUUCUUACCUUAAAUUCGUAAUAGAAUCAAGAAAUAGAUAUUAAUCUAGCUAUCCAAGCUCCCACAAGCUUCACUUUUAAUCUCCCACACUAUUUAACUCUCAAGAGGCAAGGUGAAAGAAUAGACAAAAUGGGUAAAAGAAAAGCUGUUAUAUUGUAGAAAAUUUGCAAUAUAUAGUGCAGAUUUUUUUCUCAAGUCAAAACGGACUUCGAUGGGGUGACCGAGAUUCGUUCGGAGUUCGAUAUACAUAAACAAACUAUGAAACCAUACUAAAUUCAACGUUCUUGACGGGUUGGAGAAUUCAUCUUUUUGAAAAAACAUUGUUUUCACAAAGUUGACUCCAGAAAUCUGAAAUUGCAAUUUUCCAAAUCGAGGGUCGAAAUGUGAUUUAAAAGCCAUAAAAUCACACCAAAUAUGUUACCACCUUAAAAUUGAUAUUCUAAAUCUGCUGGUGAAGUUGGAUUUUCCAUUCGAGGUCGUUUCAAUCAAAUGUGGAUCCUACACCCAUAUUUUUAAUUUUCCAACUUUUCGACCAAUAGAACGAAAUGAGCUCGGGUGCACCUGGAUAUGAACCAAAGGUCAACCUAGCCUAAAGUUGAUAUUCCAGAGUUGCUGGCAUAAUCCGUUCAACCAUCCAUCGCACGAAUCAAAAUAUAUCCCCAUAAGUUUAAAAUAAGGCACUCGAAGCCAUCAAAAAUCACAAUAUCGCACAAGUAGUACCAAAAUGCAUAAAAAAUCAUGUCAAUUACUCCCACACCCCAGAAAUACCAUAAUGCAACUACAGGGAAGGGUAAAAUAGUCAAAUCAUACAAAAUCACAAAUAUAACAUAUUUCAUCAAAUUUUUAGAUCGUUAUAUCAUCCACCACUAAAAAUCUAGUUCAUCCUCAAACUAAGACAAACAAAUAUCUGAAUCAAUGAAUAGCUGAGGAUAAGAACUACGCAUAUCAGACUCAACCUUUGAAGUAGCCUCAUCUACAGGUCGAUGUUUCCACUGAACCUUAACAACCGAGAUAACUCUAGAGCACAACCGCCUAAUAUCCCUAGCCAAAAUGGAGACCGGCUCCUCAACAAAAGAUAACCACUUAUCUAACUGAAUUGAAUCCCAACGAAUGACAUAAGACUCAUCUGGAAUAUAACGAUGAAGCAUAGAAACAUAAAAAACUAAAUGAACAGCUGAUAGAUCAGAGGGUAAAGCUAACUCAUUAGCCGCAUCAACAAUAGUCUGAAGAAUCUCAAAUGGACCAAUAUACUUGGGGCUAAACUUGCCACGCUUCCCAAACCUUAUUACAACCUUCAUGAGUAAAACUCAAAGAAAAAUACGAUUACCAGUAUCAAAUCUCAAGGCACGAAGUCUACAAUCAGCAUAACACUCCUGCCUACUCUGAGCCGCUCUAAGUCUAUCCUGAAUAACCCAGACUCUAUCCAAAAACUCACAAAGCAAGUCCAUACCUCGAGGUAUCACCUAUGAAACAUCAAACCAACCCACUGGGGAGCAAAAACAUCUACCAUACAACGCCUUAAAAGGAGCUAUAUCAAUACUGGAAUGGUUGCUAUCAUUAUAUGCUAACUCUGCUAAAGAUAAAUGUUGCUCCCAUUUGCCACCAAAAUCUAUCACACACGCGCGGAGCAUAUCCUCCAAAACCUAAAUAGUCUACUCUGACUGGCCAUCAGUAUGGGGUGAAAUAUUGCGCUAAGAUUAACCCGAGUACCCAACUCAUCCUGAAAAGUCUUCCAAAAGUGAGAUGUGAACACAAGACCUUGAUUAGAAAUAAGGGACACCAAUAUACCAUGAAGAUUCAUAAUCUAACGAAUAUAUAUACGGGCCAACCUUUCAGCACUGAAUGAGACCUGAACCAAAAUAAAAUGACCUGACUUGGUCAAUCGAUCUACGAUGACCCAAACACUAUCAGAACCACGAUAAGUACAAGGCAAAUCAGUCACAAAGUCUAUAGUGAUCUGUUCUCACUUCCACUCAGGAAUAGGCAAUCUCUGAAGCAAACCACCAGGUCUCAUAUGCUCGGCCUUCACCUGAACUUAGGCAACGAGCCACAAAAUCUGCUAUAUCUCACCUCAUACCACCCCAUUAUAGUAUUGUCUCAAAUUACGAUACAUCUUAUCACACCUAGAUGGAUGGAAUAUCUGGAACAAUGGGCUUUAUCCAAGGUCAACCUAAUCCACUCAUCCACUCUCGACACACAAACUCAACUUCCAAUCCACAAAACACCAUUUAAUUUAAGUGAGGCUUUCUUAGCAUCCCCACUCAAUACCUUAUCUAAAAUCGACCUCAAUCCAACAUCAUCAAACUAAUGAGCUCGAAUCUGCUCUAUUAAAGAAGAUCUAGCAUCCAUAAAUGUCAAAACAUGCCCUGUGUCGAAAUAUCAAGCCUAACCAUUUGGUUAGCUAAAGACUGAACCUCUAAAUCCAAAAGCCCCUCCUGGGUCAAAAGAUGGGACAAACUACCCAUGCUAGUCGACUUUCGGCUGAAGGCAUCCGCAACUACAUUAGCCUUGCCCGAAUGAUAGAGAAGAGUCAAGUCAUAAUCCUUAAGCAACUUAAGCCAACGACACUGCCUCAUAUUAAGAUCUCGCUGGGUGAAGAAGUACUGAAGGCUACGAUGAUCGGAGAAGAUCUCUCAACGGACUCCAUACAAGAAGUGCCUCUACAACUUCAAGGAAAACACAACUACGCACAACUCCAAAUCAUGGGUAAGAUAAUUCCUCUCAUGAAACUUCAACUGACGAGAUGCAUAUGAAAUCUCCUUGCCUUCUUGCAUCAACACAUCACCCAACCCAACAUCUGAAGCAUCACAAAAGAUGGUAAAACCCAAGCCCUCCUUGGGCAAAGUUAAGAUAAGAGCUGAAAUCAACAAAUCCUUGAGCUUUUGAAAGCUCGCCUCAUAAGCAUCGGACCACUGAAAAUAAAUCUUCUUCUGGAUCAACUUGGUCAAUGGAGAUACAAUGGAAGAAAAAUCCUCAACAAAACACAGAUAAAAACCUGCCAAGACAGCAAAAGUCUAAAUCUCAGUGGGUGAAGUAGGUCUAGCCUAAUCACGAACCGCUGCAACCUUGGAUGAAUCAACCAUAAUAUCAUUCUUAGUCACCACUUGACCCAUAAAAAUAGACUCUAACCAAAACUCGCACUCAGAGAACUUGACAUACAACUUCUUAUCCCUCAAUCUCUGAAGCACAAUCUGCAAAUGCUCUUCAUGCUCAACCUCACUCUUAGAAUACAACAAAAUAUCAUCUAUAAAUGUAUUAACAAAGGAGUCAAAAUAUGGUUGAAACACUCAGUUCAUCAACUCUAUAAAUGCGGCAGGGGCUUUGGUCAACACGAAGGACCUGACCAAGAACUCAUAAUGACCAUAUAGAGUCUAAAAAGCUGUAUUUGAAAUAUCUAAAGCUAUAAUCCUUAAUUGGUGAUAACCGAACCUCAAAUAAAUCUUCAAAAACACUGCAACACCUUGAAGCUGAUCAAAUAAAUCAUGGAUGUGAGAAAGAGGAUACUUAUUCUUAACCGUCACCUUAUUCAACUGUCGAUAAUCAAUACACAUCCAUAUAGACCCAUUAUUUUUCUUCACAAAUAAGAUAGGCGCACCCCAAGGUAAAAUACUAGGUCAGAUAAAUCCCCUAUCCAACAACUCCUGUAAUUGAUCCUUCAAUUUCUUCAACUCUGCUGGGUCCAUCCUUUAAAAAGAAAUUAAAAUAGGUUUGGUGCCCAUCUCAACACCAAUAGAAAAAUCAAUAUCUUGAUUCAGAGGUAUACCAAGCAAGUCCUUAGGGAAUACAUCCAUAAACUCACGGACAACACGGACAAAAUUCAAGAAGAGGCGAAAUAACACUGGUGUCACAAAUAUGAGCCAAGUAAGAUAAACAUCCCCUCUCAACCAAUUUGUGAGCCUAAACAUAAGAUAUAAUCCUCUUAGGACCCGAAUAAAGUGUACCCUUCCAAGCUAUCCUUGCGACACCCGAUGAAGCUAAAGUAACAGUCUUAGUAAAAUACCUUAAGACAGCAUGAUACGGAGCCAACCAAUUUAUACCCAAAUAACAUCAAAAUUGAUCAUAUCUAAUACAAGCAAGUCUACUAAAGAAUCAUGCUCGGCAAAAGUCACAACAUAAGAUCGGGGAGCCUAAUCUACCACUAAAGAAUCACCUACCAUGGUAGAUACACAAAUAGGCAUGACAAGAGGUUCAAUAACAAAAUCAAAAGCCAAAGAAAAAUACACAGAUACAUAGGAGAAAGUUGAUUCGGGACCAAAUAAUACAGAUGCAGGACUAAAACAAAUGGGGAUGAUACCUGUAAUCAUAGUAUCAUAAGUCACUGCCUUGAGUUUGGCUGGUAUAUCAUAACACUGACCAUGACCUCCAACUAGCUGAGUAGCCCAUGACUACCAUCACAAGCUCCACCACCUCUACCUUUCUCUCCUCUGGUAGCACCCCUACCCCUCACAGAUAAAAUAGGAGUUGCUCGAAUCACCUAGCGGGGAUAGUCCCUAGUUAUAUGGCCAAUCUCAUCAUAUGCAUAACAAUCUCUACGACCAAUUUUAGUAGAAAAAGGUACAACUGAGACUGAAUGGCCACCCUAAAUUACUGAACUAGAAGAUCUACCACUUGAACUUUGUAAAGCCGCCUGCACUGGCCUACCAUGGUACCUCUACAACAAGAAACCUGACCUCUAAAAUCACAAAAAUAAUACACCUUCUUAGUGCCUCCCUGUGAUACCAAAAGAAUGCCCUCUACCAUCUUAGCCUGAUCCAUAAUACUCUGAAAAAAGCCCUAAACACAACCAUCUAAGGCAUAACCAACUGAAGUGAGACAUCUAUACCCUUCACAAGCUUUUGAAUCUUCUCAGACUUAGUGAAAAUGCUAUCAUAGAUAUAUCUAGAUAGGUCAUGAAAGUGUGCCUCAUAUUCCGCAACUGUUAUGGAGCCCUGCUCCAAAUGAUCAAAUUUAUCCUGCAUCUGAUCCCUUAAGGCACGAAUCUCUCCAGAAAAGCAUUAACAAACUGAUCCUAUGAAAAUUUAGGACCAUCAACAAGCCUACAACCGAUAAAUAAUAUCCACCAUUCUCUUGCAAUAUCUAUUAAUUAAUAUUAGUAUAAGCUACACCAUCCACACAGAAAGAGUGAAAUACAACUCAGAAUAUAAAGUAUAAAAGAACUUCACAUGAUAAAGAAUAAAAUAAGAAAAGUUUUCUAAGACGUCUUACAGCCUCUGAAAGAUAGAUAAGGACGUCUAUGUACUAAUCCGAGAGACUCUAUUAGAUAUCCCAUUCUUACACCGUUGAGACCAAUGAAACCUGGUUGCUCUGAUACCAAUUCAUCAUGAUCUAAAAAUUGAUAGGUCAUGAUGACACUUGUCGCGAUGAACUUUGACAAGAAUCCACUCAACCAAACUGCUAGAUAUGGGUAAAAUGUAGAAAUGCCCCCAAGGUAAGGCUUAUAGAAUGAAGUCGAACUAUACAAGUAAUCAUAACAAUGCGAAAAGAAAUUAUUCAAAAUACUAAUCAGGUCCAAAACCAGGUAUCAAUAGUGUAAGAACUACUAAUACAAUCCAGAAGUCAAAUACAUUAGAAAAAUAACCACAAGGGAAUAAUAUCUAUCUCCUAAUACUAAUAAAGACAUAAAUAAUACAAAAAUAUAUAGGUGAACUCCGGACGUAUGAAUGUCCAACCGCUACCUUGAGUAAUUUGAAAACGCCUAAAAAUUAACUAAUCUGAGGUGUACCCAAACUUGAAGCUGCACUGAAAGGGUGAACUAGGAGUGAAUACGGUCCAAUUGUACUCAGUAGGUAUCAUAGGCCGACCGACCAAAGUAGAAAAUAAAACAUACAAAAUACACACCAAGGGUACAUCACCUGCAACCAAAAAAUGUCCCACAAUGGUAACCAACACUGCUUGCAGUAAGAGUUCUAAUACAUCACAUAUAUUACAAUAACACACCAAGAUAUAAAAUAAAAGUAUACAUUAUAUUACAUAUAAGUAGAAUAAGGGAGGACAUAUAGAUACAAGAUCAUCAAAUACAAGUAAAGGAAGGUAAGACAAAUACAUAGAUGACAAGUCAAUAUGGCAAUACAACACAACAUAAACACAAUAAAGUAUGUGCAAUGUAUAUGAUGAUGAUGAUGAUGCACGAGGUCGUCGCACAACUUCCGAGAUUGCCACACAAUCCCUGUAUACACCUCUGGAGCUAAAUCUUUCCGACGUAGGACCUAUGAGGGGUUCAUCAACCUAUAUACAAUCCACAUAUCUCAUAUCUCCUUUUCGACAUAUUUCUCAAAAUUGCUUUUAUAAGAUGUUAUAAUAUCUCCUCCCAGCACAUCCCUUGGAGAGGGUUUUAAAAAGGUGUUGCAAGUGUUACUCAGGUAUUGCCACAGUGGCACCAAUAUUUCAUGAAUAAGUAUGAUAUGAGGAUGUAAUGGUUACAACCAAUCACAAAGAGUAUUUCCAUAACCAACCAUAUGAUAUAGUUCCACAACCAACCACAAUGAUAUAUUUCCACUAGCAACCACAUGAUAUAUUUUUACAACCAACCACAAUGAUAUAUUUCCACAAUCACGUGAGCUAAUAUCCACUCAUUAUUUCAGUUUCAUUCACGAAUUUCCACAUGUCUCAUAUGCCAAUAAAGUAUGAAUGUAAUCAUAAUACACCAAUGGUACCAUAUUAAUUAUCUUAACAGUACAAUAUGAUUAUUCACAUGUAUUCAAGGCUAUUAAUAUCACAUAGCACCCCACACGAUCACACAUAUCACAUAAUAACUCAAUUUUGAUACUUACAUCACAUAUAGGCCCCCACACGAUCACAACACAUAAAUAGACAUUUUUCAUGAUUAGUUACCAUCCUUAAUGCAUUUUGUAUCAUCAUUUAUACCUAGCACAGUGUGAAAGAGUUAAACCAUAGCCUACCAUAAAAGCUAAAACGAUCCGCUAAACUUCAAACCCACGACCUUAAUUUUCACAAAUAAUCCUUAACUCUACUAAAAAUAUCUAAUAUGAAAUCUAAGCAUAAAAACAAAACCAACGACAUCCAUAUUAACUACUUUUGGUUCGGGGUCAAAAUGGACCCCCGAAAUGGAUUUCCAAAAAAGAAGGGAAAAAUCUAGAACUUUGCUUCAAAAACAUGUUUCCCAUACUUUGAGGAAUCUACAUAUAAAAAUACAAGUCAAAUCGAGUAAAAAACGAGGUUCAAAUUAAAGAAAAAUUAUUUUUAAGCUUUACCGGGUAAAAUCUUUAAAAUUCGGGUUAAAAUCAAGAAUCAGAGUUGUUUUGAAGGUGAAAUUGAUGAAAAACUAGUUACUAUAAGAUAAAAAUAUUAUUCAAGUAAAAGGAAGUAAAUUUGAAGUUUAAAAUCAAGCUCUAAGAUUUUUGGGGUCUUGAGAAAUUAAUCAACAAAUUACUAAUAAAAGAGUAAAUUCUUAUCUUAAAUCCGUAAUAGAAUCAAGAAAUAGAUAUUAAUCUAGCUAUCCAAGCUCCCACAAGCUUCACUUUUAAGCUCCCACACUAUUUUUGGAUUCAACUCUCAAGAGGCAAGGUGAAAGAAUAGACAAAAUGGGCCAAAAGAGGUAAAAGAAAAGCUGUUAUAUUGCAGGUUUUUUGCAAUAUAUAGUGCAGAUUUCUUCCCUUAAGUCGAAACGAACUUCGAUGGGGUGCCUGAGAUUUGUUUGGAGUUUGAUAUACACAAAAGAAAUAUGCAACCAUAUUAAAUUCGACGUUCCAAACGCGUUGGUGAAGUGAGCUUUUAAAAAUAAUGUUGUUUUCACAAAGCUGACCCCCGAAACCUGAAAUUAUAAUUUUUCAAACCAAGGAUCGAAUUGAGAUUUAAAAGCUGUAAAAUGACACCAAACAUGUUACCACCCUAAAAUUGAUAUUCUGGAUCUGCUGAUGAAGUUAAAUUUUCCAUUCGAGGUCAUUUCGAUCAAAUGCGGGUCCCACACCCAUAUUUCUAAUUUUCCAACUUUUCUACCAAUAAAUUGAAAUAAGAUUGGGUGCACAGGAUCUAAACCAAAGGUCUACCCAACCUAAAACCGUUCAACCAUCAAUUGCAUAGAUCAAAAGAUAUCCCCAUAAGUCUAAAAUAAGACCCUCGAAGCCAUCAAAAAUCACAAUAUCACAUAAAUAGUACCAAAAUGCAUCAAAAACCAUGUUAAUCACUCCCACACCCCAGAAAUAACAUAAUGCAACUACGGAGAAGGAUAAAGCAAUUAAAUCAUAUGAAAUCACAAAUUUAGCAUAUUUCAUCAAAUUUUGAGAUCAUAACACCUUACUAGUGUGUAAUGGGCUAAGGCUCAUUUGUUUUUUUGAAGUUAAAUGGGCUUUUGCCACUUUUUUUUCUCUAUAUUUUUUUCUUUCCAAUUACAAAUACUCAUUAUUUAAUGAUAUGGGGGUAUUACAUUCUCCCCACCUUAAUAAAUUUGGUCUCCGAAUUUAAAACAAGUGCAUACCUGUAGACUGAAAUAAGUGAGAAUACUUGACCCGCAUGUCAAACUCCUAAGUAGCUCCUUUAAUGGCAUAGUUUCUCUAUAUGAAUUUCAUGGACACAAACUCUUUUGACCAUAAAUUUCUUACUUAUCUAUCAAUAAUUUCCACUGGUUCCUCUUCAUACAUUAUAUUUUAAUCAAGUUGCAAGGUUGGUGCUUUGAGCACACGAGAGAAGUCUGAUAUACAUUUCCUCAACAUAGACACAUGGAACACCGAAUGGUUGAAAUACAUCUCAGGAGGAAGUGUCAAAUGAUACGUACCUCCCCCUAUACGAUUAAGUAUCUCAUGAGGUCCUAUAUAUCUCCGGCUCAAUUUAUCCUUUUCCCCCAAUUGGAUUACUCCUUUCAUUGGAGAGACUCGUAGAAAAACCUUAUCUCCAACUGUGAAUACUAACUCUCUUCUCCUCUUAUCUGCAUAAGACUUCAAUUUGCUUUGAGCUGUAAGAAACUCCUAUCUAAUCAAUUAGACCUUAUCCAUAGCUUUUUGUACUAAGUCUGGUCCUAAAACCUUAGCCACUCCAACUUUAAACCACUUGACAAGAGAACGAUAUCGCGUACCAUACAAGGCUUCAUAUGGAGCCAUCUGAAUACUUGACUAAAAACUAUUAUAAGUGAAUUCAGCUAAGGGUAAGUAAGUAUCCCAGCUACCUCCAAAAUCAAGGAUGCACGCUCUCAACAUAUCCUCCAAAAUUUGUAUAGUGCACUUAGACUAUCCGUCUUAUCUAUGGAUGAAAGUACUCGGGUACCCAAUGAGUCUUGGAAAGAUUUCUAAACGAGUGAAGUGAAUCGUGAUCCUCUUUCAGAAAUGAUGGACAAUGGAACUCUAUGAAGUAGAACAAUUUCAUCCAUAAAUAACUGAGCAUAUUCACUCCACUAUAUGUAGUCUUUACUGGCAAAAAAUGUGCUGAUUUAGUAAGUCAGUCUACAAUUACCCAUGUAGAGUCAUAACCUCUAACUAUUCAUGGUAGCCUAAUUACAAAAUCCAUGGUAACUCUUUCACAUUUCCUAACUGGAUCCUGAUUUGUAGUAAUCCUGUGGCUCGCUAAUGCUCCGCUUUAACUUGGGGACAAGUCAAACAACUAGAAAUAAAGUUAGCAAUAUCUUUCAUCAUACCUUUCCACCGAUAAAAUUACUUUACGUCAUAAUACAUCUUAGUGGAGCCAGGGUGUAUGAUAUAUCUGGAGUUGUGAGAUUCCUCAAGAAUGUCUCGUCUUAAUCUGUUUGCAUCUGGUAUAUAUAAUAGAUUACUCAAUCAAAGAAUACCAUCAAAUUCAACACCCAUUUUCUUAUCUUGACCAGCUAGGACCUCAUCUAGAUAUUUUUACAACUGCACAUCCUCAUUUUGAGUGACCUUUAUGCACUCUACCAAGGAAGAUUUGGCUUGAACAUAAGCCAACUAUACCUCUAACCUUCCAAUACCAAAGUGGACACCUUUGCCUUCACGUGUCUAUAUAUCCUUUGCCAAUUAUCUCUUUCCCAAAGUUAUAUGCGCCAAAUUGCCUAUAAAUUUUUUGCUUAAGGCAUCAACCACAACAUUGGAUUUCCAAGACGAUACAAACAGAACAAUCAUAAUUCUUGAGUAGUUCCAUCCACCGAUGCUGUAGAAGAUUUAGAUAACUUUUCUGGAAAAUGUACUUUAAACUCUUAUGAUUGGUAUAAAUCUCACAAGUUUCACCAUAUAAGUAACGCCUCUAAAUCUUAAGAGCAAAUGCCACAGCGGCCAUCUGAAAAUCAUGUACAGGAUAGUUCUACUAAUGCUUCUUCAAUUGUCUUAAGAUAAGCUAUAACGCGAUAUUGUGGAAUGAGAACACAUCAUAAUUCCACCCUCGAGAAUUAGCAUAGAGUCUAUCCAAAAAUACCUCUAUCCAAAAUAGUUAUCCUUUGAGAACUUAGCAUAGAGUUAUUCUUAGAAAACCAUCUUUUCUCUUUAAGAACAAGACUGGUACACCCCAUGGUGAUACAGUUGGUAUGAUAAAACUCUUAUCUAACAAGUCCUGCAAUUCUUGUUUGAGCUUCUUCAGUUCUGCUGGUGCCAUACGAUAUGAGGUAUAGAUAUUAGCAUAGUGUCAGGUGCAAAAUCAAUACCAAAGUGUAUCUCUCAUAUUGGAGGCAAUCCUAGAAAAUCCUUAGAAAAUACCUCAAAAAAUUCCUUCAUAAUAUGUAGCUCCUCCAAACUAAGUGUUCCCACUCUAACGUCGCUUACCAUAGGUAAGAGACCCAUACAACCUUUCUUUAAUAAUCGUUGACCCUUCAUAAAAGAUAUAACUUUAACAACCUAUGGGACUUGACCCCCUCUUAAUACAAAACUAGGUUCGUUGGGUAUCUCAAAGAAAAUUAUCUUUGCAUGAAAUCUACAAUAACAUAGCAAAGAGAUAAAGAGUCUAUGACCAUCAACACAUCAAAGUCAAUCAUAUUUAGUACAAUCAAGUCAGCAAGAGUAUCCCUACUUUACAGUAUAAUCUGGCAAUCAUGAUACACAUACUCAACUAAUAAAGAAUCUCCCAUGCGAGUGACAAUAAAAAAGGACAAUUUAACUUCUCUAACUAUUUAUCAAAUCUCAAAGACAAGUAUGAGCACACAUAAGAAUGGGUAGAACCCGGAUCUAACAAAGCAUAUGGAUUAAAUGAAAAGAUCAAAAGAAUAUGUGUAACCACUCCAUUUUAGGCCUGAACAUCCUAUCUAGUAAGUGCAAAAACUCAUGAUUGGCCUCUACUAAUAUUUUACGAUGCCUGAUUUCCAGCAAUACGACCUCUAUUAUUUCGGCCUCUAUUUAUAAUACCUAUAGUAUCAUGAGUAGCUUGAACAAGUACAUCUAACUAACCAAAACCUUGACUAAUAUUUCUUGGAGGCUAAGGAUUAUUCUUGAUUCAAUGGCCCCACAUACCACACCAAAAACACUUUCUAAUCAAAAUAUGACACUAGCUCAUAUAUGAUUUUGCUAUAAGUCGGCGACAAGAUAGAGUAGUAGCGUACAUCUGCCCAGAACUAUGAUAUCCAUGAGAUGUUGAAGACCUUUAAGUAUCCUAUCUAUGAGGUGGCUUGUAUGCAGACCGUGAAAUCAAAUCUAUCUCCGACUGAUGGCCCUAUUUAUUUUCUCUGAUUCCCUGCUCUGUUAUUUUCACUAAAGUUACACUAAAAGAUACCCCCUAUCUUAGCCUUCUUACCAACAUCAUAAGUUGCCUGCUCCAUUUGAUCCUUGUUGUUAAUUUUUCUAGCAAGAUCCACUGCUUCAUAAUAGGUUAAGGCUUUUAUCUUUGGGGAUACUGCUAACUAAACCAUUAAUAAACCUUUGAACUUGAGUUGCUUCUAUGGACACCAAGUAUGAGGCAUAUAUAUCCAGCUUGCAGAAUUUGGUAUUAUAGGUCUAUACAUCCAUAUCUCGAGUCUGGAUUAAUUUCUCAAACUGAUCUAUAUAUUUUUGUUUUUGUCUGUAAGGAAGAAAGUUAUACAUGAAGAACUUAGUGAAUUUAUCCUAUGUUAGUGGUGCUACUCUAGUAGGCCUUCCUAUCAAUAAUGUAUCAUACCAUGUGUUAGCUAUGUCUUCCAAUUUAUACACUGCAUGCUCCUCAACUCUCUCAGUAGAACAUCCUAGAGUAUGUAAUGCCAUAAGUGUACCAUCCAAAAAGCUUCGAGGAUCUGCUAAACUAUCUGAACUUGUGAAUUUUGGUGAUUUUAACUUCAGGAACUCUUGCAAAGAAACCUUUUUGUUUCCAAACUUGUAAGUUUGUACAGGUAAGUUUAUGGCUGAGGCUGUACAAGUGCAGAAGUAUGAUGACCAACUCUCUCUUACCUAUUUAUUCGAUCAACCAAACUCUCUAUGACUCUUUCCAUAGAAGCAAGUGCCUCACUAGUAUUACCUUCAUGUGAAGAUAGAGGUGGUCUAGCACUCAUCUUAGGAUUGGUCUCUCUUGAAAUUCUCAAAUGGUAGUGUGAUUUUCUAUGGUAUCACUACAAUACCUGCUUUAGCCCUUUCUGUGAGUUCCACCUCUUUCUCAAGCUAUGAAAGUUGGUUGUCUUUUAGAGCUGGCAUUAAUUAUCUAAAGUAUAGCUAGUGUAUCUCUACCAUUAGUUGCUCGAGUGUGAACCAUCUGAUUAACAAAACAACUAUGGUUAGAUUCAUCUAAUUGGUUCUAAACGUCACACACAUAAGAAAUAAUGAGAAAGAAAAUCAAGAAACAUUCUAUCAGUCUCACACAAUCAGGAUUAUAGAAAUGACUAACAACAUAACCAUACUUGAGAUUCUAAACUAACGCGUGAUCCAGUAGUCAGAGAAUAAUCUAGGAUAUGAUAUCAACUUUGUCAUGACCCAAAUUAGGACAUGACCGGCGGUACAGAGGUUAUAACUCCAAGCAAGCCUCGUCAGUAUUCUACAAAAAAUUAGGUAGAGUUUUCCCUAUUUUUGGGCCUAUUAAAUUUUUUUUCAUAUUUUCAUUAUCUCAAAUUCACCACAUAACAAACCAAUAUAACCAAACAAUGCACCAAUACCAUCAACAACCCAUUCACGAUGAAAUAAUGCUACUAAAUCUAUCUCCAAAAUGUGAGAAGAAGUCAAACACUCCACAAGUCCAUAACAACAGUAGAAUACUCAAACUCUAAAGGAAUGACUAUGGAGAAACUCUAAGAGUUUUCAAGGAAAAGAACAUAACAAAAUAAAUAAAUUACUACCCACACGAACAAGGCGGGACUCACUAGGAAUAUGCCAACUCGUAUGCUCUGGUUAAUAAAAUCCUUACUAACGUCACCUCAGUUAUAUGUAAAAAUAAUAGUGAGGAGUGAGAUUCUAGAUCAAUGAGUAAACACUUAACCUUAACAAUUUUAAUAAGGACAAGUCAGAAAAUAUUAUGAAAUAAUUGCCUUUUUAGAAAACAGAAAUGAUAAGUAGUAACCUUUUUAUCAAGUAAGCAAGAUGAACUAAUUGUUCAGUAAUAGACUCAAUAAGUAUUGUAUCAUAUCAAAUAUUACAUAUUUGAGAGGUUUUCAAGAAUAAAUCAUGUAAUCAGUGUGACUUUCUACUUGAAGAAUAGUCAAUAACUGCGGACCCACCAUAAAUGAGUCAAAUGAUAAUAUUAGUAAAUCCUUACUUGAGGGAAAUCAAUAACGAUAUACUAGUUCUACUUUGCCAAGGUCUAUAAUUGUAAUCUGUAAAUACAAGGUGCACUAGGUCUACUCCCAUUUGUGUUUUUCUUUGUAAGUGGUAGGCACUCUUAUAACAAUCUUUUGAAAAUAUUAUAGGACAUUUAAGUUUGUAUCAAAUCAUAUUAUACGACAGUUUAUGAUUCAAUCCUUUAGUAUACUUACUCAGUUCAUAAGAUCUUAACUCAUUUCUCUAUCUCUUUAGUCCCUUAUUCUUAAACAUACAGUCCAAACCCGAUUUUAUUCUUAAACAUACAGUCCAAACCUGAUUCCAUAAAAAUAUAUGAAUCAAAUAUAUAAACUAAGUUAAGAAAAUUAUCUUUCUCUUCUCCUUCUCUCUUUAUAUUAGCUAUCAAUGUAUCCGAAUUUUUCUCUCCUUCAUGCUUCUUUCUGAGUACAAGGCAACUAAAAUUCUUUUUCUCUUUAUUGUUUACGUGGUUGGAAGAAGCCACUUAUAUUGACUUUGGGAAAUUAGAAGCCCUUACUAAUGUGCAAUGGGCUAUGACUCAUUUAUUUUUUUCAAAAUUAAAUGGGCUUUAACCCAAUUUUUCUUCUCUAUUUUCAUCGCAACUAUAAAUACUCAUUAAUUAAUGAUAUGAAAAUUAUAAUUUGUUUCUGUAACUAUAUACCAAUUGAUUAGUAAUAUUUCAUCAAACAAUAUGUGCAGGGGUUUAAAAAUGAAAGCUUAUGUGUAGUUUGUAAUAUAUUUGGUUGAAAUGCGUCUUUUGGAACAAAAAAGAAAAGUUUGGUGUGAUGAUCCUCGUUGUUGAUUUUUUAUUUCUGCAUGUUUUGACUAUUUUAUUCAUUUGCAUAGUUAUUUAUUGUAUUUGUAGUAUGUGAGAGUGGGUGGUAUGGUUUUGGAGGUUGUUCGUGGAAAAAUAUGCAAGUUUUUCAUUUUGGUAGGUCAGAAAAUUUAUAUGGUUGAUUUUAGUCAACAUUCAUAGAAGCUGAGCUCGUAUCAAAAUUUUUUUAGUUCCAUCGGCUCUGAAAAGUGAUUUUUGAGUGAGUUUGAUUCCAAGUUCAAGUUUUGAGGCACUAAGAUGAGUUUUGGAAGAGUUUUUAUAUUCUUAAAGAUGGAAACUUAAGAGAGUUGACCAAAAUCAACAUUUGAGAGUAGGAAGUCAUUUUUGAGUUUCGACAAUUUUCGUAUUUUUGACCUAGUUGAAGGUUUGGUUUAGUUACUAAAGCUUUUAGGAGUAUUUUGGUCCUUUGGAUGAGCUUCUAGAGUUCUGUUAUGCUUGGGUUAACUUCAAUCAACAUCCGACCAAAAUAGUUCCGAAUGAAUGUUUUGAUGAUCCAUCAAGUCCGAAAUGUGUUUAUCAAUUGGUUUGCACUAUUGAUUUGUGUCCGAAAGGUAUCAGAUGAGAAUUAUCCAUAGUUUGGCAUUUUACGUUGUUGAGUUUUAAUAGUACUAAGAACGAGCUUUACUAUGGCAUUUGAAGAGGCAUAUCAAAUGGCUAAUAAAAGUGGUACAUAAGUAUAGCAAACAAUUUACAUAAGAAGAAGAGUGUCAAUUCAAUAAUUUUAUCUAUGUACAAUGUCUGGUAAAGUAAGAGCUGAAUGAUUUUUUAUGAAAAAUGUCAAUUAAGGAGGAGGUUAAAGGUGUUUUAUUUAAAGAAGUACCAUGAUGCUUUUAUCAAUCAUGUUGGGACACAGUUAGAGUAGAUGCUUUAAACUUGUUUGUAGCUUCUUUGUUGGCAGAUCUUGCUAGAAAUUAUUAUUCAUACUAAUCUGAUUCUUUUACUAAAGAAAACUCUUACUCAAAAUUAUCAUAUCUAAGACCUACAAGUCUCAACAACUUUAUCAGUAAGAUCAUUUCAAAGUGAAUNNNNNNNNNNNNNNNNNNNNNNCCUACUAAUUUCUUUAAGAGUAGUGCUAAAUAACUCGGGGGUGGAUUGACUCGAUUUACUCGAAAAGGGUAAAAUGAUGGUUUUGCCCUUUGACUCCAAAAUUGCCUAUCCUUCCCUCCAAAAUUGCAAUACCACUUUUUAUUUUUCUAAUUUUUUUAUUAGACCAAACUUCUCCCCUACUAUUUUAACUUUCCUCUUUUACAUUUUGUCUUCACUAAUCAAUCUACUUUACUCAAUUAAAUUCCCCUAACCAUUUCAUUACACUUGGUCAUUAAUUAUUCUAUCCUCUUUCAUUUCAUUUGGGUAUAAUGGGUCAUAAUGAAUGUAAUAACCAAUUAAGAGCAACAUUACAUGACAUUUUUAUCUUGGAGGACAAUGAUAGUUUGCAUGGUAAUAAAGAUUCAUAUGGUGGAUAUGCUGUUGAUCCAGAUCGAUAUUUAGACACGGACAAUGAAGACCUUCAAAACCUGGAUGAUGGGGAUAUGAAUAGGUCUCAUUAAUUGGUUCAAGAUGAAGAUUUAAGUAUUUUCGACGGUGAAGAAGAUCAUUAUGGGGAUGAUAAUGUUGAAGAAGAGGAAUACCCAAUGUAUGAUGAUAGCUACACUGAAGAGCAAUAUAUGGAAGGCCUUGUUGAAGGUAUGUAUUUUCGUUAUGUACAAACCGGCUUUGCAUUUUAUAAAAAACACAGUCAUUUGACUGGUUUUGGAGUUGUUAAGAAAAGUGCAAAAAAGUUGGCUGGUCAAUUAAAGUAUGUGACAUUUGGGUAUGAUAAGUGCCUAAAAACAACGACUAGGAAUCAAAAUAAGAGGGUUGAUUUCAAAGCUAGGGAGAACUGUCAAGUGAUGAAUGAUGGUUCGUGCAUAGUGACAAAGGUUAUCUUAGAGAACAAUCAUGAGUUGGAACCUGCACUGUCGCAUUUUAUGCCCUCCCAUAGGGAAUUGAGCAGGAUUGUCAAGAAGAGUCUAGUAGCGCACGACAUUGUAGGUCUAAGGCCUUAAAAAAUCAUAAGACUCUUGGAGGUCAAAGCUGGAGGCCCUGAAAAAAUGAGGUGCACUCCUAAGGACUAUUUUAACUACAUUCUUCAGUAACGGAGGCUCCGAACACUUUCCAAUGAUGCUGCCAUAUUGCACAGAUUUUUUGUGGAUAUCCAGUCCAAGGACAAAAUUUCUUUUGUUUAAUAGACUCCGAUAAUAUUGGCAGACUUCAGAAUGCUGUGUGGGUGCAUACACACUGCAAGGCUGCCUACCAUGACUUCAACGAUGUCAUAUUCUUUGAUAUAACCUACCUCGUGAAUCAGUGGUAUAUGACAUUUCCUUCCUUCAUCGGUGUUAAUCACUAUAACCAGUCCAUACUUCUGGGAUGCACUUUGAUUACGAGUGAGGACAUCGAAACAUAUGCUUUUGUAUUCAAAACUUGGCUUAUGACCAUGGGAAAAAUCUCUCCAAUGGCUAUUCUCACAGACCAAUGUGAGAGUAUUAAGGCAGUUAUUCGUGAGGUGAUAUCGAAUACUGUCCACAGGUAUUGCAUUUGGCAUAUCUUUACCAAGCUACCCGUAAAGCUCAGGGGGUGACCAAUUAUACGCCUGCCAAGGCUCGCUUCAAAGCGAUCAUCUUUGAGAGCAUUACAAUUACUGAAUUUGAGGAUAAAUGGCAGGCCUUCAUUGAAAAAUAUGACUUGGGUCAACGGAUUUGGUUCCAAAAUCUUUACUUAGAGCGGUCCAAAUGGGUUCCCAUAUUUCUCAAGCACUUCUUUUGGGCUGGUAUGAUGUCCACUCAAAGGUGUGAAUCAAUGCAUGCUUUUUUUGAUGGCUACAUCAGCGGUCAAAGCUUUCUAAAGUAUUUUGUUGAGCAAUAUGAGGUUGCCCUCAGGUUUAAAUAUAAAAAGGAAUUGGAGAGCCAAGCUAGAAAAAUAAAGCAGCUUGGACGACCUAUCAUCGCCUUCGACUGGGAUGUGCAGAUAUAUGGCCACUACACCCAUGCUAUUUAUGAUUUUUUUAGGGUGCAUGUAUCAAGGCUACCACACUGUGAAAUUGAAAGACAUGUCCAUUUUGAUGCGGUGAAGGGAGUUAAGGUAUAUAACAUGACAGACUAUUCGACAUGAAGUGAUUAUCACAGUGAUAAUUUUUUUUUCACCGUGGAGUACCAUCCCGCCAAUCAAUAUAUUGAAUACAAUUGCAAGAUCUUCGAAAGUGAAGGGAUUGUGUGCUACCAUAUUAUGAGGAUGAUGACUUUCAAAAGGAUUUAUCUAUUUCACGAUAGAUAUAUACUUCACUGCUGGAGGAGAGACAUAGUCUGCCCAUAUCUGAGUAAAUUCUUUAUAAGAGGGUACCCAACAAUAAUGAAUGAGUACUGAGUGUACAAUGGGAUCGAGAAAUAGUUCGAUAGAAACUGCGACCUCGUAUUGGACUGUCCCAUUAGAUUCAAGGACCUGAAGAAUGUUAAAAUACAUAGUCUGAAAAUAUGACAUGGCUGCCCCGAACGUUCCUGAUUUGGACUCUGAUAUUGAUUAAACAUUCAUAAGAAAUCUGAGGGAGGUUCGUUCACGUGGAAGGCCCCAGAUCCCCAGAUCAAUAAAAAUAGAUCUUUGCAUCAAUAUGCAUUCCGUGAAGAUGCUAGGAAAUGGCGAUCUAGAUACUAUCAUGUAUAUGAGGAUGGACAAAGCAGUCAAGGUAGGAGUGGCGAUGGGAGACAGGGUCGUAGAGGUAGUAGAUGAGGUGGUGUGUGUGGUUGUAGAGGAGGUAGAUACGAUGAUGCAAAUGUAAGUAAUCAUCCCACAGUACAUGAGUUUUUAUAGUACGAUAUGCCUUUUCUUUCCUUAAUCUGUAUUGUAUUUGAUUCUACGAUAUUGUAUGAUACUCAUAAAUACUUCUCUAUUUAUGUGUAGGUGUUGAAGUUGUUUAAUAUAACAACUAUGUUAUCUUAGAUAGGAGUAUCCCAUUUAAUGAAAUCAUAGUCCACUUUAUUGUACGGGAUUAAGAAUUUUCAGCCUCAUCAUGCAUCAUACAGGAAAGAAAUAUGUUGCUGCUGUUGUAAUUUUUUUAAAACACUGUAAUAGAUGGCAAAAGUAUUUUCAAUUUUCUUGCUUAAUUGUUUUGUAACAAGUCGAAUGGCAAGGUGAUUCUUGUCAUUCCCCAUCAAAUUUGAAAGGGUUAGAAGAUCCCAAAUCAAUAGAAAUAAUGAUAUGCAAGCUAGUAGAUAAAUCAACCAUUAAAUAAUUCAACGCAAUCAACUUUAAAAUAAUCGAGAACCACUGCGUCGGAGCUUGAAAGGCAAAAAUUAGACAAACAAAGAUUGGUAAAAAUAUUUGUAGCUACAUAAAUGGAAUGUUAUUGAAUGCUACAGUAGUAUAAAUAGUAUCGUUCUUGUGUCUCCAAUUUAUAGGUAUCACGUCAUGUUUCUUCAUCCCAUUGAUCCUUGGUCACUUCUAUUAACGAACAAGUUGUCUUUCUUCAGUCGCCAUGCAAACUUAAGUCAUCCAAACUGAUCCCUAACUGGAGCUACUUCCUCUUUGAAAACCAACUAUGUUUACAUUUUCCGACCGUAAAAAAUAUCAUAUUUCUCACUACUAUUUUUGUCGGUCGAACAAUGUAAAUAUGGGUGGUUUUGGAAGAGGAAGUGGUUACAGUGAGCGUUCGGUUUGCAGGAGUUUGUGUGGCGAUUAGUGAAAGACAACCUAUUCGUUAAGAGAAAUGGCCAAGGAUCAAUGGGAUGAAGAAACACGAUGUGAUGCCAAUAAAUUGGAGACAUAAGAACAAUUCUAGUUAUACUACUGUAGCGUUCAAUAAUAUUCCAUAUAUGUCGCUGCAAAUAUUUUUACCAAUCUUUGUUUGUCUAAUUUUUGCCUUUCUAGUUCCUACGCAGUGGUUCUUGAUUAUUUUAAAGUUGAUUGAUUUGAAUUAUUUAACAAUUGAUUUGUCUACUAGCUUGCAUAUCAUUAUUUUUGUUGAUUUGGGAUCUUCUAACGAUAAAAGGCACAACAUGUCUUGACCAAUAUUACGUUACGAUGAUCCACAUACGUUAAUUAAAAAUCAUGCAUUAUUGCUAAUUUACGCUGAUGAGACUUUAGUAGAAUCACUCUUAUAAUAUUUCUCUAGCAAUUAAUGUAGACAUUUAUUGGUAUCACAAUGCAGCCAACAUAGUCUAAUUGAAAUUGAAAGUAGUCUCUAAAUAUGAAGUUACCUACUUCAAUGCUUUUCAACACUAAACCACAAAUGUUUAAGCAUGUCUAUUUUAUUUUACUUUUAUAUAUAGUAUUCAUCAAAGCCUGGUCAGUUUGAAAUUUUAUUUCCUAAUCUCUUGCUGGCAUUAUUAAAAAUCCUUUGAUCUUCGAAUUAUUAUCAUCAUUAAGAAGAUUUCAAUUAUCACUUACAUCUCAGUAAAAAUUAAACUAAUAAAACUGUGCAACGUUAAAUGGAAAGGCUUCCUGUAAAGAGUAAUAUUGGAACAUAAACAAAGUAAAAACAUAUGAACAAAGAAAGUUGACAGUUAUCUAUUUGAUGUCAUUCGUGGGACGGAGGUUGGUUGCUGUGGCUUUGCAUUUUAUCCACCACUGUUUCCAUGUAACUUAUAAGCAACUCCUGCUUGCGGCUAAAACUCUCUGUACCCCUACUCAUAGCAUCAACCUAUUUUCUAACCUCGGUCAUCUGAGAACACAGCGACAAGAGGUUAUUAUGGGGAGCCGAAAAGUAUUUGGUUGUGAAAGGGGCUCCAAGAUUGGAAGUUGCGGGAUUAUUUUCUUGGGAGCCCAUUUUAAGUAUCAAUUCUUGUUUUUUAUUCUGUAUAUGAUCUUAUAUUCACAUAUUUAAAUAGAAAGGCAUUGAAGGCUUCAAAAACAAGUGAAAGUUAAGGUAAUACAUGUGGUAGAUGUUCCAAUAGUCAUAACAUUUAAGAAAUUAUUAUAUUUCCAAGGAAUGUAGUAGGAAGGUCAAAAAUAUCUCAACUUUGAAAAAUUUUCAGCAUUCAACAUUCAAUAAAUCGAAAUCAACAACUCAAACUUUUCAGUUAAUAAUAGUUAUUUUUUUUGUGUAGUUACUCUUUGUAGUUAUUUUAAAGGAUAACUAAUACGGAAAAGAUUUUGGAAUAAAAUACGUUAGAAAAUUUAAGCAAUUUGCUCUAGUUGAUUUGUUGAUAAUUCAAACAUUUGUUGUCAACUAGAUGGACAUAUCUUUGAGGGUAUUCAUCAGACAUUUAUAGUUGAAUGACUCUUCAUUUUGUUUUCUUCUUAGUAGUCACUGUAGACGACUGUCGGUUUAACAAUUUUUUUCUGUAAUAUCAUUGGGUAGGCGUGCUUGGGCAAACCAAAAACAUUAAUUCAUUCAUUUUUUAAAUGGCCAAACCCAUCGAUAGCCCCUCAAACUUGUCCCUAAAAUUCACUUAGGCCCCCUAAACUAAGGCUUGUACCUAUUAAACCCCUAAACCUCUCAAUUUGGUUUCAAUUGGGCAUUUUUUUCCCUAUCACCAAAAAGGUCAAAGUGUGUGUUGCACACACGUGAUGACAUGGCAAAACGAUCUAAUUGGAAGGCGACACAUGGCAUUGUAGGUCCAAUAAUUAUUAAAAAUUAAUUAUAAUUUUUUUAAAAAACAUAUAUAAAAAUGGCAUUGAGGAAAUUAUUAAAAAAAUUCUAAAAUUAUUUUAACAAAUAAAAAUAAAAAACUGAUUAUUUUUAAAAAAUUAUAAAAAUGAAAUCAAAUAAUUUAAAAAAUAUUUUUUUUAAAAAAUUAAUUAUUAAAAAAAUUAUAAAAUUAUUUAUAAAAUGAAAAUAAAAAAUGGCAUUGAGGAUAUAAAUUAUGAAUUUUUUUUAUAAAAUUAUUUAAAAAAUAAAAAUAAAAACUUAUUAUUUAAAAAAAUUAUAAUUUAUUAUUAAAAAUAAAAUAAGUUAUUAAAAAAAUUAAUUAUUAAAAAAAUUAUAAAACUUUUUAAAAUGUAAAUAAGAAAAGGCAUUGAGGAUCAAAUUUAUGAAAAAAUAAUUAUAAAAUUAUUUAAAAAAUAAAAAUAAAAAGAUAAUUAUUUAAAAAAAAUUAUAAAAAUUUUCUAAAAAUGAAAUAAAUUAUUAAAAAAUUAUUUUAAAAAACAAUUAAUUAAUAAGAAAAAUUAUAAUUUUUUUUUAAAAAUGGCGAGGAUAUAAAUUAUGAAAAAAUAAUUAUAAAAUUAUUUGAAAAAUAAAAAUAAAAAAUUAAUUAUUUUAAAAAAAUAUAAAUUUUUUAAAAAAUGAAAUAAAUUAUUAAAAUAUUAUUUAAAAAAUAAAAACUUAAUUAUUAAAAAAAAUAAAAUUUUUUAAAAAUUGAAAAUGAAAAAUGGCAUAGAGGAUAUAAAUUAUGAAAAAAUAAUUAUAAAAUUAUUUUUUAAAAAAACUAAUUAUAAAAUUAUUUUUUAAAAAAACUAAUUAUUAAAAAGAAAUCUUAAAUUUUUUUAAAAGAUGAAAAUAAAGAAUUAAUUUUUUUUAAAAUUCAGUUUAUUAAAAAUAAAAUAAAAUUGGGGCCUUCUAAUGCUUUUUGGGGCCUUUAGUGUUUCAAAAAAAAAAGAAAAUUUGUUAUUAAAAAAAUUUUGGGGCCCUCAAUGCCACUUGACAACUUUUUAUUCGUAAAUUAGUAAAAAAAAAUGCUCCUCACACGCCUUCCACAAUGGCACUGCACACGUAGUGUCACAUAGGCAAAAAAUGUCUAAUUGGAACAAAAUUCAGGGAUUUAAUGGUCUGAUAUGAACAUGUCUUAGUUUAGGGGUCUAAUUGAAUUUUUGCAAUAAGUUUGAGUGUCUAUCGAUGAGUUUGACCUUUUCAAAUUGACACAUGCGUAACCAAUUCUCUAAAUACCAAUUAUUUCUCCUUCAAGUGAUGUCAUCUUCCACAUGGUGGACCCCAUGAUCCUAAGAACACUAAUUAUUAAAAAGAAAUUAUAAAUUUUUUUAAAAGAUGAAAAUAAAAAACUAUUUUUUUUAAAUUUAGUUUUAUUAAAAAAAAUAAAUUGGGGCCCUAUAAUUCUUUUUGGGGCCUUUAGUGUUUAAAAAAAAAGAAAAUUUGUUAUUAAAAAAUUUUUGGGGACCUCAAUGCCACUUGGCAACUUUUUAUUUGUAAAUUAGUAAAGAUAAUGCUCCUCACGCGCCUCCCAUGAUGGCACUGCACGCGCAGUGCCACUUAGGAAAAAAAUGUCCAAUUGGAACAAAAUUCUGGGCUUUAGGGGUCUGAUAGGAACAUGCCUUAGUUUAGGGGUCUAAGUGAAUUUUCGCAACAAGUUUGAGUGCCUAUUGAUGGGUUUGGCCUUUUUUAAAUCAUGUGUUGCAUUUUAAAUUCAUGCGUUUUAGAAACAUUUGGUUUUCAUUUUCAUUGUUCUUGCGAAUUCAUACCUUUUAGACACAUUUUGGUUUAUAUUUAUCAAUAUUUAUAUUUGAAGUUACAUGAUCUUCCUCCAUGGAUGGGAUAAAUGACUUAUCGUGUAUUUAAAGUAAUGAGUCAAUAAAGCUGAAACAUAAGCAUACAUUUCAUUAAAACUAGAAAGUAAAAAUAACAUUAAAACAUUAAUAUUUUCUUUACAACAUUUUUUUCCUCUACGGUGCUGGGUGCGUUGGAGGAUGUUGGAGGUGGAUGAGAGGAUCUUGGAGGCGGCAUCAUAAUUUCGUCCAAUAUUUUCCCAAUGAUCUUGAUCAUGGCAUCCUGCUUAUGCUCAAAACUCUCCAUGUAUCAAGUUAAGGCAUCAAACUUUAUUUUGAUGUAAUGAAGCUGAGAGUACAAUGCAAGAAGUAGGCGAAGUUCCUCAUAACUUUGUUGAGAAUUAGAAGAGAAUCGGGCGUUGGAAGAGGCCGAUUGGUAGGAAGACAUUUUUGGCGAGCUUUGAAUGUUGGAAAUUGUAGGAAUAUGUGACAUGUUAUACAGUUCGUUUACCUUUACUUGUAUAAGGAAUGGUUGCUUCAAUGGUUGUCCAUAUUUAUACAAGUGAUUUGAUUAUUUCAUGUCAAUUAAUUAAUAUUUAUUUUUUAAUUUGGAAGAACAGAAUAAAAUUAAUGCUAAUGUUUGAGCUAUUUUAAGAUGAGUGUAAGAUUAAAAUAUUGAAAAUGACUUUGAACAAUUUCCAAUCCUAAAUCAGAUUAUUUUUCCACUCUUGGAAAAAUGUCACUCACCUAACCUCAACGGACCCUAUGCAUUGGACCCUAAACUACCUGUAGAUCUUGUUCAAGUUGUCAUAAAAUGAUAUAAUUUUUAUAUUUUAUUUUUUAACAUCGGAAUAAAAUUAUUCCCCUCCAUUCUAAUGCGAAAGCCCGAAUGAUUAUUAAGACAACUAAUAUUUUCUGCGGAUGAUUGGAUUUUUAUGAAAGAGUACUUAACGAGUGAAAAGUUAGAACAUUAAACAUACAUUAGGUAACUUAAAUCUUAUCUGGUAUGUAAACAUUUACUUUCCAGUAAAAAUUAAAGUUAAUUGUAACUUGUAAAGUAAUGUUUGACUUGUCAAGACAAUCUACCAAUUGGUUAGGCGUGCACAUUAACUCUAACAUUGAUAGUUUACAUCUUUCCCCUUUAUUUAAAUUGUGUGACCACAUAGGAACGAUGUAGUUAACCAUAUCAAUUCGAAGAAGAAAUUUAUUGUAGUUCCAGUUGUUGAAGAUAUGAAGGCAUGAGUUGAAACUACCAUCAAUUGUUGUAUUCCUACCAUUUUUUGCAUGUAUGUUUAACCCUACCAAUUAUUUUAUGAAUUUACAUGUAGCCUAUUGAAGAAAGUUCUGAUGGCAUUCAACGUGAUACUGAACAACUAUUCAAAGCAAUGGCUAAGCUAGAUAAACAAAUUAGAAAGUUGCAGGACCGUCUAGAGUUCAUGAUGAUUUGGGUAAAUGCUAUGGAAUAGAGGAUUGAGGUGAUACAAAAGGAAACGUUUGAUCGAUAUCGUAAGGAUCAAGAUGACUUCCUUCGUCCUUCAACUUAAGCAGCACUGACAUAUUCUGUGUAGUUGAAACCUCCUCUUUGCAUGCUAAUCAUUACUUUUACGAAAAUUAGUAUCAAAGCAUGUUAUUUUCUUUUUUGGUGUUACUAUUUUGUUUUGGGUUUUGAUUGAAUGUCUUAAUGCAGUAUUUGGUUUUAAUUAUAAAUCUUUCUUAAUUUGAAAUAGUAAACGUUGGAACUAAAAAAUUUAUCGGGGAAUUAGGUGUAACAGUAGCAACUAAUUGGGAAGCUAACCUAACAUUUUUUUAAGUAUGUCUGUCUUAUUUUAUUUUCAUGUAUUGUAAUUACCAAAGCCUAGGCAUUUGGACGAUGUAUUUUGUAAUAUCUUGCGGGCAUUAGUAAUUAUAAAUUAUUUGUUUUUCGCAACAUUAGCAUCAGUAAGGAGAUUGCACAUUGCAUUUACAUUUCAAUUAAAAAAAUCUUUGAUUCGCAAUACUUCAAAAAAUACAAAAUGAUGCGGCUAAACUACCUAAAGAAGUAGAACCCUAGAACACGAUCUCUUUGUUGGUCUAGUUCGUGAAGCUACAUUGCUUGUCUCACCUUGGUUGGCCCCUCCUGAAUGCUAUGGUUCAUUUUUCUUCUAAGGAAGUAAGCCAGGCGGUAUUCAUGAACUAUCUUCUGAUAGAUGUCAAAAGAUUUAGUCAAGGGGUCUUGUUCGUUAAGCAAGAGAUUUUCAACAUACAUGCCUCCUUUCUACGUGAACAAACGCUUAAUGAGAUCAGUGAGAUCAUCCUCAAGUACUUCGCAUUUUCCUUUGCAUUCUUUAUAAAGUUUUUCUAGAACACUAGGGGAAUCACAACCGCCUAGGAAAGUUGAUCCUCUAACGGGUGUUCUGUCCAUGUUGCAAAUUAAUUUACCUUUGUUAUUAUUUAAGGAUUACAAAUGAAUGAUUUGGUAUGUGAUGUUGAACACAUAUAUAGACGGCUUGACAUGCAUUAACAACCAUUUAAACGAGUGUACAUUUAGUAUAGUCAGUAAAUGUGCUUUAUUUACGUGGUUUGUUCAUAUGUUUGCCAGUAAAUAUAUGAAUCACACGGUAUAAUUGAGAUCUAUGAUUGAUAAUAUAGUACAAUUGUAGUUGUUGAACUUAAUAAAUCAUGUUCGGAUGUUAUAUAAAAAUAUGGGUCACAUCGUCAUGUAUUUUCUAUUGGAAUGGAAUGAUAUCAGCACAAUAAAAAUUAACCUUCAAAGGCAGGAGCAUUAAUUACACAAAGAAACAAUAUUUAACAAGUAGAAGAGAAGAAAUAACACAUUUAAUGAAGUAAACCACCUGUUAAUUGUUCACCCACUAGGAAGAAAAGUAACAAGUAAUAACACCAAACACAACCACCCCAACCCCCUACACCACCCCACCUCCCCCACCAUGUACUACAGACGGUCUUCCGUCAGGACCUUCUGGUAGAUGUCAAAGGCCUUUGUUAGGGGCCUUGGUUCAUAAAAUAGGAAAAACUCGAUCCAUUCAUCUUUAUCCUUGUCCAUGAGGAGUUUGAAGAUUUUGGUCAUCUCAUCUUCCAAGACAUUGGAUUGAUCUUUUUUUUCGAGUAUAGCUUCUCCCGGACUUUAGGAGAUGUGGUUAGCUGUAGAGUCUUUGUCGUGGAACUUGUGGGGGUUCAAUCCACUGUAGUUGAAGAUGUAGAUAGAAGUGUGAGAAAUGGCCAAGAAUUUUUAGAGAAGCUCAGAAAUCUAGUAUCACAAACGGCUUAGGAUAAGAUAAUGAGAUAUAGAUGUUGUAGGAAACCUUUAUAUAGGGCCUAAUAUAAGGUGGUGAUCUCAAUGUACAUGCUAUUUUACCAUCCCUAUCAUAUUACACAUGUUUUAGAGUUAUGUGAAGUCUUUGCAUGGAAUGAUUUUGCUUUUAAAGUUAGAUUUGAAACCUAGGUGCUUUAUUUGUUAAGGAAUACGUCUAACAAUUGCGUAGAAAAGAACAUCAUCAUAGUAAAAUGUUAGAAAUACAUUCAACAAUAGACUACAUCAAGGAUUUCAUUCAUUUAAACAACAAUUACGAAUGAAAAACAACUAAUACAUCAUCGAGACAGGGAAAUCUAGGGGGGGUUGGUGUGGUAACGAUGUGGAUGGAGAGGGUGAUGAAGUAGGCAUUGAAGGAGCCGCCGAAGGUGGGGAAAAUGGAACAUCAGGAUUAAUGCCUAAUCGUACAAAUAUAACACUCAUCCUAGUAUGCAAAGCAUGGACUUGGACAUCCAACGCCACAUGGUAGCUUUUCAGCAGUCUAAGUUUCUCUUGAAUCACAUCGAUAUGUGCAGACAAUUCUUGGCGAAGACCAUCCAACUAGCCGUUAAUAUCCACUAGUUUCACAUAAAUCCUAUCAAUUUUGUCCUGGUAAUAAGUAAAAUAAUAGGUUAGUGUUGCAACAUAUUAGCAAGUAUUGAAUGAAUAACUAACAAUUGUGAUUUAUUUUUACCAUUGAACUUAUCAAAAUUAGUUAAGAAACACUUAAGUAUUAUUUAACACUAGAGAACUUUUAAAUAGAACUCACCCACUUGAAAUUGAUAUUCAAUGCUGAUGAAGUCUUUUCAACGACCAAGGUUUAAUUAAAUUCUUAUCUUUUCAAUGCAAAUUCUUUGAAUCCUUAUUUUGAAUUGCAUUCUUAUCUUUCCAAUGUAAAUUCUUUGAAUGUUCUCCUUAUUUUCAUUUUAGUCAAAAUUCCGUUGUGUCUCUAUAUGUGCCACUAAAGAAAAUAUUUUUGAGUUAUGUUAAUAAAUUAAAGAGAUAAUACAUCGAAACACCCUCAAACUUAUCGCCAAAACUUACUUUAGACCCUAAACUAAUUGGGAAAUUAUUUACCCCUCUUAACAACUUUAAAGUGAAUUAAUUUCCACCAUAUAAUUAUACUAACAGUCUCACAAGAGAGAGUGCGUUGCAUUCGCGCCCACAUCAGCGCCAUAUCAACGCCAUGUCAUCACCACAUCAUAAUUUUUUUUAAAAAUGUUAUUUAAUAAUUUAGUUAAAAAAAAGGAAAAUAACCCCCACCCCAUGCUAGUUCACCCUCCCGACCCAUAGCCCAUCUUCUUCAUCUUCUCCGAUCACCACUACCAUAAACACCGUUGCCGCCAUUGACGCCGCCACUGAGGAGGAUGGUCCAAUCUCCAUUUCACCAAAUACUUCAACAUCCCCAAAUUCUCAAAACAUCUCAAUUCACAACACUUUCUUCUACCAUCACCAUUCUCGCCGGAGAUGAGGACCACCUUCCAUUUCACAAAUUACUACACCACCCCCUGCAUUUUCACAAAUACAAGUACAUUUCUCUAUAAAUUACUCUUCAUAUACGGAAGAGGCAGCAUUUUAGUUCUACAUCAUCACCAAAAAAUAUUUUCCCUAAUGGCAAUCAUUAUUAAGCUCUUCAUCACUUUUCUUCUCCCUGCACUUCUCAACAAAGGUACUUUUGGUCCCAAAUCCCCCCUUAAUAUCAUUAUUUCUCCCCUUCCAACUCCACCCAUGCCACGAAAAUGCCACUCUGCUCUAUUUUUUUUCCAUUUUCUCCAUUAACACCACCAAAGAAUUAACAACAAUAAAGACAUCAAUUUAAGAUUUUUCCUCCAUUAAAUAAUUAUUUCAACCUUUAAUUCUAACUCCUUCAGUUAGAAAGUCUCGACCAUAACAAUGUGUUGGGAGGAAGGGGGACGAGGGGGCGGGGUUGAAGAAGAUGAAGAAGUGAAAAAGUGAAGAAGUGAAGAAGAUUAACUCCUUCAGUUAAAAGUUCUCGACCAUAACGAUGUGUUUGGGGGGGAGGGGUUGAAGAAGAUGAAGAAUUGAUGAAGAUUUUCUCUCUCUCUCUCUCUCUCUCUCUCUCUCUCUAUAUAUAUAUAUAUAAAGAGAAUUUGUAAAAUUUAAAAGGUGGGUCCCACAUUUUUUAGACCAUUCACUCGCUAUUUUUUUUUAAUUUGCCACAUCAAUAAUUUGUGUGGAAAUUAAUUCACUUGAAACUUGUUAAGGGGGUAUAUAAUUGCCCGAUUAGUUUAAGGUCUAAAGUAAGUUUUGGCGACAAGUUUGAGGGGGUUUCAUUGUAUUAUCUCUAAAUUAAAAGAUGAGUUAUUCAUUAAAAUACGAUAUUUGUAAUUUUAAUGAAAUGGAGGAAUAAUAUUUUGUGAUAGUGAAAUGUUAGCUUUUUUUUAUCAACAAACUAAGCUAUUGAAAGUACGAUUGUUAUUUAGGAAACCCUUUUCCAUUGGAAGAGUCUCUUCCGGGCAUUAUUAAACAUCGUUCGACUAACAAAUAGCUAGUGCCACUCAGAAGACUGAAAAUUGCAUUAAUUUUCAAAAGCCUAAACUAAUACAAUAUAAACUAACUCUCAUAACAUUGAAACCCAAUUUAUAUCGUGAGUUUUUAUACUUUAGUGAUUUUGCGGAAGCAAAGUAAUACUACUCUGCCUGGGUGAGUUUAAAAUAAAAACUAUAAUUAGUAGGAGAAAAUAUAGAUAUUCUUCAUUAAUAAAAGCAAAACAGGGGUACCCAAACUACAACUGACAAAAAUAAUUAUAUAAUACUACAUACAACAAAAACUACUAGAUAAAAAGUACUAUAUAAAACGUCAUAUUAUUUUUUAAAAAAACACGUGCUUAAUUAUUAUUAUUAUUACUAUUAUUAUUAUUAUUAUUAUUAUUAUUAUUAUUAUUAUUAUUAUUAUUAUUAUAGUUAUCUUCCAGAGGUCCAUUGGGCAGAUGAACCAUAAUUCUACGCAUCUCCCUAAUCAGCCUUGCUAUAGUGGCGGCCAACUCCCAGCGUAAAUUAUGCACUGUCCUCUAUAGAUCCUUGACCGCAUUAAUCAACACAACCGCGUCCCAUACUGGAUCUGCCAUUGCUACAUAAUAGAUGAACAAAAACUUUAGCACAUAAUAAAAAAAUUGCAAAACUAAAAUCUAAAUUAGUCAUGCAAUAUGAAUAAAAUAUUACCCAAAUAAUAUUUAGAAUGCAAAACUUAAAUCUAAAUCAGACAUGCGAUAUGAAAAAAUAAUGUCUCAAAUAAUAUCCCUCAAUUAUUAAUGAAAAAUAAAAAGAAUACAAAGUUUACAAGAAAAGGAAGCCAGUUUAACACUUGACAUGUUAGGAGAAGAAAAAAUAAAUUACUUCAACUCACGUAUAGGGUUAUGUUUGUUGGGAAGAAAGUUUUUUUUCCGAGAAAGAGUUCUCUACAACUGCUGAGGAGAAUGUAGUGGUUUAGUGCAAUGGUGAUCCCUAUUUAUAUAGUAGAUAAGGGAUAGUUGAGUUGAGGCAAUUGUAGUACGUGUUUGACAGUGAUAAAUUAGAAGUUGGGGAUAUAGUUGAAGUUGCAAUUGUGUUUGUUCAUGCAUAUAAAUUAGAGUUGUUUUAAAGUUAUUGUGAUAAAUUAGAAUGUAAAUUUAGUGGACAUGAACAUAAAAUAAAGUUAUUUUAAAUUUAUCAUGCCCAACCACUAACUUAGAAAGUUGAUGUUUUAUAUAAUCAAGUAAUUUCAAAACACCCAAAGACCAUAUUAAAGGCACAACCAUUUGUGUUUAAUUUUUUAGUUGACGAUUUAUUUUGUUGAACAAAAAAAUAUUGACAUUCAUUAAUGAUGAGCCUCCCCUAUAGCAUGCCUGACUUGUGUAAAUCGCAAGUAUUUAUUACCUAAACUAAAUGCUUGCUGAUAGAGAUGACUAAAUUAAUUUAGUUAAGUACUAAAUCAGAUUUCAAUGGAAGAUUAAGGGUUAGUAGGGAAAUAUGGCGACUGACUGUACCUAACCUACUGGACCCUUUGUUUCUAACAGUGUGAUUUGAUGUUUGGCAAUGAAGUGGGGAAAAUUAAAGAACAUGUUCUAAUAAGAUAAAAGCAAUAACUUCAUUAAUCUUCAAAUUAUAGCAAUCAUUUAUUAUCUUGCCCAAACGCACAAGUAAACAGUGAAGAAAAUUGUCUAAUGUGUGAAUUCGAUUAAUUUUUCUUUAAUUUCUUCAUGAUCUGGUAGAGCUUCAACUCUUUCCUCUAAUUCUUCUAGGCUCGUGCAUAUCAGAUCGACAACGUCCAUUUCAAAACUAGUAAGCUAAUAAAUUUGAUGAUGAGUUAUUGUGAUAGGGCAGCAAAGGUGGGGAAAAUAGAAUAUAUUAAUGUCAGUACAUACCUCAGGUAAAUCUCCUUAAGAAGAUGAUAAAAAAAUAGACUGAUACAUUUGAAAUGAAAGCGAGAUUGUUUUUAAAUAGCACUAGCAAAUUAGAUUUCUAUUCAAAUUUUGUUGACCACUUUCCUCCAUAUUGCAAAGUAUAGGUUUCACCCAAACCGUUUGAAAAUAUCACCAUUUUCCUCCUACGACUUAAUAGGGUCAUGUACAUAAACCCUAAAUUGUAGACUUGUCACUCGUCUUAAUUAAAAAAAUGGAUGUAUGUAUAUUCUGCCUCAUUUUUCUUUGGCCAACGAAUUGAAAAGUAUUUUUUGUUCGAUCUGUGAUUUCAAAGUAUUAUGAAUUUACUUAACGGAACCAUAUACUUAAGCAUUAAUGUGCGUAUAAUGAAAAUUUUUACUAUAUUUGGAAUAUACUUGUCAAACAAAAUGAAAUUAAACAACCAUAACAUUGCAACUGCAACACAACAAUUUUAUUAGUCAUUAACUUGUCAAAAUAAAACCACACAAAAACUACUAACUAUUCCAUGAUGGGCGUAGGGUGCUAAGAUACCCACUUUACUAGGGGAGUGAUGGGGGGAUGAUAUCAUUGUCAUCAAGGACUGAAGCACGGGCUGUUGCCCUCAACAACGCCUCCAAACUAUCUAUUUUUUAAUGAAGUUGAUCUUUCUGGGUCAGUAUCACGUCCAUCUUAAAGACAAGGUCGAUGAAAAGAAAGUGUAGAUCAACUAAACGAUCGUUCGUCGGCUUCUCCAUCAGUGCAUUAUCAUACUUCUUGCUGAUUUUUUAUUCCAUUUCUGUACAAACCAAAAAAAGCUAGAUUAAUGAAGAAGAGAUGAUAAUAAUCCAUAGUAAAAUAUUUAACUUCAUCACAUAAUGGAGAGAAGAUAAGCGUUUGGUAGUUGAACAAUUAACCUUUUCAAUUCUUUCUUGAUUAAACAAGAUUACACUAAAUGAAAAAUAUAAGUUUGGGAGUUCUGGAAUGUGUAAAGACUAGUUUUGUGCUAAUGUUAAUGUCAUUUAAAUAGGUCUUUGUCCAAGUAAAAGACCAUUUAUAAAUAGUUGCAUCCAUGUGAUGGGGUACAACCCUUUGAAACGUUGGAAAUGAUUGAUGCACCAAAAACUUAUUACUUCCACUUUAGUGAGUGAAAAAUAGGGUUUGUCCCAUAAAUACAACUUCACUAUAGGGAAAUUAAUUUUUUUUUUGGUAAAAAAUUAAAUUAUGUUUCACUUAUAGUGGUUAUAUUUUUUACACGACAAUUAAAUAACAACUUCAAUAUAUAUUCAUAUCUAUAAACAAUAAUUCUAAUUCGAAGUUCAACCGUCAAUUUCUUUUCCCAGCCAAACAAAUUAGGUUAGAGUUUUUAAUGGAGCUGCAUGCAUGACUUAAACGAAGGGACCUUUUUUUCAACCGAUGGCUAUGGCAUCAUUGCUUUUGCUUUGGAUAGGCAACCUUGCCAUUUUCCAAGACACCAUUAAAGAGUGUCACGCAUGCCUAAUAGAAUAGAACUGCAUCCAUCCUUUCGAGUCACUAUUCCAAGUUCUUCCAAAAUUUAUCUAAAAUCUUUCAUAUGAUACGGAACCCAAUGUAAUAAUAGCCUCACUUCGCAUAGUAUGGUAGAGUAGUAAUUAACAAGUUUGCAAUUAUAAAUGGUUUGGUGGUUAAGAAGUUGGUGGUAAAUUUUUUUAAAAAAAUUAUGCUUAGAUAAUAAUAUAAUAUAACAUCCUUGAUGCUUAAUAUCUCUACCCCAUUGCGUAUUUAUGCAAUAAUUUUACGAAUUUAAUUUUGGUGCAUGGUCUAUGUAUUUUUUUCCUACACCAAUCACGUAAAUUUUACCUGUUGUAGCAGUUUAUCCAUUUAUCAGGUAAAAAAAAUGGAAGACCUACUACAACAGAUAAAAGUUACAAGAUGGUGCAAGUUGUAAAUACAUCGACGAUGCACCAAAGUUACACCACUCUAAUUUAAAUUUCAUUUCAAAUACUUCUUACUUAGUUAUACUGUAGUAAUAUAUCUCCCAUUUAUUAGAGCAACGGUCAAAGAAGAAUAACAUGGAUUAAAAUUCUUCUAUUCUCUAUUACUCCGGCUGUCUCAUUGUACUAGUCCCACAUUAACUUGGUAAAAUGACAAGUAACAAUUAAAAAAUGCAAAUUUUAGACAAAUAAAAUGGGACCGAGGGAAUACAUUUCUUCGAUAAUAAAACCCUUAUACAGAUUUAACCCUCUUCCAUUGAUUUUCAUAUGAUAGUACUAUAUGUGUAGUUCUGCGACAAUGAUUAUAGUGAGUUAUGUUAGUGACAUGUUACUUCGGUUGCAUACUUUAAUAUUUGAAGUGAUAUACCGUGGAAGUAACUCAUUUUUCGAUCUACAACUAUAAUGUAACAGACGAAUGCGUAAGAAAUUUAAUUUAAUUUCAAAUAUUUGUCGUUAAUUUCCACCGUAAGUUAAGUUUAGAGACAAAAUUUACACUUUAAAUAUUGCAAAGAAUUUUAAGUGCGAUGUUUAUACAAGUUGACUGUCAAUAGUGUCAGCAAAAGGCAAAGGUUACUUUCCUGUGAUAAUUCUUUUCAAUAAAUUGAGUGUUUUUAGUAUGAUAUAACACAAAAUAAACAUAAUCCUAGCAGCAUCAUACAAUAGAACAUAAAAUAAGGUUAGAACAGAUCUGUAACACCCCGUAUUUUCCUAGCAUAAUCUAAGUCCCAAUAUAUAAGUAUUUAUAUAUGAAUUUUUUGAAACACUCAUUAUUUUUUAGUUUAUAGCCUGCCAUUGCAUAGAAAAUUUAGUUAGCUUUUCAACGAUAUAAAAUUUACCUAAAUUCGAUAACCGAGUAAGAAGUUAUGGCAAUUUUAAGUUUCAGUCAUAAAUAUCGUAAUUUUAACUCUUAGCGCAUCGCGUAGACAGUCCAAAUGACAAUUUUUGAUUUCCAGUGUGACUCUGCGAUCAUGGUGCAUUGUGGAGUAAGCGAAUUUCCCAUUUGUCGAUUUCCAGUGGGUCUCUGCGAUCAUGGUGCGUCGCGGAGAUGGCCAAUUUGGUAUCCACAGGCUUACCACGAUGGUGGCGCAUCGAGGUGGUUGUCCAGGUCCUAGUUGUCCCUUUUCCAGUGGCUUGGUGUGAUAGUGGCACAUCGCGCCUAGGCCAAAAAUCGAGAUGAUCAGUUUUCAGCUUUCGUUUUUAAAUUUGUUUUGGGGUAUUUGGGUCUUUUUCCACAGCCCUAACUAACCUAAAACAUGAAAUUUAACCCCUAAACAACCGAAGUAGUCAUCAUUAUUUCAAUUCCUCUCACAAUAAAAAAUCCUUCUUUCAAGAACAAAAAGCCCUAGCUUUCAAAUUCAAGGUCAAUUCUCAAGAAUUCUCCAUCAAUCUUUCCAAAUGCGCUAUCCUAGGUAUGUUAGAUAUUCAUCCAUGGAUCCAUUUUAUCCAUAGAGUCCAAACAACCCUUUUAAAUUAUGAAAUUAUGAUCUUUUCAAGUUAUUGUGUUUUAAAUUAUGAUUUCAUCCAUAAAUAUCCAUGUAUUAUUGAUUAUUCAAUCUUCCAUGUUUUAAUGUUAUUAUUUACUGAAUUAAACCAUGAUUUAAUGCUAUUAUGAUGAAUUCAUGCUAUUCCUACAAAUUCCAUGACAUUCCUAUGAUUGUUUUAAACCAUGAACUACAAGUGUUUGAUAAAAUGCCUACAAGAGUGAUUUAUCUAAUAAGAGCCUUCAUGUUUUGGUCUUCAAGCUUUAGUGUCUUUUCAGUAUUGUUGUUUUGAGUCAUGGGGGUAUUGAAUACCCAAAAAAAAUAGCUUUUAUUUAGUCUAUCCUCAUUACAUUACAGAAUAGUCUUCAGAUUAUAUUAUGAGCAUUAUCAGAAUAGUCAGAUAUUAGUUAUUCAACUCAGAACAGUCUAGUAUCUCAGUGUCUUUUAGUUGGGAGUAGGAUUUAGCACCGAGCAAGUGUAGGGAUGGCAGCUUCCUCACCAGAUACGUAGAGUCAUUAGUAUUAGUCCCUAUACUCUAGAACUAUAUAGCCAGCAUAGUAUAUGAGUAGUCACCCGUCAGGUUAGGCUUGACUAUCUCCCAGGGGUCACCCGUCAGUUCAGGCUUGACACCCUUAGUCCUUUAGACAUUAUAUCAAUUUAGUGGAUCCACACAACCAUUGUUAAUACCCGUGGAACGGUAUUAACACCCUUUCAACUGGGGUUAUAGGUUGUACCCCAAUUAGCUUAGAUUAGGGCAUACAGAUUAGAUGAUACCUCCCACAGUCUUAGAUAUAGUCUCAGUUACAAUUCCAGCUCAGUUAUUCAGUCUUAGUGUUGUUUGACUAAAGCAUACAGAUUUUAGUCUUUGCAGUAUUUUAGUUUACAGAUUUUACUCAAUUCAUGUUAUAUGCUUGGUCAUGCAUCCUCAGUAUUUACAGAUUUCUAUGCAUUAUCAGUAUCUACAGAUUCCAUGCUCUUUACUUAGUAAUCCAUGCUUUACAUGCAUAUCCAAUAAACUAUUAGUUUUGUUCAUAAAACCAUGCAUAUCAACCUACCUCAUUUAGCAUAAUAGUACAUUCAAAGUACUGAUCGCAUACCUUUUCUUUUGCGCUAUGAUGUAUUAUAUCAUAGGUUCUGACGCUUAGUUCUCAGCUUGUAAUUAGACUUAUUAGAUCCUCAGCAGUAGUAGUGGUGAGUCCUCAUACUUUGAGGACAGACUUACUUUAUUACAUGUCUUACUUAGUAGUUAGUUAGAGUUAGUUACUGUCCCAUCAACUCAUAUUUAGUCAGUCAGUUUUAGAGGCUUUUUAGACAUUAGAGUCAAUUAUUCAGUAUUCAGAUAUUGCAGUUAGUUAUCCAGUUUAUCAUUAUUUUUUCAGAUUCAGUAAGUUAUUUCUAUAGACUCAUAUUUCAGUUUUAAAUUCAGUUAUUCUUCCAUAUUCAUGAUUAUAUUACUUAGUGCUCACAGUAGGUACCAGCUCAUGGGUUAGCUUGUGGUCUCUCAGAAAUGUAAGCACCGUGUAACAACUAGGGGGUAGUCUCGAGUCGUUACAAACUUGGUAUCAGAGCCUAAGGUUUUAAAGUAUCCUUGGAAGUCUGAAAUCCACGUUGAUUAGAGUCUUGCGCAUGAGUGUAUAACGCACCACACUUAUGGACGAGAGGCUAAAGGCGUUUAGGAAAAGUUUCCCUUCUUUCAGUAUUCAUGUCAUAUGAGUGAGCAUGAACUGAAGUUAAACUCCCCGUCUAAUCCAUUUCUUCCUUCCAUUUAUAGCACAUGUCUCCUAAAAAGAACAAAAGAAGAAUAGGAACUCAACUGGCCCCUCAGACCGUCGAGGCAAAUUCUUUGGAUGAGCAUGUCUCUUAUGCAGAAUUCAAGGGCUGCAUUCACUACUCUAGAAAACACUGUAGCAACACAAAAUGAAUGACCAGAUAUUGUUUUAGCCAACCCAGUGGCCAAUACUUCUACAACCAGAAUUUAGGAUUUCACCCGAAUGAAUCCUCCUUCCUUUACGGGGUUUAAGUAUAAAGAGGAUCCACAGGAAUUCUUAGAUAUGGUUCAGAAGGUAACAGAUGCUAUGGGGGUGAUGUCUAGUAAGAGUACCAAGUUGGCUGCAUAUCAAUUGCAGGAAAUAGCCCAUACUUGGUUUAAGCAGUGGAAAGUUGAUAGAGGUGUUGAUUCAGGGCCUAUAAAAUGGGAAGAGUUUUCCACGGUUUUCUUGGAUAGAUUCUUUCCAUUAGAGUUGAGAGAGGCCAAGGUGUUAGAAUUUAUUAAUUUAAGGAAAGGCAGCAUGAGUGUGAGGGUGUAUUCUCUUAAGUUUACUCAAUUAUCUAGAUAUACUCCUUAAUGGUAGCUGACAGCAAGUCUAAGAUGAGUUAGUUUAUGUUUGGCAUGUCUGAUAGUGUGAUCAAGGAGUGUAGGACCACAAUGCUGAUUAGUAAGAUGGAUUUAUCUAGGCUGAUGGUCUAUCAUCAAUAGAUAGAGGAGUAGAACAUUAAGGAAAAAGAGAGAGGAAACAAGAGAGCUAGGUUGGAUAGUUUUAAUUUUAAUCAGCCAAAGUCAGAAGGUGGUAACCGUCCUCAGUUUCAUUAGAGGUCUUCAUCCCCAGUACUUUCUUCAGCCUAUGCCUUAGUACCCAAAUUCAAAAACGACAAUAGGGAUAGGGCACCAAUCUCUAAGUCCUAGGUCUUUUUGUCAGAAGUGUGAUAGACACCAUCGGUGAGUGUAGAGUAGGUUGUGAUGUGUGCUUUGGGUGUGUCAAACUAGACCAUCAGAUUUGAGAGUAUUAGGUAGUUGCUCAGAAAGGUUGGGAUGCAUGCCAACAGGGCUAGUCCCAUCAGCCAUCAGUUCCAUCCAGCCGCCCAACUCAGUAGGGUACCUCUUCCAAUGCUACCAAUGGUCAGCGUUCAAAAAAAUUAAAUGCUCUUCAAUCUCACCAAGAUCAGGAAAAUUCUCCUUACAUAGUUACUGGUACGUAGCAGGUCUUUCACUUAUAUAUUUAUGCUUUACUAGACCCUGGAGCAUCUCUUUCUUUUGUAACUCCAUAUAUAGCUGUCAAUUUCAGAGUAAGUCUCGAAAAUCUAGUAGAGCCCUUUUCAGUGUCUACCCCAGUGGGCAUUUCCAUUAUAGCCAGAUAGGUAUACAGAAAUUAUCCAAUCACAAUAUCUCAAAAAGUUACUCUAGUUGAUCUCGUGAAGUUAGAGAUGAUGGAUUUUGACACCAUUCUCUAAAUAGAUUGGCUCCACUCAUGCUAUGCCUCAGUUGACUGUAGAAAUAGAAUAAUUCAUUUUCAGUUCCCAAAUGAACCAGUCCUUGAAUGAAGGGGUUGUACUACAAUUCUUAGGGGUCAGUUGAUUUCUUACCUUAGAGCCAUAAAGAUGAUAUCCAAGGGAUGUGUCUAUCAUCUUGUACGAGUCAAAGACUCUAACUCAAAAACUCCUACUCUUGAGUCAGUCUCAGUAGUAAAUGAAUUCUCAGAUGUAUUUCCUGAAGAUCUUCCAGGAGCUCUUCCUAAAUGGGAAAUCGACUUCAGAAUAUAAAUUCUCUCAGAUACUCAGCCUAUAUCUAUCUGAACUCAAAAAACUAAAAGAACAGUUGAAGGAUCUCUUAGAUAAGGAAUUAAUCAGACCUGUUCUAUUAGUGCAUAAGAAAGACGGUUCUAUUAGAAUAUGCAUAGACUACCGUCAGUUGAGCAAGGUCACAGUCAAGAAUAAAUAUCCACUUCCUAGAAUUGAUGACUUGUUUGACCAACUUCAGGGUUCCAUUUACUUUUUCAAGAUAGACCUUAGAUCAAGCUAUAAUCAGCUUAGUGUUAGAGAAUGUGACAUUUCAAAAAAUAGCUUUUCGAACUCGAUAUGGUCACUUUGAAUUUCUAGUCAUGUCCUUUGGCUUACAAAUGCCCCAGUAGCCUUUAUAGACUUCAUAAACCAAGUGUGCAAGCAGUACUUGGACAUGUUUGUCAUAGUCUUCAUUGAUGACAUUCUUGUAUAUUCUUGUAGCGAAAGCAAUCAUGCAGACCAUCUCAGCAUAGUGCUUCAGACUUUUAGAGCUCAUUAGUUGUUCGCAAAAUUUAGUAAGUGUGAAUUCUAGCUAAGAUCAGUAGCAUUCCUUGGUCAUAUUAUUUUUAGUGAUAGCAUUAGAGUUGAUCCUUAAAAGACUGAAGUGGUGAGAAACUAGCCUAGACCCAUCUCUCCAUUAGAUAUCAAGAGUUUCUUGGGUUUAGCUGGCUAUUACCAUUGGUUUGUUAAAGGGUUUUCUUCUGUUACAUCCCUUAUGUCCAGAUUGACUCAAAAGAAAGUUAGGUUUCAGUGGUCAGAUUCAUGCGAGAAGAGUUUUUUGGAGUUGAAGACUUGACUUACUUCAGCCCCAGUUUUAAAGCUACCAGAUGGUUUAGAUGGUUUUGUUGUGUACUGUGAUGCAUCCAGAGUAGGCUUGGGUUGUGUCCUCAUGCAGAGAGGUAACGUCAUAGACUACACCUCCAGAUAGCCUAAGCCUCAUGAGAAGAAUUAUUCAACUCAUGAUCUUGAGCUAGCAGCUGUAGUGCUUGCCUUAAAGAUUUGGAGGCAUUACUUGUAUGGGGUGUAUAUAGAUGUGUUCACAGAUCACAAAAGCCUUCAGUAUAUGUUAUCUCAGAAAGAUUUGAAUUUGCAUUAGAGAAGAUGGUUAGAAUUAUUGAAAGAUUAUGACAUGAGUGUUUUGUAUCAUCCAAUAAAGGCCAAUGUAGUGGCUGAUGCUCUCAGUAGAAUAUCUAUAGGUAGUAUAGCUCAUGUUGAGGAUGGUAAGAAGAAUUUAGCUCAGGAAGUUCAUUAGCUUUCCUGACUAGGUAUCUGUUUACUUGUUUUAACAGAAGGUAGUGUAUGGGUGUAGAGUAGCUCAGAGUCAUCUCUAGUCUCUGAGGUAAAGGAAAAGCAGGAUAGAGAUCCCAGUCUAGUUAAAUUAAAAUAAUCAAAUCAGAGAUCAGAAAGUGUAGGUUUUCUCCCAAGGGGGAGAUAGUGUUUUGCAUUGUCAAGGUAGAUUAUGUGUGCCUGGUGUACAUGAUUUGAGGAAAUAAAUUAUUGCAGAAGUGCAUGGGGCACUUUACUCUAUUCAUUAGGGGCCACUAAGAUGUAUUGCAAUUUGUAGGAGAUCUAUUAGUGGAGUAGGAUGAAGAGAGAUAUUUCAGAGUUUGUAGCUAAGUGCUCUACAUGUCAGCAAGUUAAGGUUGAGCACCAGAAACCUAGUGGGUCCAUGCAGGAGUUUGGUAAUCCCAUAUGGAAAUAGGAGGAAGUAGACAUGGACUUUGUGAUAGGUUUGCCUCAUACCCGCCAUCAACAUGACUCUAUUUGAGUUACCAUAGAUAGGAUGACCAAAUCAGCUCAUUUCUUACCAAUCUAUACCUCUUAUUCAGCUGAGGACUAUGCCAAUCUCUAUCUCAGAGAGUUGCUUAGGUUGCAUGUUGUUCCCUUAUCGAUUAUUUCAGAUAGAGGUACUUAAUUUACCUCUUACUUAUGGAAAGCAUUCCAAAAGGGUCUUGGUACCCAAGUCUACCUCAGUACAACCUUCCACCCUCAUAUAGACGAUCAAGCAGAAAGGACCAUUCAGAUUCUUAAGGAUAUGCUGAGAGCAUGCGUUGUUGAUUUCAAGGGUAGUUGGGAUGACCAUUUUUCUUUGAUUGAAUUUGCAUACAAUAAUAGCUAUCAUUCCAGUAUUUGUAUGGCUCCUUUUAAGGAUCUCUAUGGUAGGAGAUAUAUAUCUCAAAUUGGUUGGUUUAAAGUAGGUGAGGCUGCAGUAGUAGGGCUUUCCUUGGUGUUUUAUGCAUUAGAAAAGGUUCAGUUGAUCAGAGAGAGGCUUAGAGCUGCCCAGAGCCAACAGAAAUCGUAUGCGAAUGUGAGGAGAAAUGAUCUAGAGUUUGACGUUAGUGAAUUUGUAUACUUAAAAAUCUCUCCCAUGAAGGGAGUGAAGAGAUUCAGCAAGAAAGGGACACUCAGUCCCCGAUAUGUCAGUCCCAUCAGAAUUCUCAGUCGUUUUGGAAAUGUAGCCUAUGAGCUUGAGUUACCUUCAGAUUUAGCCUCAGUAUACCCAGUGUUCCAUGUCUCAUUGUUGAAAAAGUGCAUUGGUGAUCCAGCUGUAGUUGUUCCCUUAGAAAGUGUAGAUAUUCAAAACAGUCUUUCGUUUGACGAAGUCCUAAAUUCUUGAUCAUCAAGUUCGCAGACUAAGGAACAAAGAAGUUCCCUUUGUCCAAGUUAUUUGGCAAAAUCAAUCUGUUGAGGGAGCCACUUGGGAAGCAGAGGCAGAUAUGUGAACCAAGAACCCUCAUCUUUUCUCCGUAAAUCCAGAUUCAGUAUAAGGUACCAAUCUACUUAAGAUUUUCUUUUCUCUGUCAUGCUCAGUUUUAGCCGCACAUCAUAUUCAUGUCAGUUGUGCCUUCAUGAAUCAGUUCAGUCAUGCAUUCCAUUCAUCAAACAUGCAUAUUCAAUGUGUAAGCUUAGUCUAUCAGUUCCCUCAGCUUAACCAGUUUCAUUCGGGGAUAAAUAAUCCCAAGGGGGAGAUACUGUAACACUCUAUAUUUUCCUAGAAUAAUCUAAGUCCUAAUACUUGAGUAUUCGUAUAUGAAAUUUUUGAAAAACUUAUUAUUUUUCAGUUUAGAGCCUGCCAUUGCAUAGGAAAUUUAGCUAACUUUUGAACGAUAUAAAAUUCGCCAAAAUUUGAUAAUCGAGUAAGAAGUUAUGAUGAUUUUAAGUUUCAAUUGUAAACACCAUUAUUUUAACCCUUAGCACAUUACAUAGAUAGUCCAAAUAACAAUUGUCAAUUUCUAAUGUGACUCUGCGAUCAUGGCGCAUCGCGGAGCAGGCCAAUUUCCUAUUUAUCAAUUUCCAGUGGGCCUCCGCGAUCAUGGUGCAUCACGGAGAUAGACAAAUUGGAAUCCACAAGCUUACCACGAUGGUGGAGCAUCAUGGUCGUUGUCCAGGUCCUAGUUGUCCCUUUUCCAGUGACUUGGCACGAUAGUAGCGCAUCGCGCUAAGGCCAAAAAUUGGGAUGGUCAGUUUUCAGCUUCCAUUUUUAAAUUUGUUCAGGGGUAUUUGGGUCUUUUUCCACAUCCCUAAUUAACCUAAAACAUGGAAUUUAAUCUCUAAACAUCCUAAGUAGUCAUAAUUAUUUCAAUUCCUAUCACAAUAAAAAAUCCCUCUUUCAAGAACAAUAAACCCUUGCUUUCAAAUUCAAGGCCAAUUCUCAAGAACUCUCCAUCAGUCUUUCCAAAUUCACUAUCCCAGGUAUGUUAGAUGUUCAUCCAUGGAUCCUUUGCAUCCAUGGAGUUCAAGAAACCCUUUUAAGUUAUAAAAUUGUGAUCUUUUCAAGUUAUUGUGUUUUAAAUUAUGAUUUCAUCCCUAAAUCUCCAUGUAUUAUUGAUUAUUCAAUCUUCCAUGUUUUAAUGUUAUUAUUUACUGAAUUAAACCAUGAUUUAAUGCUAUUAAGAUGAAUUUGUGCUAUUCCUACAAAUUCCAUGAUAUUCCUAUGAUUAUUUUAAACCAUGAACUACAAAUGUUUGAUAAAAUGCCUACAAGAGUGAUUUAUCUAAUAAGAGCUUUCAUAUUUUGGUCUUCAAGCUUUAGUGUCUUUUCAAUAUUGUUGUUUUGAGUCCUGGGGGUAUUAAAUACCCGAAAAACAUAGCUGUUUAUUUAGUCUAGCCUCAGUACAUUACAGAAUAGUCUUCAAAUUAUAUUAUAAGCAUUAUCAGAAUAGUCAGAUAUCAAUUAUUCAAAUUAGAACAGUCUAGUAUCUCAGUGUCUUUCAGUUGGGAGUAGGAUUUAGCACCGAGCGAGUGUAGGGAUAGUGGCUUCCCCGUCAGAUAGGAAGAGUCGUUAGUAGUAGUCUCUAUACUCCAAAACAACAUUGCCAGCAUAGGAUAUGAGUAGUCACCUAUCAGAUUAGGCUUGACUAUCUCACAGGGGUCACCCGUCAGUUCAGGCUUGACACCCUUAGUCCUUUGGACAUUAUAUCUGUUUAGUGGAUCCACACAACCAUUGUUAGUACCCGUGGCACGGUAUUAACAUCCUUCCAACUGGGGUUAUAGGUUGUACCCCAAUUAGCUCAGAUUGGGUUAUGUCGAUUAGAUGACACCUCCCACAGUCUCAGCUAUUUUCUCAGUUAUAGUUCCAGCUCAGUUAUUCAGUCUUAGUGUUGUUUGACCAAAGCAUACAUAUUUUAGUCAUUUUAGUAUUCAUGAUUAUAUUAUUCAGUUCUCACAGCAGGUACCAGCUCAUGGGUUAGCUUGUGGUCUCUCAAAAUCGUAAGCACCGUGUAACGACUAGGGGGUAGUCUCGGGUCGUUACAAGAUCACACGUCCAUUCAUUUUUCUAUUACCAUCUUUCUUCUUAGUUUUUAAUUUUGUUAUGAAAUUGUAGGUGAAAAUGAGUAACCAACCCAACAACCCACAUGGAUCUCACCCUUCGCAUGCCCUACCUUAAUAUAGGUAUGUUGUAAUUAAUCUACUUCAAUUAUUGUACACUCAGGUUAACGAAAUGGGAGUGGAUAUGGAAGUGUUAACGCGCUGCGUGGAUAGCUUUGGCGACAAGCAAGAAGCGAUGUUCAGGCAUAUUGAAGCAGCUGCAUGUAGAAUUUAGAGAAUGGUGCAACAAAAGCAGCUUGGUAUUUGUUCCGUCCCACCCCCCAAAACCAAAUAAAGUAAAGUAUGGUCUGUGUAGAAGCUUCUUGAAGGUAAUGUUUCUUGACUAAUCAAUGAAAAAAUGCACAAUUUUAAGUAUUUACGAAUCAUAUUAACAAGACAUACGUUCAAACAAAAUGGUAACUACUAUUUAUCAAAGACAUUCAAAUUAGUUAACCAAAAUAUCGAGUUAUCUUCAAUAAUUGUCAAAGAUAUUUCAAGUUAAUUUGCCAAAACGAAGCGACAUGAUCACUAAUUGUCACUGACAUUUCAAACUAUUUAACAAAAUAAAACUGAAUCAUCGCAUUCAUAAUUAUAAAAGACGUUUCAAAUUUAAUUUAGCAAAUCAAAGAGUCAUGUUCAUUGGAUGCAACUUUCACAAAGUGACCUUUGGGUUUCAUGAGUUUGAUGCAAUGUAACAUAAGCCAGAAUCAUCAAUUUUCCUUAUCAUUCAAUAAAAGUUUUCAAGAACUUAAAUAAUCUUUGGAAAAAAAUGGACAAUUCUCGCGCAAACAAUCAUUCAAACGAUCAUGCAAAUGGCCAACCACAUAACCAUCGUCGACCAACAAUCACAGAAUUUGCUGUUGCCAGGGUAUCAUACGCGAACCUUGAAGUUGCUGAUCUUAGAAAAGACAUGGAAUAUUUGAGGGGACUUAUGGAUACUCUCAGUCAAGAAAAUAAUGGAAUUCAACGAGAAAUACGUUACAUCAGGCAGAGGUUAUUUCAGUACACUGGUGAAAUAGAUGGCGGGGAUUGGAACGAUGGACUUUGGUGAUAUGUCAUGUUUAGUUUAGUUAUCCUAAUUUUGCUUUUUCUAUUUUAUUUUUUUUUAAAUUUUGUUAUGUUGACUAAAAGCCAUUUUUUUCAUUCAGCAACAAACUAUGUAACUUAUUUUGUAUUCUGAUUACUUUUUUUAAUCUAUAAUUUUGAGUUUAACUAAUAAUCCACCGAUAGCGUAAUCACUUAUUUUGUAUUAUGUUUCUUCAACUUUGUUGAUUUUGUUUUAACAUUUUAACUGGAUACAUAUUAAAAUCAAUUAGGAGCAUAUAAUAAAAUAUUAUAAAAUGUUAACUCAGUUUAUCCUCAUAAUUCAAACAUCAUCAAAUAAAUUAAGAUGGAAAAUAAUACAUCUUUUAAAUGUGGCGUGCGAUUGUAAUUCAUUAUAGAAAACUAAUGCAAGUAGAUUUUUUUUAUGACCAACAUUAGGGCAAUAAUUUUUUUUUAUUGAAAUAAUAAGCUUAGGCGAGAUCAAUAGCAAGUAGUGGACAAACAAAAAGAGUAAGUAAUCACUGAUCCCAUGUAAUAAUUGCCUAUUACCUUUUAAACUUACGGCUUGUGUAAAAUAAAACUUACCCUGACGGUGGAUGUAAGUUAAACUCUAUAAUUUUCACGACUUUACACAAUAAAUAACGAAUAAUUAACAAUAAUUAUCGGACUUGAAAAUUACUUAACCCUAAUGAAAGUCAUGUUCAAUAAUUGCCACAGACAGUUCAAUUUUUUUCACAAAAAUGAAGAGUCACGUUCACUAUUUGUCAAAGACAUUUCAGAUUUCUAAAAAAUGAAGAGUCACGUUCAAUGGAUGCAAUUUUUAGAUGGUGUCCUUUGGAUUUCAAAGGUUUGAUGCUAUAUAACACAACCCUAACACUUCAAUAUUCAUCAUAAAAAAAAUUUCAAGAACAGAAAUAGUCUUUGAAAACAAUGAACAAUUUGGGCAUCAACAAUUAUGGUAACAGGCAACCAAUGGGUCAUGCAAAUGGCCAACCAUAUAACCAUCGUCCAGUCCGGGUUCGUGAGUUUGUAAUAAGUCUUAUAAGAGACAUGGAACUUUUGAGGGGAAUUAUGGAUGCUCUCAGAGUAGAAAAUGAUGAACUUCGAUGGCAACUGGUAACAUGAGGCAGAAUUUAUUUCAGCACAUGGAUGAAAUCGACGGCGGGGAUAGUUAAGACGGUUUGUGGUGAAUUUUCAUGUUUUAUUUAGUUAUCUUAGUUUUAUUUCGUCUGUUUUUAUGUUUGUUUAAAUUUUGUCAGGGUCAUGGCAUAAGUAUUUUAUGAGAUUGAAUAUUGCUAGUAGAAAAUGUUUCCAUUGUUAUGCUACUUUGUUCUAAUAAACAUAUUUUUGAUUCAAAUAAUUUGGUAAGCGUAAAUCACAGUGAAUAUAUCAGAACAAAAAUAAUCCAAUUAGCGUUGGACAAUGGGUCGAUAAGUUAAAAUUAUAUCUGUAUCAGCCAAAGCUGAUCAAAAUAACCUUAGCACUUACCAUCCAUUAUUAAUUAAGGAGGGGGUGAUGAUGGAGGAGUAAGACAUCCAUCAGCAUUGCAGCCCAUAGACAUCCAUCAGCAUUGCAGCCCAUACGACUGAGUAAACCCUUAACAUUCUAUCUAAUGUUUGAAUUUGGUCGGACAAUAUCAACAAUUUUUUAUCAAAUUCUUCAAGAUCUGGUAGACUUUUAAUUCUUUGCUUUAAAUAUUCAACUUGAAAACGUAUCUUUUCAAUCUCCAUUUUAAGUCUGCAAAACAAAAAUUAAACAGGAAAUGUCGUUAUUUUAAUAUAAAGAAAGAUAACACAAGAAGCCUAAAAAUAGAAUUAUGCCAACUCAUACCCUUUUCAAGUAAAGACUAUCAGAACUUUGGAUAUUAGUAACAAGUUAAACACCAUCACAAGGAACGACACCUUUAUAUAGUAGUAGCAAGUUAACCCUUUUUAGAUGGUCAAAUUUUUUUUUAAAAGUUUGUGGUUUUCCCUCCAAGUUUUAGCUGCCCAAAUUUUACUAUAAUCACAAAAACUUUGAAGAGUUUCCCGCUCCUGACCAAAAUUUUACAAUUGGAGAUAGUAAAAUUCUCAAUUCAUCAUGCAACAAUUAAACACUUUCCCGCGACUUUCCCUCUCUUAAUGAAUCAGUCACACUUUGACAUCUUCUUAUAUUUAUUGGUUUUGUGUGAAUUGGUUUUUUGGAAUGCUUAAUAUUAUAGAGUACCUUUUAAUUUAUUAAAUAUUAAAUAGUAAUAGAUAUAUUUUUAGAGUGCAAACUGAUUUACCUGUACUAGAUUAAUGGAGCAAACUUUUGAAAUUGUAGACGGAUCCCAUAGUUGAUUACUAACAAUAACCUUACAUAAUCGUUAAAGAGUUUAGGAGAAAAUACAUUUUUUCCCAGUUUUAGUACAUACCCGAUAUAAAUUUCCAAAAAAAUAACGCAAACACCAUAACAUACAACAAAUUUUUAAAGGUAUUCUCUUUUUCUUCGACGAAAAUCAACUUUUGUUUUUGUUGAGCCAUUCAAAAGAAGAGAAACCACCAUUAUACUGUAAUAAAUUACAAGAAUUAGAUUACAUUUUAACAAAAUAAAAUAAUUACAAUACGGUAAAUAAAACCACCAACCUGGCCAACCGCACAGUUAAAGAGCCGACCUGGAUUUGAAUUGGUGCAUGACUUCCUCAAGACAGCUGAAUUACUAUAAUAACAUAAAAAAUAAGGCUUGUUGGUUGCAUUGGAUGUUUGAGAGGCUUGAUACAUUGUAAAUGAUGACAAACUGAAUAAUAAAAUAUGGAGUUACAAACCACUAAAAAAACCUUAAAAAAGACGUCACUUAGAUGCAUGGAUUUUUUUUGACAAUUAAAUUCAAUCCGCUUUAACAUUUUGGAACAGUCAAUAAGUUGACAGCCUAGUUGAACUGAUGAAUCCCCUUAAUAAGAAGUCAAUACUCCACCCCAUGUCAUGAGUGAUCGAAAAAGUAAGUAAAGUAGAUGUGCAGGAUUGCAUAGCUCCUUUUUUUUAUGCAAAAUCAUUAAUUUGAUGUGAAUAUUGAGUGAAGCAUGUCAUAUCUCAUACCUAUUGUUAGAUCACAAGUCUUAAACCACCCAAUACUUCGGUCAGUCUAAAAUUAUGUAUUUUCAUAGUCAUUUUUUAGAACGUUCAAUAAUAACUGGAUUAAAAUGUUCAGCUAUACCUUUCAUAAAUAUUUUCUAGAUUGAGUUUUAACAGACUAUAAAUUUUCAAGUUGGUUUUAUUUCGUUUAAUGUUGCAGUAGGUUUAAAGUUGAAAAAUUUACGACCAAAAAAGGACAAUCACUGACUGAUUGCCCAUUAAUCUAUCUGAUUUGAUUGCUCUCAGUAAAUGCAUGUAGAGUGAUGCAUGUAAUAAUGUGAACAAUUUGGCUCCUCUUUACCCUAGCAUUGCCUAGACUACCUACGUAUGGAUAUAAUUAUAGUUCAUCACCUUAGUCGACUGUGCAUGGAACAAACACAAAUUGGAUAUUAACGACUGUCAUAACAUUACUAAGCAAUCAAUAUUAUUGAUUCCAGUUGGGUUACCUAACCAAUUUCUUUUCUUUACAAAUUGAUUUUCAACCGUAUUGUAAAUCGCAUAUUGCAUUGCACGAUGUCAAUUUACCAUAUUUGACCUAAAUACCCUACAUCUUAAAUUAAUUUUGGUGUACAAACACCGUCUUGAUAAUUUUUUCCAAUGGUUUGAAAUAUUUUAAAAAAGAAAAAUUUCAUGGCCAAACCCAUACUUAAAUUGAUCAAAACAAAAAUUCUGUAAAGGAAAAUAUACCGUGUGGUAGAAUGAUACUUAUUACAUACAUUCAUUCAACAAUUCAUUGACACGAGUUAGUUUAGACGCAAUUCAUUAUAAGUACAUUCAUUUAACAAUCCCUCGUCACGAGCCAAUGCAUGCAAUAGUGCAGACGAUUUGACCCCUUUAUAGCCUAGCCCUGCCUAGACUACCUUGGUUUUGAUAGAGUUACAGUUCAUUGAGUAGGAAGCCAUAUCUCCUUAGUCAACUAUGCAUGACACAAACACAGGUUGAAUAUUACCGAUGGUCAUUACAAAAAGUGUCAAUAUUAUGGAUUCUAGUUCAAUUACCUCACCAUUUUCUUUUCCUUACAAAUUGAUUUUAAAUCCUAUUACAACUCGCAUUUUUUCGUGUUAAUUUAAUAAGAUUUUUUCAUAUAAUGUCCACAAAUUGAGAAUGAACACAACUCAUUAUAACGUACAUUCAUUCAACAAUCCACUGUCAGGUCUUUGUUUAAUAAAGUUAGUACAUAUAAUGUUGACAAAUUGAAAGUCGACACACUUUAUAAUUACGUAAAUUCAUUAAACAAUCUAUUGUCAUGAGUUAAGUUAAUAAGGUUACGUCAUAUUAUAUUGAAAAAUUGAGAUUCAACACAGUUCAUUAGUACACAUUCAUUCCACAAACCAUUGUCACAACUUAAUUUAAUAAGGUUACUUCAUAUAAUAUUGACAAAUUGAGAUUCAACGUAGUUCAUUAUUACUUACAUUCAUGUGACAAUCCAUUGUCAUGAGUUAAUUUAAUAAAUUUAUUUCAUAUAAUGCUGACAAAUUAAGAAUUGACGCAGUUUAUUAUUUCGUACAUUCAUUCGACGAUCCCUUAUCACGAGUUAAUUCCAUAAAGUUAUUUCAUAUAAUGUUGACCAAUUGAGAAUCGACACAAUUCAAUAUUAUGUACAUUCAUUCGACAAUCCAUUGUCAUGAGUUAAUUUAAUAAAGUUAUUCCAUAUAAUGUUGACCAAUUGACAAUCGACAGAAUUCAUUAUUAUGUACAUUCAUUCAACGAUUCCUUAUCACGAGUUAAUUUAUUAUUAUGUACAUUCAUUUGACAAUCCAUUGUCACAAGUUAAUUUGAUAAAGUUAGUUCAUAUAAUAUUGACCAAUUGAGAAUUGACGAUAUUCAUUAUUAUGUACAUUCAUUCGACAAUGUAUUGUCACAAGUUAAUUUAAUAAAGUUUAUGCAUAUAAUUUUGUCAAAAGAAUCGACCCAAUUCAUUACUACGUACCAUUCGAUGAUCCCUUAUCACGAGUUAAUUUAAUGAAGUUUACACAUAUAAUGUUGACAAAUUGAGAGUCGACACACUUCAAUAUUAUGUACAUUCAUUCAACGAUCCACUGUCACGAGUUUAUUAAUAAAUUUAUUUCAUAUAAUGUUGACCAAUUGAGAAUCGACGGAAUUCAUUAGUACGUACAUUUAUUCCAUAAACCAUUGUCACGUGUUAAUUUAACAAGGUUACUUCAUAUAAUGUUCACAAAUUGAGAUUCAAUGCAAUUAAUUAUUACUUACAUUCAUGUGACAACCCAUUGUCAUGAGUUAAUUUAAUAAAGUUAUUUCAUAGAACGCUGAUAAAUUAAGAAUCGAUGCAAUUCAUUAUUACGUACAUUCAUUUAAUGAUCCAUUGUCACGACCUAAUUUAAUAUAGUUAUUUCAUAUAAUUUUGACCAAUUGACAAUCAACGAAAUUCAUUAUUACGUACAUUCAUUCGAAAGUCCAUUGUCACGAGUUAAUUUAAUGAAGUUUAUGCAUAUUAUGUUGACAAAUUGAGAAUCAACGGAAUGAGGUUUAUGCAUAUAAUGGUGAUAAAUUGAGAAUCGAUGCAAUUCACUAUUACGUACAUUCAUUUGACAAUCCAUUGUUACGAGUUAAUUUAAUAAAGUUAUAUCAUAUAGUGUUGACCAAUUGAGAAUCAAUGUAAUUCAUUAUUACGUACAUUCAUUUGACAAUCCAUUGUUACGAGUUAAUUUAAUGAAGUUUAUGCCUAUAAUGUUGAUAAAUUGAGAAUCGACGCAAUUCAUUAUUUCGUACAUUCAUUCGAUGAUCCCUUAUAACGAGUUAAUUUAAUGAAGUUUAUACAUAUAAUAUUGAUAAAUUGAGAAUCGACACAAUUCAUUAUUACGUACAUUCAUUCGACAGUUCAUUAUCACGAGUUAAUUUAAUAAAGUUAUUUCAAAAAAUGUUGACCAAUUGAGAAUUGAUGAAAUUCAUUAUUAUGUACAUUCAUUCGACAAUCCAUUAUCAUGAGUUGAUUUAAUGAAGUUUAUAGAUAUAAUGUUGUCAAAUUGAGAAUCCACGCAAUUCAUUAUUACGUACAUUCAUUCGAUGAUUCCUUAUCACGAGUUAAUUUAAUAAGUUUAUGAAUAUAAUAUUGACAAAUUGAGAAUGACACAAUUUAUUGUUACGUACAUUCAUUCAAUGAUCCUUAUCACGAGUUAAUUUAAUGAAGUUUAUGCAUAUAAUGUUGAUAAAUUGAAAAUUGAUGUAAUUCAUUAUUACUUACAUUCAUUCAACGAUCCAUUGUCACGAGUUAAUUUAAAAAAGUUAUUUCAUAUAAUGUUGACCAAUUUAGAAUCAACGAAAUUCAUUAUUAAGUACAUUCAUUCGACAGUCCAUUGUCACGAGUUAAUUUAAUAAAGUUUAUGCAUAUAAUUUUAUCAAAUUGAGAAUCGACACAAUUCAUUAUUACGUACAUUCAUUUGAAGAUCCCUUAUCACGAGUUAAUUUAAUGAAGUUUAUGCAUAUAAUGUUGAUAAAUUGAGAAUCGACACAAUUCAUUAUUACGUACAUUCAUUCGACGAUCCAUUGUACGGGUUAAUUUAAUAAAGUUAUUUCAUAUACUGUUGACUAAUUGAGAAUCGUCGAAAUUCAUUAUUAGAUACAUCAAUUCAACAAUCCAUUGUCCUGAGUUAAUUUAAUGAAGUUUAUGCAUAUAAUGUUGACAAAUUGAGAAUGACGUAAUUUAUUAUUACGUACAUCCAUUCGAUGAUCCUUAUCACGUUAAUUUAAUGAAGUUUAUGCAUAUAAUGUUGAUGAAUUGAGAAUUGACGCAAUUCAUUAUUACGUACAUUCAUUCGACGAUCCAUUGUCACGAGUUAAUUUAAUAAAGUUAUUUCAUAUAAUGUUGACCAAUUGAGAAUCAACAGAAUUCAUUAUUACGUACAUUCAUUUGACAAUCCAUUGUCACGAGUUGUUUAAUAAAGUUUAUGCAUAUAAUGUUGUCAAAUUAAGAAUCGACGCAAUUUAUUAUUACGUACAUUAAUUUGACGAUCCCUAAUCACGAGUCUAUUUAAUGAAGUUUAUGCAUAUAAUGUUGAUAAAUUCAGAAUCGACGCAAUUCAUUAUUACAUACAUUCAUUAAAUGAUCCAUUGUCACAAGUUAAUUUAAUAAAGUUAUUUCAUAUAGUGUUGACCAAUUGAGAAUCGACGGAAUUCAUUAUUACGUACAUUCAUUCAACAAUCCAUUGUCACGAGUUAAUUUAAUGAAGUUUAUGCAUAUAAUGUUGACAAAUUGAGAAUGACACAAUUCAUUAUUGCGUAAAUUCAUUCGACGAUCCCUUAUCAUGAGUUAAUUUCAUAAAGUUAUUUUAUAUAAUGUUACCAAUUGAGAAUCGACGCAAUUCAUUAUUACGUACAUCAUUCGACAAUCCAUCAUCACGAGUUAAUUUAAUAAAGUUAUUUCAUAUAGUGUUGACCAAUUGAGAAUCAAUGUAAUUCAUUAUUACGUACAUUCGUUCAACAAUCCCUUAUCACAAGUUAAUUUAAUGAAGUUUAUGCCUAUAAUGUUGAUAAAUUGAGAAUCGAUGCAAUUCAUUAUUAUUACAUACAUUCAUUCGACGAUCCCUUAUCACGAGUUGAUUUAAUGAAGUUUAUGCAUAUAAUAUUGAUAAAUUGAGAAUCGAUGCAAUACAUUAUUAAGUACAUUCGUUCGAUGAUCCAUUGUCAUGAGUUAAUUUAAUAAAGUCAUUUUAUAUAAUGUUGACCAAUUGAGAAUUGAUGGAAUUCAUUAUUAUGUACAUUUAUUCGUUAAUCUAUUGUCACGAGUUACUUUAAUUAAGUUUAUGCAUAUAAUGUUGUCAAAUUGAGAAUCGACGCAAUUCAUUAUUACGCACAUUCAUUCAACGAUCCCUUAUAAUGAGUUAAUUUAAUAAAGUUUAUGCAUAUAAUGUUGAGAAAUUGAGAGUCAACGCAAUUCAUUAUUACAUACAUCGAUGAUCCCUUGUCAUGAGUUAAUUUAAUAAAGUAAGUGCCUUUAAUGUUGACAAACUGAGAAUCGACACAAUUCAUUAUUAUGUACAUUCAUUCGAUAAUCAAUAGUCAUGAGUUAAUUUAAUAAAGUUAUUGCAUAUAAUAUUGACAAAUUUAGAAUUGACAAAAUUCAUUAUUACGUUCAUUAUUCAACAAUAUCUUGUCACGAGUUUAUUUAACAAUAGUAUCCUAAAAUUUAAAAAUUGCGAAUCAACAAAUUCCAUAACAUACAUUCAUUCUAAGAAUUUAUGUUGAUCAAAAGUAUAAGCUCGGUGAUUGUUACAUUAUUAUGCCGCAUGCAAUGUAUUGAAAGCUCUAGUAGCAAAUAUGGCCAAACGGCUAGUGCAUACUCCUUGGGUUGAGUGUUUGAUACUCCCCGUCGCAUGCUAUUUUGAUAGAUUUUUUUGUAAUGAGCAAUAAUUCCCACCCUAGGUCGCGUGUUCGAUACUCCCCGACGCAUGUUGUUUUGAUUGUUUUUUUUGUAUGAGCAAUAAUGCCUACCCUUUCAAAUACAAUUUCCUAGGUCACCUCUAAUAAUACAAUGCCUUUCAAAUACAAUUUUCUAGGUCACCUCUAUGAAUACAAAUUGUCAGAGUAACAACCAUUUGCUUUCCUUAGCCUUUAUUAAUCAACAAUCUCCUACAAUACACAACAAAUACUCAACCAAAACUUUAUUCUUCUCCCUCGACCCCUAAAAAAAUGACAACUUUCAUUCAACUACGCAGCUACCCUAAUGAUUACAAGCCAAAAUUUAGUAUUACAUUGACCAGAUCAUAAAUGAAUCUUGUCGGAUUGGUAAUUUUUCAUUUUUUCUUCAAUGAGGAUUCUACAUCUUUUUGUUAGUUUAAUUUAAUUUUUAUUUAUUUAAAUUUAAUUCAUCCAUCUUUUACCCCCUGUUUUAGUGGAUACCACAAGAGGUUAGUCAGUACUUCACCAGCGACCCGACGUCAUUAACCAUUCUUCAUUGUGGUACUAAAAGGGUGUAUAAGGCUAAAGUGUCCUACUGUGGGUAUCAGAACAGGUGGAAAAUAUAUGAUGGCUGGAGAUAUUUCAUUCAUGAUGCGGGUAUUCAAAUAGGAGACAUUUUAGACUUCAGGAUCCCCUAAAGUGUUCCCAAACAUGUCUUCAUAAUUGUUCAUCACUUAAUCGAUGUAUGAAUUAGUUUUCAGGAUGUACAACUUUCAAAUAUGUGAAGAAAUCCGUAGUGUAAGACCCCACAAAAUUCUUAGCUUAAUUCAGUCCUUUAAGCUUCUUAAGAGGGGUCCCAGACUUAGAAAAUUCUAACUAAUUAUUCAGACUUAGUGUUAUUUUACCCUUUGGAAGUCAACAAUCUUAUUUUGUGACCUUUACAUCCAUUAAAUAUUGAUAUUCGAGUUAAUUCAUGAUUAGGAAUGUCAAUAGGUGUUCCUGGGCAAGUUUUGAAUUUUUUGGACGUCGUUUGAAGCACCUUUGGAAUCCUUAACUAGUGAAUCAAUAGGAUCUUGACGCCUCGCAUCGACUUUCGCAUUAAUAAAUGUUUUACCCAGAUCCAUCAUCAAAUUUCAGUGAACCAACAUGGACUCGACGCGGCGCGUUGGCUAUCACAUCGAUACCAACGACGCGGCACGUCGGCUUGCGCAUCGAUAGUUCAGUUUAUAGUUAUUAAAAUUGUUGCAUCCUCAGGGUUGAUUAAGUCUUUUUCCCCAACCUUUAGCCCCCAUAAAACGAAAUUUAGCCCUCUUUUAGCAAAAUAUAUUCAUUCUUUCACAAAUUACUCAAGAACAAAAACCUUAGGAGUAUAAAUUUCAAAUUCAAGGCUCAAGAUUUCACCAUUAAUUUUCAAUAAUUCACCAACUAAGGUAUGUGAAGUGUUCAUCCAAGGGUUCUUUCCACCAUUGGAGUCCAAGAAACACUUUUAAAAUUCAUGGGGAGUGAUUUCAUGAUUUCCAUGAUUUGAAUUAAAGUGUAUUCAUGAUUAUUACUUAAUGGGGUUUCUAUUUCAUGAUUUAUUACAAGAUUCAUGAAGAUUUAAUUGAUAUGUGUGAUUUAUUAUGUGAAUUCAUGCUGAAACCCUUGGAAUAAAGAAAUUGGAAUUGAAUCACGAUGCCUACAUAUUGCUUUAGUAUUAUGUGCAUAUGUUAUGCCCCACAAGUGUUUGAUGAAUUGUCCAUGUGAGUUGAAUAGUGAAAUUAUAUCAUGUUAGCAUGUAUACUAGUUCAUGUCAUGCAAGUGUUUGCCUAAAUGCCCAAAAGAAUGAAUGAUGACUAAGUAGUUAGUUAUCAUGUCAAAAGAUUAUGUCAUGUCUUUUUAAAUUUAUGCUAUCGAGUCCUAGGGGUAUUUAAUACCCGAUAAUUUAGCUGCUUGUCUAGAACCAUGGUCAGUCACAGAGUAGUAUCAGUGUCACGAUUAAUAAAAUUCAGUUACUUACAGAACUUAGCAAAAACUAAGUGAACUCAGAAUUAGUCCAGAUCAGUUCAGUAAAAUUAGUGUAGUUCAGUUAUACAGUAUGAUCAGUAACAGUUCAGUCCAGUCUAGUACAGUUUAGAAUUUAGUCUAGUAUCUAUUCAGUUGGGAGUAGGAUUCAGCACCGACUGAACCCAAUGAUGGGGGCUCACCUGCCAGUAGGGGGUGUACUCCUUAGAAGUAGUCCUUAUGUUUCAGAACUACGUAGCCAACGUUGGUUGAGACAUCAGUUGAGGGUUGAUAAGGUGAUCUACCUGCCAGUUGAGGGUACCACCAUUCUCGUUCAGAGCACCUGCCAGAUGAGGUUGAAUCAACACUUGUCCUUACCCGUGGCAUGAUAUUGACACCCUUCUAACUAGGGUUACAGGUUGGACCCCAAAUCAGUUAGAGGAGGGGCAUGUAAUACCCCAUACUUUUCCUAGCUUAAAAUCAUCUCAAGAAUGUCAGAAGCUUUCUUUGAAAGAUGAAUCCACUUUUGUACAUGUGGUAUUUUUAAGAUUUUCACUUUUUAUCAUGUGAAAAAUUGAAUUAUAUUUCCAACAAUACCAAUUUCAUCAAAAUCCGAGAACCAAAUUUGGGGUGUUACAAACUUGGUAUCAGAGCCUAAGGUUCAAUAGUGUCCUAGGAAGUCUGAAAGCCGCAUCUAGCUUACGUAUGGGUGUGUUGCACGCCACAUUUAUGUGUAGGAGGUUAUAAGAUGUUUUAAGAAUAUUUUCCCUUCUUUCAGUAUUCAUGUCGUGUCAGUGAGCAUAAUCUCAAUCUAAUCUCUCAGUGUAAUCCAUUUCUCCUCCUUAUUUCAAAACAUACCUCCCAAGAGAAAAACCCAGCCUGUCCAAGAAGAUCCCUUGGAUGAACAUGUUUUUUAUGCAGAGUUUAGGGCUGUAUUCACUACUCUUGCUUAUUCAGUUGCUGCUCAGAAUGAAUUACCAGCUGUCAUUUCGGCCAAACAAGUGGCCAAUUUAGCUACAGCCAGGAUUCGGGACUUCACCCGAAUGAAUCCUCCAUCCUUUCUUGGGUCUAAGACAGACAAGGACCCUCAAGAAUUUCUAGAUCAGGUGCAGAAGGUUACAGACAUAAUGGGGGUUACGUAUAGUGAGAGUGCUAAUCUAGUUGCAUAGUAAUUGCAGGAUGUGGCCCAUACUUGGUUCAAGUAGUGGAAGUCAGAGAGGGUAGACGAUGCAGAGUUAGUUGAGUGAGAGGAGUUUGCUUCAGUGUUCCUUGAUAGAUUCUUUCCCCUAGAGCUUAAAGAAGCUAAGGUGCUAGAAUUCAUCAACCUCAGGCAGGGCAAUAUGAUAGUGAAAGAGUAUUCUCUUAAGUUUACUCAAUAAGCCAGAUAUGCCCCUCAUGUGGUUGCAGAUAGCAGGGCAAAGAUAAGUAAGUUUGUUUUAGGGGUAAAGAUAGCAUGGUUAAUGAGUGCUAUCCGCCAUGCUAAAUAGUGACAUGACUUUAGAUAAGCUCAUGCUCAGCAGAUAGAGGAGCAAAAGAUUAAGAUGAGAGAGAAGCAGAAUAAGAGAGCAAAGACAGGUAGUUUCAACUUUGCUCAACCUAAGUCAGAAGGAGGAAACCAUUCUCAGUUUUGUCCUAAGUUAUCAGUUCUAGCUUCUUCUUCAACUAUUGCUCCAGUUCCUAAGUUUAGAGAGGGUAACAAAGAUAGAGCGCUAGUCUCUAAGUCCUAGGGCACGUUUAGCAGUGCUCGUACCUAUUCUCUUUGCCAGACUUGGGGUAAUCACCAUCAGGGUAUUUGUAGAGCUGGCAGUGGUAUUUGUUUUGAAUGUGGAAAACCAGGCCACAGAGUCAGAGACUGUCCUCAGCCAGGUCCUCAGGGUCAAUAGAAUUGCUUCUCAACUUAGUCCGAUCGCUUAAAUCAGCACGGUGCCACCUCCAGUUCUACUAGUGGCAACACCCAAAUCAUCUAUAUGCUCUUCAGUCCCAACAAGAUCAAAAAAUUCUCCUGAUGUGGUUACUGGUACGUCACAGAUCUUUCAUAUGCAUGUUAUGCUUUGCUAGAUCCAGGAGCUUCUUUGUCUUUUGUCACUCCUUUUAUAGCAGUCGAUUUUGGAGUCAGUCCCAAAAUUCUAGUAGAGCCCUUUUCAGUCUCUACCCCAAUGGGUAAAACUAUCAUAGUUAGACGGGUAUACAGGAACUGUCCGGUUAUGAUGUUUUAGAAAAUCACCUCAGCAGACUUAGUCAAAUUAAAGAUGACUGAUUUUGAUGUAAUUUUUAGCAUAGAUUGGCUUCAUUCUUGCUAUGCCACAGUCGACUGCAGAAAUAAAAUAGUCCAAUUUUAGUUUUUGAAUCAACCCAUUCUUGAGUGGAAGAGUAGUGAAUCCGCUUUCAGGGGUUAACUUAUUUCCUUCCUUCGAGCAUGGAAAAUGAUAUCUAGAGGAUGUGUCUAUCAUUUUGUUCAUGUUAAGGAUUUCAGUUCCGAGACUCCCAGUCUUGAAGCAGUUCCAGUUGUAAAUGAAUAUUCAGAUGUUUUUCUCGAAGAUCUUCUAGGAAUUCCUCUUGAAAGGGAAAUAGACUUCGGUAUUGAUCUUCUUCCAGAUACUCAGCCUAUCUCUAUUCCACCAUAUAGAAUAAUACCAAUAGAACUCAAAUAACUGAAAGAGAAGUUGAAGGAUCUUUUAGAUAGGGGAUUCAUCAGACCCAGCAUUUCCCCAUGGGGAGCACCAGUUUUAUUCGUACGCAAUAUGCAUUGAUUACUAUCAACUCAAUAAAUUCACGGUCAAGAACAAGUAUCCUCUUCCCAAAAUUGAUGACUUGUUUGACCAACUUUAUGGUGCUAUCUAUUUCUCCUGCUAAAUCUCAGAUUCGGCUAUCAUCAGCUCAGAGUCAGAGAAUGUGACAUUCCAAAAAUAGCUUUCCAUACUUGGUAUGGUCACUUCAAAUUCUUAGUUAUAUCAUUUGGUCUUACCAAUUCCCCAGCUAAUUUCAUGGGCUUGAUGAACUGUGUGUUCAAGCAGUACUUAGACAUGUUCAUCAUAGACUUCAUAGAUGAUAUUCUGGUCUAUUCUCGCAGUGAGCGAGAUCAUGUAGACCAUCUCAAAACAGUACUUCAGACUCUUAGAGAUCAUUAGCUAUUCGCCAAAUUUAGUAAGUGCGAGUUUGUGCUAAGGUCAGUAGCAUUCCUUGGUCAUAUCAUUUCUGAUGAUGGCAUUAGAGUAGAUUCUCAAAAGAUUGAAGCAGUAAGAAACUGGCCUCACCUUAUCUCUCCAUUAGAUAUUAGGAGUUUCUUGGGUUUGGCUGGCUAUUACUGGUGGUUUAUUGAGGAAUUUUCUUCUAUUGCAUCCCCUAUGUCCAGAUUGACUCAGAAGAAAGUUAAGUUCCAGUGGCUAGAUCCUUGCGAUAAAAGUUUUCAGGAGUUAAAGACUCGACUCACCUCAGCUCUAGUUCUAGCGUUACCAGAUGGUUCAUAUGGGCUCAUAGUGUAUUGUGAUGCAUCUAGAGUGGGUUUAGGUUAUGUUCUCAUACAGCAUGGUAAGGUCAUAACCUACACCUUCAGAUAGCUUAAGCCCCAUGAAAAGAAUUACCCUACUCAUGAUCUUGAGUUAGCCGCUGAAGUAUUUGCCUUGAAGACUUGGAGGCAUUAUCUAUACGGUGUUCAUGUAGUGUGUUCAUGGAUCAUAAGAGCCUUCAGUAUGUAUUUCUCAAAAAUAUCUUAAUCUUCAUCAGAGAAGGUGGUUAGAGCUCUUAAAAGAUUAUGACAUGAGUGUCCUUUAUCAUUCGAGCUAGGCCAACGUAGUGGCCGACGCUCUUAGUAGAUUGUCUAUAGGUAGUGUUGCUCAUGUCAAAGACAGUAAGAAUAAGUUAGCUCAGGAAGUCCAUUAUCUUGCAAGACUAGGCGUUUGCUUAGUCGAUUCUUCAGAGGGCAAUAUAUGGAUUCAGAGUAGUUUAGAAUCAUCUUUAGUUUCCAAGGUGAAAGAAAAGCAAGAUAGAGAUCCCAGCUUUGUCAAGUUGAAAGAGUCGGUUCAGAAUUAGAAAAUAGAGAUUUUCUCCCAAGAGGGAGAUGGUGUUCUGCGCUGUCAGGGUCAUCUCUGUUUUCCAGGUGUAGAUGACUUAAGGUAGCAAAUUCUUACAAAAGCACAUGGUGCACGCCACUCUAUUCAUCCAGGGGCCACAAAGAUGUACCACGAUUACUGGGAGAUCUAUUGGUGGAGUGGGAUAAAGAGAGAUAUUGCAGAGUUUGUGGCUAAGUGCUCUACAUGUCAGUAGGUUAAGAUAGAGCAUCAGAAGCCUAGUGGUCCUAUGAAGGAGUUCACUACUCCUACUUGGAAGUGGGAUGAAGUGAACAUGGACUUCGUGAUGGGUUUGCAUCAAACUCGUAAUCAACAUGAUUUAGUUUGGUCAUCAUAGACAGAAUGACCAAAUCAGCCCAUUUCCUUCCAGUCCAUAUGUAAUACCCCGUAUUUUUGUGCUAGAAUUCUAACCGUUGUUCCUGCGUGUCUAAGCUCUAAUCCAAGCAAUUCUCAUGUGAAUACAAGUUUCAUGAUCAUUAUACUAGUCUAUGGAGUAGUUUAGAGGUGGAAAAUAUUUAUAGCAAUGACAUAGAACAAGGUUGAGCUAAGACCAAUUGAUUCAUCUAAAGUUUGACAUUUGAUUCUACAAGGUUCAACUUUAAACUUGAAUAUCUCUUAAUAUAUAUGGAAUUUUUCAUCCCAAGACCUGUCAAAUUGUAGAUAAUUGAAUUAUCUUUCCAGCGAUACCAAUUUUGCAAAAAUCCAAUACCCAAGCGAAGAGUUAUGCCCAUUUUUGUGAGAGAUAAUAAGGGUGUGAAAUGGGCAAUGCGCCGCCCAAUCAAAUGUGUGCGAUUGGGAGUGCGAGGCACACUUAAAUGUCUACCAUAAGGUGUGAGACGCACACCUUAAGGUCUGCCGUGGGUUGUACGCCGCAUACCUCACUUCCAAGUGCCAAAAACACCCCUAUAUAUGUCUAUAACACGGGAUUAAACUCCCACAAUAUCAAAAUAAGUUUACUUUCUCUCAAAAUAACCAAGAACAACCUUUAGGGUUUGAACAUAAAGACCCCAAUAGCUAGAUAUUCAACCGUUAUAAUUCUAUAAUUUUUACAUAUUCGGAAUCCCCAUUACGAAGGCUAUGAGUGACACCCAAAAGUUCAUGAAUAGCAUUACGUCAUUCAAAAAGUUAUUCAAAGCUUCAAGUUUAAGGUAUGUGGGGUUUUUCAAAAAGAACACCCUUUCAUUCUUGUACCCAAAAAUACUUUCUUUUACGAAGUUAUGCAUUUUAUAUGUUUUACUAUGAUUUUGAAGCAUGAAUUUAUAUCCUAUAUUGAUUAUCACUAGAUUAUGAUGUUUUUGAUAUUUUAGAAGUGAAAUUAUAUGAUAAUGAUGAUAUUUUGUGCCUUAUGGCUAAAUUUCCAGAUUUUGAAGGAAGUUAUAUAUGUUUAUGAUGUAAAGCUUGAACCUUGAUAAANNNNNNNNNNNNNNNNNNNNNNNNNNNNNNNNNNNNNNNNNNNNNNNNNNNNNNNNNNNNNNNNNNNNNNNNNNNNNNNNNNNNNNNNNNNNNNNNNNNNNNNNNNNNNNNNNNNNNNNNNNNNNNNNNNNNNNNNNNNNNNNNNNNNNNNNNNNNNNNNNNNNNNNNNNNNNNNNNNNNNNNNNNNNNNNNNNNNNNNNNNNNNNNNNNNNNNNNNNNNNNNNNNNNNNNNNNNNNNNNNNNNNNNNNNNNNNNNNNNNNNNNNNNNNNNNNNNNNNNNNNNNNNNNNNNNNNNNNNNNNNNNNNNNNNNNNNNNNNNNNNNNNNNNNNNNNNNNNNNNNNNNNNNNNNNNNNNNNNNNNNNNNNNNNNNNNNNNNNNNNNNNNNNNNNNNNNNNNNNNNNNNNNNNNNNNNNNNNNNNNNNNNNNNNNNNNNNNNNNNNNNNNNNNNNNNNNNNNNNNNNNNNNNNNNNNNNNNNNNNNNNNNNNNNNNNNNNNNNNNNNNNNNNNNNNNNNNNNNNNNNNNNNNNNNNNNNNNNNNNNNNNNNNNNNNNNNNNNNNNNNNNNNNNNNNNNNNNNNNNNNNNNNNNNNNNNNNNNNNNNNNNNNNNNNNNNNNNNNNNNNNNNNNNNNNNNNNNNNNNNNNNNNNNNNNNNNNNNNNNNNNNNNNNNNNNNNNNNNNNNNNNNNNNNNNNNNNNNNNNNNNNNNNNNNNNNNNNNNNNNNNNNNNNNNNNNNNNNNNNNNNNNNNNNNNNNNNNNNNNNNNNNNNNNNNNNNNNNNNNNNNNNNNNNNNNNNNNNNNNNNNNNNNNNNNNNNNNNNNNNNNNNNNNNNNNNNNNNNNNNNNNNNNNNNNUUUUACUCUCUUAUGAUUAUGAUGAUUUUAAUUCGAGCUAAGUGAGUCAUUUAUAUCAGCAUGCAUAAAUUUAUAAACUGUGAUGAUAUUAAGAUAUUAUUUUAUAUAUGCAUUGCACCCCCAUAUGCUCGAUAUGUUUCUAUGGUACUGACCCACAUAUUCGUAUAUAGGCUACAUUUUCUCAGAAUGUAGGUACAAGGUAUAGUGUAUAUCUUCAGAUCCAGUCAGUUCGCGGCAUCCAGUCAACAGGUGAUGAGUCCUUUUGAUUCAAGGGCUUGAGUUAGUUAUAUAGUUCGAGAAGUGUUGCAUUUUCUUUAUUCAGUCGUAUUGAGUUAGGUUAGUCGGGAGUCAUGACCCAGCUACCUACAGUCAGUACUAAUAGAGGCUUCAUAGACAAUCAGUAGAAGUUGAUGUAUUCCAUUUUAGUUUUGGCUGUAAAAGCAGAGUUGUAAUCUUGUAAAUUUAGUUUUGUAUCUAUCAUAUUCAGAAAAUAGUUAUUUUCCACAGAUUUGUAUAGAUUUAUCCUUUUUGUUCUAUUUUUUAUGAGUUAUGCCAGUAGAAGGGUUAGCUUGGGGUCACUUGUAGUCCUAAGCACCGUGUGACAUCUCAGGAUCCGAUUUCAGGGCGUUACAAACUUGGUAUCAGAGCACAGAGUUCAAGUGUACUAGGGUGUCUAUGAAGUUGUGUCUAGUAAAGUCUUGCGGAACGUACAAAGACAUCUGUACUUUUCUUCAAGAGGCUACAGGUCUUUUAGGAAAUGUCUCCAUUCUUUCAAGUCUUAAAUCAUGCUAUAGAAAAGUUCUCCAAGAAACUUAUAAAGAUUCUUAUCUUACUCUNNNNNNNNNNNNNNNNNNNNNNNNNNNNNNNNNNNNNNNNNNNNNNNNNNNNNNNNNNNNNNNNNNNNNNNNNNNNNNNNNNNNNNNNNNNNNNNNNNNNNNNNNNNNNNNNNNNNNNNNNNNNNNNNNNNNNNNNNNNNNNNNNNNNNNNNNNNNNNNNNNNNNNNNNNNNNNNNNNNNNNNNNNNNNNNNNNNNNNNNNNNNNNNNNNNNNNNNNNNNNNNNNNNNNNNNNNNNNNNNNNNNNNNNNNNNNNNNNNNNNNNNNNNNNNNNNNNNNNNNNNNNNNNNNNNNNNNNNNNNNNNNNNNNNNNNNNNNNNNNNNNNNNNNNNNNNNNNNNNNNNNNNNNNNNNNNNNNNNNNNNNNNNNNNNNNNNNNNNNNNNNNNNNNNNNNNNNNNNNNNNNNNNNNNNNNNNNNNNNNNNNNNNNNNNNNNNNNNNNNNNNNNNNNNNNNNNNNNNNNNNNNNNNNNNNNNNNNNNNNNNNNNNNNNNNNNNNNNNNNNNNNNNNNNNNNNNNNNNNNNNNNNNNNNNNNNNNNNNNNNNNNNNNNNNNNNNNNNNNNNNNNNNNNNNNNNNNNNNNNNNNNNNNNNNNNNNNNNNNNNNNNNNNNNNNNNNNNNNNNNNNNNNNNNNNNNNNNNNNNNNNNNNNNNNNNNNNNNNNNNNNNNNNNNNNNNNUUCUGGUGUUAGUUGAAAGUGUGGGUUUCUGUGUAGUGAUAGAAGUAGUAACGUUUAGUUGAAAGUCUUGUGUUAGUUGAACUUGUGGGUUUAGAAGUGUAGUGGCAAGAAUGGUGGUAAGGACAAUUUAUUGAAUAUGUAUAGCUGAAUUUUUGCUUAUGAUUGAAUUAGUAAUGAAGUGAUAUACCCUUGUUUGUAAGUUUAGUGAAGUUAGAGAAGAAGAUUAUUAGUUAAGGUGGAUUAUUGUUUUCUUGAAGUACGAAAAGAGUUAUUGAUGGUAUUUGUUGUGCUAGGAAAGUAUAGGUUUUGAUGGAAGUACUUGGUGGUUGAGUAUUGUUAAUUUAGGAUUUCUUGAGAUUGCAAGAGAAAGUUUAGUUGAAAUUUAUAGAGCUAUGAAAGUAAUUUAGGUAUGAGUAUGGGUAAAUAGUAAUGAUGUGAAUAGGGAGGAUGUGUUAACAGAUUAUGAAUAAGAUAGUCCAUAUGAUUAUGAUCGAUUGUAAUUGUGUACUAGUUUUUCUUAAUGCUAUGUCUAUAGUUUUGAAGUGAAAAUUAUGUGUGAGAUUGGGUUGUAAAUCAUGUUUAGCUCUAGACAUUAAGUUUGAACAGUUGAUGGUUCGGAUGUUGAUGCUAGUUAUAUGAAGGUGAUCUAGUAGGCAUGAACAGUGUAUGCAAGAGUAUAGGAUCAUAUGUUCGUAAUUAAGUAUGGUGUAGAGGUGUGCCCAAGGUGCUAUGGGGCUACAUUAUUUUUUGAGGAUUACUGCAUAUUGUGUGGUUAGUAGUAACGUUGAGUUGCUAGGUGGGGAAAGGCUAGUUAGAUAAUUUAUGUUGUUCUUGAUAGCUAAGUUAAGGAGUUAUGAUUGAAGAUGUUGAGUCUUUUUAGUAUGACUUUAUUCUCAUGGUUUGGGAAAAAUAUAAGUAUAGAAGUGUCAUCUUAGUAGGCUAUGAUUAUGUGAUUAGAGAUGUAGAUAUGGUUGCAAAUGAGAGUGUAAGUCUUUGAUGAUGAUUAUUGAAGCUAGGAAUUAAGGAUGGCAUAUGGAUGGGUUGUUCAAGAAUGAAGUUUGUAAGUUCGAAAUUAGUUUAUUCUUGUGAGUUUAGCAUUUAUGUGUAGAUAAUAGAAUGAUAAAAUUAUGGCUUAAUCUCAAGGAUAUGGAGUAGACCAUCAUACUUAGAAUACCAGCUUUGACCUAAGUGGGAGAUGGUUAGUGAAGAACUAUAUCGAGUUUUGAGAAUUAGAUUGUGAUACAUGUCAAUAAUGAAUUAUGAUGUGAUAGUUAUCCCUUCUUACUCUAGAGUAUUCCUUGGAUUUCAGUCAUUACAACACCAAAUCCAUCACUUGCUUGACAAAUCCAUGCCACAGGCCUAUGCUUAUACCUAUCAUAUGUGCUCAAGCCCAUUCUCANNNNNNNNNNNNNNNNNNNNNNNNNNNNNNNNNNNNNNNNNNNNNNNNNNNNNNNNNNNNNNNNNNNNNNNNNNNNNNNNNNNNNNNNNNNNNNNNNNNNNNNNNNNNNNNNNNNNNNNNNNNNNNNNNNNNNNNNNNNNNNNNNNNNNNNNNNNNNNNNNNNNNNNNNNNNNNNNNNNNNNNNNNNNNNNNNNNNNNNNNNNNNNNNNNNNNNNNNNNNNNNNNNNNNNNNNNNNNNNNNNNNNNNNNNNNNNNNNNNNNNNNNNNNNNNNNNNNNNNNNNNNNNNNNNNNNNNNNNNNNNNNNNNNNNNNNNNNNNNNNNNNNNNNNNNNNNNNNNNNNNNNNNNNNNNNNNNNNNNNNNNNNNNNNNNNNNNNNNNNNNNNNNNNNNNNNNNNNNNNNNNNNNNNNNNNNNNNNNNNNNNNNNNNNNNNNNNNNNNNNNNNNNNNNNNNNNNNNNNNNNNNNNNNNNNNNNNNNNNNNNNNNNNNNNNNNNNNNNNNNNNNNNNNNNNNNNNNNNNNNNNNNNNNNNNNNNNNNNNNNNNNNNNNNNNNNNNNNNNNNNNNNNNNNNNNNNNNNNNNNNNNNNNNNNNNNNNNNNNNNNNNNNNNNNNNNNNNNNNNNNNNNNNNNNNNNNNNNNNNNNNNNNNNNNNGAUUUUUAAUGAUAGGCUUGAAUGUCAUGUUGGGUGUAAGAUGAUGAAUGCAAUAUGCACUAGUGAAUCCAUAUCAAGAGUUUUAAAUUAGUCAUUGAAGUGGUAAGGCAUGUUAUGCUUAGGGUGUGAGCUCUAAGAAGAUAUUGAAUAUUGAACCUUGCGGUUUAGAUUAGUAUUGUGGUUUGGUAUGUUGUAUCUUAUGAUUUAGUGUUAGGCUUGAUCAUGGUGAGAGAACUUAGUUUAGUUUAGACCUUAGUAGAAAGAUUUUGCAGUGCCAAUAUGAGAAUUAUAAGUUGAAUCAAAUGAUAUGGUAUUUAAGGGGAAUAGUAUAGCUAAGAGAGAAUUUGAGAAGUAAUGCUAAGCUUGAAAGUAAGAAGUUGCGUUGCCUACGGCCUAGCAAUCAUAUCCUAGUUUAUGAGUUAUGUAAUUAUAUUCCGCUAUAAAGUUAUAUCAAUGUUGUAAUUCCUUAGUCAAAUGUCUUGUUCAGAGCAUGCCCAAAAUUCUUUGCUCCCUAAUGUCAAUAGAAUUUCGUAGAAAAGUGCUAAAUAAAUACUCCAUUUGAGUAUGGGUAGUCAGUAUGAUCCAGUUCAUAUAGACUGUAAUCUAGUUUAGCAAGCAAGGAGAUAAGCUCCAAUAGAUUCUUAAUUUUUCAACUAGUCUUACUAUCCGCAGUAUUAUACGUAUGUACAUUCCAAGAGGCAAUGUGUUUGUGUCCAAUUAAAUUAUGAAUUCUGCUCAGUUCAUGCAUCAGUUUCAGUUUUAGAUAUUAAGACAUGAUUCAGUUCGUAAGUAUCCUGUGUAGUAUCACAGUCUCUUCCAAGUAUUUUUAUCAAAUUAUUAUCAUUUGGGGAUGAACGAUACCAAGAGGGGGAUGUUGUAAUACCUCGAGUUUUCAAGUCAUAAACCUCUCAUCCUUUCUCAUGAGAUCAGAUCCAAUGCAAAGUAAUGGUUACUCAUAAGUUGACACUCUCGUUUCUAUCUUAGCCAUACAGUUAUUUUUCUUGAGGAUUCAUGCACUUGUAGACCAUUUCAGUAGCUUAUUAUUCUUGAGAUCCAGUGAUUCAGUUCUAUCAGUUACACAUGAUAGCUUGAAGACUAAUAUUCCUCUGUGUUUCAGGUUAAUUAUCCACAUUCGAGGACGAAAGUUCCCAAGGGGGAGAUAAUGUAAUACCCUAUAUUUUCAUGCUAGAAUUCUAACCAUCGUUCCUAUGUGUAUAAGCUCUAAUCCAAGUGAUUAUCAUGUGAAUACAAGUUGAAUGAUCAUUAUCCUAGUCUAUGGAGUAGUUUAGAGGUGGAAAAUGUUUAUAGCAAUGCCAUAGAACAAGGUUGAGCUAAGACCAAUUGAUUCAUCCAAAGUUUGAAAUUCGAUUCUACAAGGGUCAACGUUAAAUGUAAAUAUCUCUUAAUAUACAUGGAAUUUUUCAUCCCAAGACCUAUCAAAUUGUAAAUAAUUGAAUUAGCUUUCCAACUAUACCAAUUUUGCAAAAAUCUGAUACCCGAGAGAAGAGUUAUGCCCAUUUUUGUGAGAGGCAGUAAGGGUGUGCGAUGGGCAAUGCACCGCCCAAUCAAAUGUGUGCAAUUGGCAGUGCGAGGCACACUUAAAUGUCUGACCUUAAGGUCUGCCAUGGGUUGUGCACCGCAUACCUCACUUCCAAGUGCCAAAAACACCUUAUAUAUGUCUAUAACACGGGAUUAAACUCCCACAACAUCAAAAUAAGUUUACCUUCUCUCAAAAUCACCAAGAACAACCUUUAGGGUUUCAACAUAAAAACCCCAAUAGCUAGAGAUUCAAUCGUGAGAAUUCUAUAAUUUUUACAUAUUCAGAAUCCCCAUUACGAAGGCUACGAGUGACACCCAAAAGUUCGUGAAUAGCAUUACGUCAUUCAGAAAGUCAUUCAAAGCUUCAAGUUUAAGGUAUGGGGGUUUUUCAACAAGAAAACCUUUUCGUUCUUGUGCCCAAAAAUACUUUCUUUUACGAAGUUAUGGAUUUUAUAUGUUUUACUAUGAUUUUGAAGCAUGAAUUUAUAUCCUAUAUUGAUUAUCAUUAGAUUAUGAUAUUUUUGAUAUUUUAGAAGUGAAAUUAUAUGAGAAUGAUGAUAUUUUGUGCCUUAUGGCUAAAUUUCCAGAUUUUGAAGGAAGUUAUAUAUGUUUAUGAUGUAAAGCUUGAACCUUGAUAAAUUUUCAUAUGAUGUUGAGACAUGAGUUUUGAACUCUAAUUGAGAUUGUAUUUUUUUUAGGAAAUCAUGUGUUAUAAACACUUUGUGUUUGAAUGAAUUGAGAUGAUAAUGAAUCUUUGACCUUUUGGUCGUAAAAAGGGGUUGAUUUGAACCCGAGAUAAGAAAAGAAAUCCAAUUUUAUUGAUUAUUAUAAAAAGGUAGCAUGAUGGCUCCCGUUGUGAAUUGUUGAAUUAUUUAUUUAUGGAUUUUAUUUUGAAAAUAUCUGAGCUAAGUCCGGGAGUAGUCUUUAGUACCGAGCGGGAGGUAUAGCAGGAUUGGUACUUUCCUAAAACUACGUGCCCCCAUAGGUUGUGAGCCUGAGGCUGAUUUAUAUAGUGAUCACUAGUGUUUAGAUUGAUGAUUUAAGGUCUUACUCCGAUGGUAAGGAUAGGACAGCUCUCCUCAAUAUGGGUUAGAUGUUGGACUCCAUGUAGCUCACAUAAUUUAUGUCGGUUGUAAGAGACUCCCAAUGUGUGUGUGUGUAUUCUCCUAUGUAAUAUGAAAAGUCUUAUUAUUCUAUCUGAGAUGAAAACAUAUUUUUUUGAAAGACUGAGUCUGAGAAAGUUAUUGUUUUCGAAAGAUUUAAUGAACAUAUAUUCCAAAGAGAAUUGUUAUGAGAUUUGAUUGCUUUGAUGAUUUGGAAUCGCGAUGAAAGUGAAUUGAGAUUUAUUAUGAUGACUGACAUGUUUCACCCCGAUAUGUUUUACUCUCUUAUGAUUAUGAUGAUUUUAAUUCGAGCUAAGUGAGUCAUUUAUAUCAGCAUGCAUAAUUUUAUAAAUUGUGAUGAUAUUAAGAUAUUAUUUUAUAUAUGCAUUGCACCCACAUAUGCUCGGUACGUUUCCAUGGUACUGACCCACAUAUUCAUAUGUGGGCUACAUUUUCUCGGAAUGUAGGUACAAGGUAUAGUAUACAUCUUUAAAUCCAGUCAGUUCGCGGCAUCCAGUCAGCAGGUGAUGAGUCCUUUUGAUUCAAGGGUUGAGAAGUAUUGUAUUUUCUUUAUGCAGUCGUAUUGAGUUGCGUCAGUCAAGAGUCAUGAGCUGGCUACCUACAGUCAGUACUAGUAGAGGCUUCAUAGACAGUCAGUAGAAGUUGAUGUAUUCCGUUUCAAUUUUGGUUGUAAAAGCAGAGUUGUAAUCUUGUAUCAUAUUCAGAAAAGAGUUAUUUUCCACAGAUUUGUAUAGAUUUAUACUUUUUGUUCAGUUGCUUAUGAGUUAUGCCAGAAGAAGGGUUAGCUUGGGGUCACUUGUGAUCUUAAGCACCGUGUGAUGUCUCAGGACCCAAUUUUGGGGCGUUAUACCUUACCUCAUAUCCAGUUUAUUAGAGAAAGACUGUGGGCUUCUCAGAGCUAAUAGAAGUCUUAUACAGAUGUUUGUAGAAAGGAUCUCGUCUUCGAGAUUAGUGACUAUGUCUAUCUAAAUAUAUCUCCCAUAAAGGGAGUGAAGAGGUUCGGCAAGAAGGGAAAGCUUAGUCCCUGAUAUGUCGGUCCCUUCAAGAUUCUCAGUCGCUCUGGCAAGGUAGCUUAUGAGCUCGAAUUGCCUUUAGAUCUAGCCUCAGUUCAUCCAUUCUUCCAUGCCUCUUUGCUCAAGAAAUGUAUAGGUGACCCAGAAGUUGUAGUCCCUAUUCAGAGCAUCGAUGUUCAAAACAACCUCUCUUAUAAAGAGAUUCCAGUUGAAAUCCUAGACUAUCAGGCUCGUAGACUGAGGAACAAAAAAUCCCCUCUAGUUAAAGUUCUUUGGAAAAAUCAGUCUGUCGAGGGAGCUACUUGGGAAACAGAAGCAUACAUGCGUACCAAGUAUCCUUACCUUUUCUCCACUGACUCAGAUCAAGAUCAAGGUAAUAGUUCUCCUUAAGCUUGCCCAAUUUCAUGUUUAGUGUUCGUUACAAACUUAAAUACCAUUUCAUAUUCAGUCAUGCAUUCAUAUAUCAGCUCAUUUAUAUAAUUAUGCAUCAGACAUGCAUUUUUAUUGUGAGAAACUUAGUUCAUCAGAACACCCAUUCAUGCAUUCAUGAAUCAGUUACACAUGCAUCAGAUAUGCAUGUUUAGUAUGAUAUGUUCAGUUAUCAGUCAUGUCAGUCAUGAGAUCAUGUUUUAGUAUUCAUGUUCAGUAUGUACAUUGGUCAUUAUUUCCCCUCACUCAGUCUCAUUCGACGAUGAAUGUUUUCAAGGGGAAGAUAUUGUAAUACCCCAUACUGUUUCUAGCGUGAAAUCAUCUCAAGAAUGUUAGACACUUUCUUUGAAAGAUGAGUCCACUUUUGUAUAUGUGAUAUUUUUAAGAUUUUCACAUUUGGUCAUGUGGGAAAUUGAAUUAGAUUUCCAAUGAUACCAAUUUCAUCAAAAUCCGACCUCGGAAGAGAAAGUUAUGGCCAAAAUACAGAAGGCAGUAAAAACCACCGAGGUGCGACGGUGAGGCCGAUGGACCAUUGGACUAGCGACGGACCGUCGCCUAUGACCGUCGUAAGGGAAACAGUGUGGCCACCUUCUGGAUAAGGUGCGACAGGCAGGUUAACGGACCGUCGAACUUGCGACAGACCGUCGCCCAGGCCGUCGCUACUUAGGUAGUAAGCCCUUUCCCUGGUCCAUAUACAACGAUCGAAAUAACGAACCGUCGCUCUAGCGAUGGACCAUCGCACGAUCCAUCACAGGUCCCAAUUUAGAAAAUUAAAGCAGUUUUUAAAAGGGUAUUUUGGUCAUUUACCAUCCACCUAUAUAUAUACCCAAUUAUAUCCGAUUUCAACCAUUUUGUUCAUUAUUACUUCAUAACCAAUAUUAGGUUUUCUCUCUAACAUUAAUCUCCAAGAACAAAAUCCAAUCUUCUUCAAGAACUAAGGGAUUUCUAAUUCUUCAAGUUUAAGAACAUCAAGAAUCUUAACCCAGGUAUGCAUAGUGUUCAUUCAUGGACUCUUUUCGUCCAUGAAUCCAAGAAUCCCUUUUCCAACUUCAAGUUAUAGAAUUUUUUAUGAUUUCAUGAUUAUGUUGUUCUUUUUCAUAUUGAUAAAUGAGAAAUUGAAUUCUACUCCUUGUUGGGUGAUAAUUUCUAUGUGGGUUUAAUUAUCAUAGAUAUAGAUACAUGCAAACCUAUGACAAAACCCUUGAAUGAUGAAAUUAGAAUGUGACCAUGAUGUCUAAUUGUUGUACAAUGAUGUUUACAUGUACCAUGCCUACAAUAUGUUUGAUUUAAUGCCUAAAUGAAGGAAAAGUGCCUAACUAGCAUGUUGUCAUGAAAUCCCUAUGUAUGUACAAGCUUAUUCCUAUCACAUGUUUGAUGAAAUGCUUCAGAAAAUGCAUUAUGGUGAUUAUUAUGUAUUCAAGCAAGUCAUGCUUUGUCAGUUUCCUUCUAUUGAGUCCUGGGGGUACUUAUACCCGAAAUAUUAGCUGUGUACCUAGAGCCAUAUCAUGUUUUCAUGAUACUCUCAGUCAAGCUAUGAUCCUUAGACUUCAUACAGUCUUAUAACUCAGGAAAUCUCUGUGAUCUCAUGAACUCAGUCAGUUAUCAGAUAUCAGUAGUAUUUCAUCAGUCAACGAACGUCAGUAACUCAGUCUAUGUUCAGUUUCAGAAAAUCAUGUUCAGUGUCUAUUCAUAUGGGAGUAGAAAUUAGCACCGAGCGAACCCAAGGGUGGGAACUCACCUGUUAUAGGAGGGUGCGAUUCUUAGAAGCAAUCCUUGCGUUCCAAAACUAUGUAGCCAGCAUAGGUUGAGACAUCAUAGCCUGCUAUAUGAGGGUAGAUGAGGUGGCUUAACCUGCUAUAUGAGGGUUCCUACCAUUUCUAUUAGAGUCACCUAUUAUAUUAGGGUCACUCACAUGUUGUCCUUACCUGUGACGCAGUAUUGACACCCUUCCAAUCAGGGCACAGAUUGGACCCCCAAUUCAUCUAUAAUGCAUCAUUUAGGGCAUACCGGUUAGAUACUACUUCCCACAAUUUCAGUAUCAGUAUCAGUCAAGAACUCAGAUAGUUUUUUAGAUUUUAGUACUAUCAGAUACAGUCAAUUCAGAUACAGUAUAGAACUCAGCUAGUUCCAUCAGAUUUAGGACUGUCAAAUACAAUCACUCAUGUUAUCAGUUAUAUUAGUUACCAGUAUAUCAUGUUAUCAGUAUUCAGAUUCAAUAAUCAUGUUAUCACGGUAUCAGUGUCAGUUUAUAUGUCUCAUGCAUAUACUCUCACGCUUAUGAUAGUCAAUAUGUUAUUAUAUUUGUUUAUGUAUAUGAACCCCAUGCAUUCAGUUUACCUCAUAUGCAUACCAGUACAUUCAAAGUACUGACGCAUUUGCUCUAUGGUGUCUUAUACCAUAGGUUCAAAGACACGAGUUCCAGAGCAUCAGUAGAUUCCAGUCUCAGCAGUCAGAGUUAGGAGUGAGUCCUCAUCUUUCGAGGACACGGUCAUCAUUUUAUUAGCUCAUUAAUUAGUUUAUUAGUUGGAUUUAGUUGGUGACAUGUCCCAUUAAAUCCUUAUUCAAACAAUCAUAUUUAGAGGCUUUUCAGACUACAGUAUGUUUAGAUAGAUUAUUUUAGUUUUGUUUUGGGUAUUUCAUACCCCAUCCAUAUGUUAUGAUUUAUCAGAUCUUAUGUUACAGUUUUGAACCUUACGGCCUUUCAGUUCAUGUUUCUGCAUUAUAUAGUAUGUAUGUAGUAUACAGGUACAGAUAUCAGUCAUGGGUUAGCUUGUGGUCUUUCGGGGCCAUGAGCAUCGUGUAACAUUUUGGGUACCAGAUUUGGGGUGUUGUAGGGCAUGUAAGUUAGAUGAUUACUUCCCAUAGUCUUAGUCUCUGAUUCAAUCUCAGUAUAAAACUCAGUUCAGUUUUAUAGAUUCAAGACUGUUAGAUACAGUUAUUCAUCUUAUUUUAGAACUCAGUAUAGUUCCAUAGAUUCAGGACUGUCAGAUACAGUCAUUCAUUUAUCAGUAAUUCAGUAUCAGUAUGCUUAAAUAUCUGUUAAUCAAUAUUCAAAUUUAGUAUCCAAUGUUAUCAUGAUUUCAGUUACCGUAUACGUAUUCAUGCAUGUACUCUCAUUCAGUCAUAUUCAUGAUAUUCAGUUAGUAUUGUUCAUGCAUAUGAACCCAUGCAUUUUAACCUACCUCACUGAGCAUACCAGUACAUUUAAAGUACUGAUGCAUGCCUUUCUUUUGCGCUAUGAUAUCUUAUAUCAUAGGUUCAACGCAUAGGCUCCCGAGUACCCUUAGCAGUUCAGAUUAUCAGCAGACAGAGUUAGUGGUGAGUCCUCUUAGUUCUAGGACAUGAUUAUUUAUUUUAGUAUUUUAGUUCAUUUUUAGUAGUCAGAGUUAGUUGGGGACUUGUUCCAUCAACUCCACAACUCAGACAGUUAAAGGCUUUUUAGACUAGAGUAUUUGUAGACAGAUAUUUUAGUUUUGGUAGUGUUAUACCAUAUUCAGUAUUAUUUAUAGUAUUGGACCUGAUGGACAUUUUCUACCUAUUUUCUACUUAUUUAUAGUAUUAUUAUUCAAUUAUUGUAGCAAGUACCAGUCAUGGGUUAGCUUGUGGUCCUUCAAAAUUACGAGCACCAUGUAGCGUCCGGGGUACAAACUCGGGGCGUUAUAAACUUGGUAUCAGAGCCUAAGGUUCAAUAGAGUCCUAGGAAGUCUGAAAUCCGCAUCUAGUAGAGUUUUGUGCAUGGGUGUGUAGCGCACCACUCUUAUGGACAAAAGGCUACAAGAUGUUUUAGGAAAAGUUUCCCUUCUUUUAGUAUUCAUGUCGUGCGAGUGAGCAUGAGCUCUAGUUAAAAUCUCAGUCUAAUCCUUUCUCUUCUAUUUACCGAAUAUGCCUCCAAAGAGGAUUAAGGGAAGAGGAACAGGAGACCAGCCAUGACCUCAGCCCAUCCAGCCAGAUCUUCUGGACGAACACAUCUCCCACGAUUAGUUCAAAGCAGUAUUCAUCACCCUAGCUCAUUAUGUGGUAGCGCAGAAUGAACGCCCAGCUACAGUUCCAGCCAACCCAGUGGCCAAUAUUGUUUCAGCCAGGAUUCAGGACUUCACUCGAAUAAAUCCUUCAUCUUUUUCCUGGUCAAAGUCAGAUGAAGACCCUCAAAAAUUUCUUGAUCAGGUGUAGAAGGUUACUGAUAUUAUGGGGGUGACUGCUGUUGAGAGACAUAUCAGUUGCAGGAUAUGGCUCAUUUAUGGUUUAAAUAGUGGAAAGCAUAAAGGGCCGCAGAUACAGGGCCCAUAGAGUGGGAGAAGUUUGUCACUAUUUUUCUGGGUAGGUUCUUCCUACUGGAGUUGAGAGAAACGAAGGUUUUAGAAUUUACCAAUCUGAAGUAAGGAAAUAUGACAGUGAAAGAGUAUUCUCUCAAGUUUACUCAAUUAGCUAGAUAUGCUCCUCAUAUGGUGGCAGACAACAGGUCCCGAAUAAGUAAGUUUGUGUCGGGGGUGUCUAGCACCGUAGUCAAAAAGUGUAGGACCACAAUGCUGAUUAAAGAGAUGGACAUAUCCACACUCAUGGUCCAUGAUCAUUAGAUAGAGGAGGCCAAGACUAAAAAAAAUAAUAGGGAGAACAAGAGAGCAAGAAUAGGUAGUUUCAACUUCGCUUAACCUAAGUCAGAGGGUGGGAAUCGUUCUCAGUUCUACCCCAAAUCCUCAGUUCCAGCUUCUUCCUCAGAUAAUGCUCCUGUGCUAAAAUUCAGAGAUGACAAUAGGGAUAGGGCACUAGGACCUUAACCCCAGGGCAGCGUUAGCAGUGCCCGAAAUAACCCCUUUUGUCAGAAGUGUGGCAGAAACUACCAGGGUAUCUAUAGAGCGGGCAAUGAUAUGUGUUUCAGGUAUGGCAAACUAGGCCACAAAGUCAGAGAUUAUACCCAGUCAAGUUCUCAGGGUUAGUAUAUGUAACACCCCGUAUUCAAGUAUGUGUAUUGGCAUAUUCAAGUACGUGUAUUGGUCUUAUUUAUAUGGAAUUAAUUUUUUUAUUUUAUUUAUACCGGAAUUUGCCCUUCGAUGGUUCCAUGCGAAGGUUAUUGAAUAAGAUUUCCAAUGAUAUAAAGAUUUAAAAAAACAAAUAGGUUUUGGAUAUAAUUGAGCACGUUCGAAACUAUAAAACGGUGGUCGGGAUAUUUGGGAAUAGUAAAUGUGCAGGAAAAUUUCCUGCACACACAAACUACUAAGGCCAGCCGAAUUUUUGGGUCAACUUUGAAUGAUCAUAACUCCCUUAAUAUAAUGAACUAGGAGAGCUGUAACCUAUGAAAAGAAAGAUAUUUGAGUCUUAUUUCCAAUGAAAUUGGUUUUAUCCAAAUCCAACAUCUAAGUAAGGAUUUAUACUCGUUUUACUUCAGCCUAUCAAAAUAGAUUUUUAGGGUCAACUUCAAAUGACCAUAACUCCUUGUACAGGACCAACUAGGUGGCCUACUUUAUAUGAAAUGAAAGCCCUUUGAAUUAUCCUUCCAAAGAUACCAAUUUUACCCAAAUCUGAUAUCGGAGAAAAGAGUUAUGGUCAAUCUACUUUAGCUUAUCAAAACAGUCCACCAAAGGACAGAUUUGAUAUUAUUUAAAUUUUAAAGGCAUUUUGGUCAUUUCCUAUUAUAUUAUGGAUGGGAAUAUGUGUAUAUAUACAUGUAUAUGAGUUCAAAAACUCAUUUUCAUCAUCAAUCAUUGAGAAAGAACAAACCCUAGCCAAAUUUGACCUUUAAAUUACU
rnacentral:lncRNA from 1 species